UCACUCAUUCCCUUAGGUACUAAUACUUCUUAUUGAUCCCUGAAGUUACUUUUAUUUACUUAUUUAAACCAUAUAUGAAAUUUGAAGAAUGUUAAUCUCAUGAUAUUAUAGAUUCUCCGUAGAUAUUCUUUGACAUCUAAUUUGAUUCGAUGGACAGAUUAUUAUUAAUAAAUUAGCAGCUUCUCCUCAACAAAUGAGUAUUGAUGAGCACUUCUCUUUCAGAGUCACUUAUGGAGAUUGAUCUUGAUGUGAAUUUCCUGUUAGGGAACCAUAAUCUCUAGAAGUGGUUCCGAAUAUAGAAUUUUCUUCUCUAGUACGAAGAGAUUCUGCAAUUCCGAGUCACUUGAGGACAUCGUUGUUGCCUUGCAAGCGGAAGAUUCUUCACUCAGUCCUAAGAACAGAAGCUGAAUCAACUCAGUCAGUUGAGUUAGGAUAGAAUAACAUUACUGGAGGAAAAUUGACCUAUAUUUUACCUUUUUAGUUCUUAAUCUCUCUCUUAACAUGGCAAUUAGGUCAAGAGGAACAUGAUUUGAACAGUUUGAAGCUUCUUAUCUGAGGCUACCUAGGAAUAUUCCAUACUCAUGGGAAUUUGGCUCUUUUCAUUUCUCAGCACUAAGGAGUUUAAGCACAGUCAAUAAUGAAACCCAAUUGAGAAAUAUUAUCAUCUGUUGCCUAUGAUUUCAACUGGACCAAAAUGUUUGUUUUUCUUUUUAUCUUUUUUUUAUAAAAAAAUGAUUUAGCGAUCAUGUCACUAGUUUUUUCAACAAGAUGAAUGAUUUUAUCUUCUCAUUGAUGAACAAUUCUUUCCAGCACUCUUUAGGAGACUCACGCUCAUUCACUAACCACUCACCAUGCUCAGAAUGCAAAAUGCGAAAUAGGAGUAAUAUAAUAAUUUACUUGUCUAAUUUCAACACAUUUUCAAACUAAUUAAUCCCACUACAAGAAAAAGUUAUUUAUGUGACCACUAUUUUGCAGUUACGCAUGACCUAUAUGACAGCUUUGUAACGGCAGAGAGGGGUUACAUACGCGGCCAUUGCAAAAGCUUUGUAACCCGUUGCAAAAUGCUUUUUAACUGUACUUUUGGCGGGCAGUAACAAAAGGUAGUAACGGUCACAAAAAAAAAACCACCUAAAUGCGGCCCCAUUAAGUAAUGGGUUGGAUGCAAGUUUUGUGACAGGUGGAAGCUGUCACAAAUUUGUAAUGCUUAAUUUUUCACAAUUUUGUGAUAUUUGACUAUUUGUCAAUAUUUUAUCUCAUUUUCCUGAUAUUUGUCAAUGACAACAAAAAUUCAACAUUGUUCAUUACAACAUUACAACACUAAAAUUAAUUAUCAUGAUACCAUCCAUAAAGUUUAAAUUAUAUACUGAAAAUGAGUUUUUAUUUUUUUGCCCAACACUCCAACUCAAAAAUUAAAAGUAUUCACAGAUGUAAAUACAAGCCUACGAUACAAAGUCUUACAAAAAAAAAAAAGUAUGAAUCCAGGAAUCUCCAAUGCAUCUUAUCAAAUGAUAGCCUACAAUAGAAGCAACAAUAUAUUAAAAAUGUGCGAGACAAACACACUUAAAUAUUAUAAUUAUAUAACUAAGCACUUCUUGCUAGCAAUAAUUAGAAGCGCUCUUGGUACAACUGUUAAUGUCUCUAUCCUUUGUUGAAACUCUUAGUUAAUUUGCAAAUCUAAUAUUCAUUUUCCGAAAAAAUAAUAUCAACAUUGAACAAACGAAGAGUCAUGAAUCAUAAUUUUACAAGUAAAAGCGUUUUGUCUAUAUAUUGACCUCAUAAUUUGCAGCAUAACUGCAUGACGGUGUUGAUGCGCAUUGGAAACAUGUGCUACUACUUAAAAAACAAAUAUUUUUUUUCCCUAAGAAGCACAAAAGGAAAUGUAGUCUAUAUAUAGAUGAUAAAUAUGCAGCCUAUAUAUUUUACUAUAUGGUCAGAUGUAGGAAAUUUAGGGAAGGGCAUUAAGUUGGAAGGUUCAGUUCGAAGUUGGCAAUAAAAUUGCCAUUAUGCUGCAACUUUUCUCAAUAUACUCCAUGUUGUGCAAAUUUUAAUGUACUCGCAAGCGCACGAAUCUAUUGUAGUAUAGAUCAAUGGUGACGAGUGUCGAUCCCACGAGGAGGUGAAUUUUAAUUAUAUGUAGAAUUAAUUUUGUAAAUGGGUGGUUGGAUUUAUGGUGGAAAUGAUUUGGAAUAUGCUAAAACUUAAUUUAAAAUGGCGAGAAUAAAUUCUAAAAUUGGAAUUGCAAUGGAGAGAAUAAAUUGAAGAGAAAAUUCUAUUAAAUUGACGUACUUGGGUAUUUGGAUCCGUAUCAACAUGCAUCAUGGGCUAAAUAAUCCGUAUUAAUACCAAUUAAAUCAUGAGGGGGGAAUCCACACCUCAUGAACCACGCUCUAAUCAAUAUGGUGCUAAGGGCUUAUCGUGCCAAAUAAUAAUAACCUUGUACUAGAGGGCCGGUGAAACCAAGGCGGUACUAGACAAGAUUAGUAUUAUUUGUCGACGAGAAGUCAAAACAUCCACAAAAACUAGAGGGGAAGAGAAAAUAAAUUUACCAAAUUAAGCCCAUGACACAUGUUGAGACUUCACCUUCAACCCAAGCUUGAAAGAAAAUUAGCCACUCAUAAUUGAACUAAGGGCAAAAUAGAAAUUUAUUAAAAUACGAAGAAAAUACAAGAUGGAGAGGGAAUUACAGAAAAUGGAUCCCAAAAAUGGAUUCAGAGAUAUCAAAUUAGGGGGGAGAGGCCCCCUUUUUAUAGAUACAUGGAGUAAAUCAUGGCCAUCGGAUUAAAAACAGUUUGGACGCUCAGGAUUACGCCACGUCAUCAGUCAACAGUCCACGGUUUGACCACGCGGAUGAACAGUAACACGGUUUGACCCGGAUGAACAGUAACGCGGUUUGGUUGAAAAUAAUCCUGUGUGAUGCAUGCACCGUACGCGAGAUUUUUCGUCCACUAAUAUGCUGCCACGUCACCAUCAACAGUAUAUAAGAAUUUUAGUCCAACAGGAUCGUGACACCUCAUCAGUCAAUGCCACGCCAUCGAUCCGUCUAUGUGAACAGUGUCGUGAACAGUAACGUAGACAAUACCGUACCCGUGAAUAGUACCGUACAUGUGAAUAGUGCCAUUUUUCUUUUUAUGCUCCUCCUAAGGUUUUCGACCGUCCUGAGUUCAAAAGUGAUGUCCGUUUUGCCGUCUGAUCUCUCCUUUAUUGUGAAAUGACUAUAAUGCCCCUAAAAUACAUAAAUUACUUAAUUAAAAUAAAACACACGUAAUUAAAUCACAAGAAUGUUAAAUACAUAAAAGUAAGGGUUGUUAGUAAGACUUGAAAUGUAAAAUGACGGUUUUCUCCUUUAUAAAUAUGCAUUUUCUAACACUCAACACUCCACACUUUUCACCCUAAAUUAUACAUUUUUUCAAAGCAAAAACGAAACAAUGUUAAAGAGAGUGCAGCUUAUCAUAUUAGUAUAAACAUACAAAUCUAAAAAAAUGUUUAAGGCAACUUGAAAUAUUUAUACCUACUCGUGGAUGAGUGCAUCUCAUCAUCAAAAGUGCCAAAAUGGAGUUACAAAAAGUGCCUCUCAUCAUCAAAAUUGCCAAAAUAGAGUCACAAAAAAGAAUGUGUUUGACUAAAGAGUCAGCAGUAGAUCAUUGAGUCAAUAUAUAUUCUAUUCAAAAUUAAAAAAAAAAAAAACACAUAAGAAAAUCAAAAUACCCAAAAUGUGAAAUUAACAAUAAACAAUGGAAUUUUCUUUACCAAACUCAGUGAUGCUUACGACAUAGUUUCCAUCCUUAUUGAUGUUUUAUAUAUAUAUAAAGUUAGGCUCUUUGUUGGCUAUUCAUAGAUCUGGAAUUAUCUUCUAUUGCUGAUUUAGCUGCCUUCUUUCAGAACCUUAGUAGUGAGUAUCUGAUAAGAGGAGCAGGCAGUGAGAUUCCUGUUAGAAUAUACGGGAAAAAGCAUAACUGAAACCAAUUAUAAAUGGGAUGCCGUGAAAAUACAACAAUCAGGGUGGUGGUGUAAUUACAAUUAGAACCUAACCUUCUAGAGCCAUACUAUAGACAUUGAUAAUCCAACAAAAAAAUCAGGUUAGCCGGUUGAAACAUAUUUAUAAACUAACAUUGGAGAUGGUGCUCCAUCUAUAGACAAAAUUACAAGCUCAAAUGCAAGUCAACUCAGCAAAAUCAUAACCAAUUACAUUCAUCCAACUCAACUCCUCCACUCCCCCAUAAAUAUAUCCAACACUCCCAUCUCUUUACUUUUGGGAGUAAUUAACAAACAAUUUAAAUCUUCUUAUCCGGAAUUGCCCAAAUAAAGAACUUUAAUUUAAUUAGUUGAUCUUUCUCUCCACCAAGAUUUCUACUUUUUUACCCAAAAAAUGACCGUCACUUUUCUAUUUUUUAAAAAUACUGAAUUUGUCUACAUAUCAUUCUAAACCUCUGCAGUGUUUAGGAAGUAAAAUAUCUUCUGGUCCAAGCAACUACAUAAAAAAUGUUACAAAAAAGUGGAGUCUCCAAAUCUCGUCAACAAUAUAUGUUAAAUUUGCGGUAAUGCCUUUUAUACCCCUUUAAUAUCCUUAUAACACCCUUUUUUUUUUGUAAUCAUAGUUCUACUGUUAUUAAAAAUUACAAAAAAAAACAAAUAUGAAUUUAAUUAAACUAAAAUUUCUUUGCAAAUCAUGAACUACUAACUUUUUUUUUUAAUCCUAAUAUGUGAUAUAAUUAAUUUUUAUUGAUGAAACCAAAAUAAUUUGGAAACAAUGAAGAAAUAAAUUACCCAGUAAUCAUUUUUAUUUUGAAAAAGUAUGUUUAAAAUUUUAAUUAAUUUAUUCUAAAUGAUAAUAAAAUUUAAUUAAAUUAUUAUUUUAUUUUUAUAUCCUUUUUCAUAAUUUUAUUAAAGAAAAAGCUAUAAAUAAGAAAAGAGGAGUUUUUUAAGGGUUUUAAAUAAGUUGUACUCCAUUAUUGCAUUCUAAUAGCCCUUCAAGUUCAUCUAGUAAUUGAACUUUGGUGGGACUACCAAAUGGCAAUGGGCUAGGUAUUGUGUAGGGAUGUUGAUACAGGUACCUCUAUCCAUUUGGUAGAGAAUAUGCUUGUCACCGACCCUUAUCCAUUACGGGCUUGAAUGGAUAUGGAUUAGGGAUUCUCUAAUAAAAAUUAGAGAUAUCCAUCCCCUUCUCCUAUCCCCUAUAUCCCCUUUUAUUUUUUACCAUCAGCAUAUUUUUAAGGAAGAAAAAAAGAUACAUUAACUAUUUAGCUUUAAAUGAUCAAGCAGCACUUUAUUCUAAAAUAAUUUUUAAAAAUCAUUUUCAAUUGUAAGUAAAUAUUAACUAUAAUCUGCUGAUUGUUAAGUCCAACUUUAAUUAAUAUAUUACUAGAUAUUUGGAUAAAAAAUAAAAGCCUUCAUUUUGGCAUUUUCUUGUCCAGCCUUCACUCCUUCAACUAACCUUCAUUAGAACAUUAUUGUAUUCUCAUUUGUUUCCAAUUGAGUCAGGAUCAUAGAUCGUCUAUCAAAUGUGUAGUCCAUUAAACAACUAAAAUCUCUAAAUAAAUGUCUAGGACAAUAUCACAUGAGAUGGUCAAUCCAAAUACUAAGAUAUUAAUGUUAAGAUACAUCGCCCACCAAAUGUGGAAUUCGAACAGUCACAACAUAUGAACCACAUACAGCCACAUGAGUCACAUACUAACGUGGAAAAAAUCAGCACACCAACUCAAUCCCACAUUAACAAGGCACGUAGCAAAUCAUUGGAAACAAAUAUGGCAAUCUGUAUUGCUCUUGCCAAAGGCUUGCAACAAUUAUCUCACACAAUCCCGUGACAUGCAAACUCACCAAAGAAAGAUGGCCAACUAUUAUUCAAGUCCAGAUUCUCUUCAUAACUUAGCCAACGGCUAGUCAACGACUAAGUUUAGAAUUAAUCCCAUAAUUUCUGUAAAAUGUUUCUUCCAUAUAUAAUUCCUCUACUCGUGUAUAAAUACUGAUCUUGUUCCUUAAGAAGUACAGUCAAUAAAACUUAUAAUCAUUUUCAAUACUCUUGAAUUUUAGCAUGGUAUCAGAGCUUAUGGCUUCUUUAUCCACUAUGCAAAAUGAGGCCAAACUCUCUCUGCAAACUAUCCAUCAAUGUGCCAAUCUAAUACUUAUCCAACUCUCCAGCAACAACUAUCUCUUAUGCGGGUACCAAGUCCUUCCCCUGAUAAGUAACCUAGCACUCAACAAUCACAUCUCUGAUGACUCACCACCCCAAACAAUUUCCAGUAAUGGAAAGUCUAUCACCAACCCUGACUUUUCAAUUUGGGCACACAAUGAUGGAUUGCCUCUUACUUGGUUACGUGGAAUGAUGAUGGAAGACAACCUUGCACUAGUAGUUGGAGAACAAACAGUAAAAGAAGUUUGGCUCUCCAUUGAGGAAAACAUGCUUCCAGCCACUAAGGAGCAAGAGUCUUGGCUUAAAGAUAAUCUCUUCUCCUUAAAGAAAAGCUCCCUAAAGCUUGAUGACUUCUUGAACAAAUUUAGAGGACUGUGUGACAGUCUAACUACCAUUGGAAAACCCUUGACUGACGAUGACAAAGUCUUUCAAUUGGCAUGGGCACUGGGACCCAAGUAUGCCGACUUCAAAAUGGCUAUGCUAACCAAACCACCUUAUCCAAGUUUGAAACUAUUCCUGUCAGCCUUACAAAAUCAUGAGCAGACUAUGAUCGCUCAGAAAAAUGAUGGCAAAGAAGCAAAUUCACAGCAAGCUUUCUUUGGCCAAUGUGGACGUGGGAAAAGUUUUCAAGGACAAGGACAAAGAUGCGGCUUCAACAACAACCUUCGUGGAAGAGGAGAAUAUCUCUCUAACAAUGGGCACAACAACAUGAAUCAAUCUUUCAAUAUGAAUUAAUCAUCGUCUAACACACUCUCUGCUGCAACCAAGGUUCAACGAUAAUGGCCCAAAUCCACCACCUGCACUAAAACACUACAGUACAGAACAUACUGAUCAGCAAAAACACAAUUCCAAAUCAAGUAUAAUCUGUCAAAUUUGUGGUAAAACUAACCACAAUGCUGCAGUUUGUAGGGACAGGUACAACUACUUUACCACUAGAGAGGAAGCACCACAAGCCCUCGUGGCCAUGAAUUUGCAAGACGAGAAUGACCUACAAUUUUAUGUUGAUUCAGGUGCUACUACCCACAUGGUAAAUAGCACUGGUAGGUUAAAGAUAUUUAUACCCUGUGGAGGCUCUAAUAAGAUUUUUGUAGGGAAUGACCAAAGCCUACAUAUUUCUCAUAUUGGUAAUACCACACAUGAGAAAUUAAACUUAAAAGAUAUUUUGGUUGUUCCCAAACUUAAAAAGAACCUCCUAUCAGUAAGCAAACUAAUGAAUGAUAUAAAUUGUUCUGUGGAAUUUAAUUCUCUUAGUUUUGUUGUAAAGAGCAAGGAGAACUAGGUACUGGCUUCGGGAACUAGGCACGGGGACUUGUACGUGCUUAAUGAAGGAGGAAAUUUAUCCUUUCAAACAAUAAGAAACUCAGAAAACCAAGACUUGUGGCAUAAGAGACUUGGCCAUGCAAGUCCUAAAUACUAGUAUUUAUGUUUCAUGCCAAUUAGACAAAAACUGUAAACUCCCAUUCAGUUUAUUUAAUAACAUUUUUUAUUUUCCUCUUCAUAAAAUUCACUGUGACUUAUGAGGCCCUGCUUCAAUUGCUUCUAAUCAAUGUUUUCGUUACUAUGUAUUGUUCGUGGACGAUUGUACACGUUAUUGUUGGUUAUUUCCCUUAAAAUCAAAAUCUUUAUUUUUUUUAGUGUUUUCUUUAAUUCCAAAAAUAAGUGGAAAAUCAGAUGGAAUGAAAGAUCAAAAUUUUUCAAAGUGAUGGCGGAGGAGAAUUUAGCUCCAUCAUUUUCCAACAACAUUUUCAACAGUUUGGAAUCAUCAAACAGACUUCAUGUCCUUAUACUCCUCAACAAAAUGGAGUUGUCGAAAGGAAACAUAGACAUAUAAUGUAGACUGCCCUUACUAUGUUAUUUGAAUCUUCGUUACCAUUAAAAUAUUGGGUGGAGGUUGUUUUAACAGUUGUAUAUCUCGUUAAUAAAUUGCCACAAACAAUUAUUAAAAUGCACAUACCUCAUGAGUUACUUUUCAAGGAAGCUCCUAGUUACAAUGAAAUUAAAGUUUUUGGUUCCCCUGUUUUCCCUCUCUGAGGGAUUACAAUAAAACUAAGUUUGACAAAAAAACCCUCCCUUGUAUUUUUUUGGUUACAGCCUCACUCACAAGGGAUACCGCUGUCUUUUUCCACAAAACAAUCGAAUUUAUAUUUCUCGUCAUGUAGCCUUUGAUGAAUUAUGUUUUUCUUAUCAAAAUCUAAAAGAUUAUUCUAGGGAUGGAAAAUUAACCUGGACCUAGCUCGGACCUGCACGAACCCGGAUAAUCCGGACUGGGUUCAACCUGCACCAGAAUAAAAUAAAUCCGGUAUCCGGAUUUAAUUUUAUUAACCCACAUAUAUGGGUCCGAAACCGGUUUGGGCAAACCCGAAAAUGUGAAACCCGGACCCGGAUAUCUUUAUUUUAAUAUUAUUUUUUAGUCAUUUUUAUAAUAUAAAUAGAGAAGAAAAAAAAGCCAUGCCCUAGUUUACACUUUCCACACCCGCAGCCACCAAACCACCAAACCAUUCUUUUCCUCUCUUCAACUCUUUCUCUUUCAUCUCAUCUUCAUCAUCUUCACACUUUCAUUGCCGCCCUAGUAAAAGAAAAGCCAUUCUUUUCCUCUCUCUUCAACCAUUCUCUUCAUCAAAUCAUUGUUGUCACUCGUCAUCGCUUCGCCGCCUUUGCUAUGUUUCAUGUUUAUCAUCAUCACAAAAUGUCGCUUGUCUAUCUAUUUCAUGGGUUUUGGUCGUCGUUUGUCUGCCUUCGGGUUUGUGGCUCCGAUGCCGUGUUCAUCAUCAUCAACAACAACCUUCCUUCGUUGCAUCACCGGAUGCUGAACCUUGAAGUUCGUGAUCAUUGAAUCUGUGAAUCGUGAGUUUGAAUUAUAGAUCUAUGUUAAGGAUUUGUAUUUGUGAAUAUUAUGUUAUGAAUUUGUACUUGUGAAUGUUUUAUUGCUUUGAAUCAUUGAAAUCAAAAUAUGUAUUUGUAUUUGAUUUGGGAUUUGUAUUUGUAUUUGGUUUCCUUUUUUUUUCAGUUGAUUAAAUGAUCCGGGUUUAAAACCUACAAUCUGGAAACCCAGAUUUUUCUGGGUUGAACCCGUGCCGGACCCGUAGUCAAAAAAUUCGGGUUUAAAUCCAGAUCCGGUACAACAUUUUGGCAUUCGGGUCCGGAACCGGAAAGGCCAAACCCAGACCCGGACCUGCAUUUUUCCAUCCCUAGAUUAUUCUUCUGUGUAGGAUGCUUGUAGCAUUCCCACUACUCUAAAUGUGUCACAAUGAAUCCCACACUACAAGAAAACUAGCAAUAGAUGACAGACACUUUGUGAUAGAUUUUGACUAAAAUAGCUUAUAUCAUAAAUUUGUGACAGAUUCGUGAUAGAAAUUUGGUCUAUCAUGAAUUAAUGAUGGUUUUGUGAUAGAAUAAUUGUAUAUCAUGAAUUGAUGAUAGAGUUGUGAUGGAAAUUUGCUCUAUUAUAAAAUCAUGAUAGAAUUAUUUGAUUUGACCAUGUUUGGCUAAUUUUUAAUAUAUUAUUUCAUUUAAAAUUUUAAAAAAUAGAAAAACAACACUGGCGUUGAAGUCUGCAUUUAGAUAAAACACAAAAGUUUUGUCAUAAGUGUUAGACAUUUCCUCACUCACGCUCCAUUUUUCCUCACUCUCUCAUCUUUAGAAACCCUAGAAUAAAAAUCGAUCAAAAACACCACCAUUCUGCCAUUGAGAACUCCUUCAUCCAAACUAUCAUUCUCAAUUGGACACUCAUUUCACAUUGUUUCUCAUCUCUUUGUCCUUUCACCAUAAGCUGUUUAACAAACCCUCACCUUCGGUUCGAUUCGUGCAAGGUAAAUGCUUGGAGUCUUUUUCCUUUCAAUUUUUCCUUUGAUUUGGAUCUAGAAAUCAUGGGGCUUGUAAAUAGAAUGAGUUUCCUGUGUAAAAUUAUUGGUUCUGAUUUACAUGAAAUGGUGAUAAAUUUUUGUUUGUAGAUUUGUCGCAAUGAUGAUGAAAUCAAUCAAAGUUUAUUGAAUGAAAGUGGGUUUGAGUUUUUUUUUUUCUAGAUUUUGACUCGCAAUUGAAUUUGAGAUUUUUUUCAUCUAGGUUGAUUAGAUCUCGUGCUUAAAUUAUUGGGUUAUUGGCUUUCUCAUUUGAAGUUCUCUAACAGAUCUCAUUUUGUGAUAUUAUAACUGAUUUAUAUAAUUAACUAUAAUUUGAUAGAUAUUGUGAUAGCCCUUGAUAGGAUGUUCAAAAAUUGAAAUUGAUGCUAUUAAUUUGGUAACUGAAAAAAUAUGAAAAUUUUAAUUACGUCAAUUUUGAUUCAGUAGCUAGACUUAUGUUAAGGUUUAUAAAGUAACAUUUUUUACUUUAAUUUUUUUUAAAUUUUUUAUAUAAAGUCCCUUAGCAAUCAUGUGCAUGUAGAAUUUUUGUUAGCCUAUAUGGUUAUUGUAUAUUAUUAAUUAAGGAAUUAAUCAUGUUGUUAUGUCUCUGUUUGCUGUAAAACUUUAAUGGGUAGAAACUAUAUCUGUUAUUCAUGUUUGUAAUGAUAUACCCACUUUUCAGGCUUAUAAGGUGUGCCAUUGCACAAGUUCGCUUUGUGCAAAUAACUCUAUACUCGUAUUACUUUUGUAAGGAAUAUGACUAUAACGCUCUUGAUUACAUGUAUUGUGUUAGUUUCAAAACUUUUCAAACCAACAAAGUCUAAAUACGCAUCCUAUGUUGACACACAACAAGCUCAAACAAAAUCCUACCUUAGCUCUUCAAACCGAUCAUACCAUAGUGACCAAACCAAAAACAUUGAAAUCUGGUCUUAAACAUCGUGUAUGGCUACAAACGAUGGCCGAAGAACUUGAUGCCCUUCGUCAAAAUAAGACAUUGGCCUUAGCUCAUCGACCUUAUGAUGCUAAUGUCAUUGGUUCGAAGUGGGUUUAUAAAACCAAGUAUAGAGAAGAUGGUACAAUAGAUCGGUUAAAAGCUCAUUUAGUUGCGAAGGGGUACACACAAGUUCCUAACAUUGACUUCGAUGAGACUUUCAGCCCCGUCAUUAAGCCAACUACCAUAAGGCUUGUCUUAGCCCUUGCAACCAGUUCUAAAUGGCUUAUCAAACAGCUAGAUGUUCGAAAUACCUUCCUUCAUGGUCAACUAAAAGAAAUUGUCUACAUGGAGCAAUCACCUGGCUUUACGGAUCAAAAUCUUCCCGACCAUGUUUGCUUACUCCAUAAGUCCGUAUAUGGACUCAAAGAAGCACCACGUGCAUGGUUUGAGUGUUUAUCAUUAGCACUUCUAGAGCUUGGUUUUACAAGUUGUAAAGUUGAUCAUUCCCUCUUUAUUUUUCAUGCUAAUGAUACUCUUAUUUUUCUGUUGGUGUAUGUAAAUGAUGUAAUUAUUACAGGAAAUAAUCCCGAUAGAAUUCAAUCCAUUAUCAGCCAUUUUAGUAAUCGGUUUGUAUUAAAAUACUUAGGCUUAUUGAGCUAUUUUUUAGAAAUCGAGAUUCGGCACUUUCCAGGAGGCAUUUUUUUGUCACAAACCAAAUACACUCGUGACUUAUUAACUAAGGCUACUUUACUAGAUUGCACCCCUAAUCGGACCCCAAUGGUUGUCAAUGUUGUGCGCGGAAUGCGGAAUCAAGCGCACUAAAUAAUUACAUAAAAAUAAAGGACACAAGAAUUACGUGGUUCGGUAAUUAAACAUACAUCCACGGAGGCAAGAAAGAAUAAUUGUUUAUUUAACAAUUAAUAGAGUACAAAUAUUUGAGAAACGAAUCUCACUUCCCAGAAACCCAAAUAUACCCAAUACUCUCAUACCCUGCAGGAAAGAUAAAUUUCCCAGACACACUUCUCUCACUUCUCUCAAAAGCUUAGAAACUUAUAAGCUUAACAAUUUUAGGAUGCUAAAGAAUGGAAAAAGUGCCAUCUAUUUAUAGGGAAAACAAUUGCACUAUUGCACCAACCCCUUUACUAUUCCACCUAAUCUAAGCAAAUUGUCAAUGGUGUCCAUUUGGCAGAUUUGACAAAUUUGCCAACUUUUCAUUUUUUCUUCAAAUGUUUAGUAGCUCUUUGAAAAUUUGCAUGCUUUCUUGAAUUUGGAUGCCACAUGCAUGACUUUUCAACAAUUCUCCACCUCGGUGAAAAUUUGUCCAAAUCUGAGCCAACUACCAACGAACCAUCAUCCCCAAAGUGGCUGUAUCUCUGUGACUGCCUACGUACCUAAAAUUUGGGAUCAAGUCAACCGUAGUUCAAAAUUUCCGAAGGACAUAUGUUAACACAAGCGAAGGAUUUGAAUUAGUUUCAAGCAAUGUUGAAACUUAACUCCAGAAACUACUUUUGUCAACAUAUCUGAUGAAUUAUCUUUGGUAUCGAUCUUUCUCAACAACACAACGCUGCUUUCAAUAAUCUCUCUCACAUAAUGAUAUUUCACAUCUAUGUGCUUCGUCCGAGUGUGAUAUGUUUGAUUUUUCGCAAGGAAUAUCUUACUUUAGUUAUCACAAAAGACCGCAAUGUUCUCCUGGAUUACUCCUAAAUCACCUAACAAGCCUUUCAACCAGAUAGCUUAUUUUGCAGCUUCAGUUGCUGCUAUAUACUCUGCUUCCGUAGUGGACAGAACAAUUGUCGAUUGUAGAAUCGACCUCCAGCUAAUCGGACCUCCACCCAAUGUAAAUACGUAGCCCGUUGUUGAUCUUCGCUUGUCAAGGUUUCCAGCAAAAUUAGAAUCACAAUACCCAACACAUUGUUGACCAUAAUCAUUCUUGAACAGUAACCCAACAUCAACUAUCCCAUACAGAUAUCGGAGAAUCCACUUCAUUGCAAGCCAUUGAUUUUUACCCGGAUUGUGCAUGUAUCUACUAACCAUGCUCACUGCUUGAAAUAUAUCGGGUCUUGUGCAUACCAUAGCAUACAUAAGACUACCCACAACACUAGCAUAUGGAACAAGAGCCAUGUAAUUGCGUUCCUCUUGAGAUCUAAGACAUGAAGAUAGAGCUUAAUUUGAAAUGAGGAGCUAGAGGUGUACAUACCGGUUUAGUUUUGUCAUCUAUACCGUAUCUUUCUAGCACUUUCUUCAAAUAAGAAUUUUGAGUCAACCAUACGCUCUCAUUCUUCUUGUCUCUACGAAUCUCCAUCCCAAGUAUUCUCUGUGCAUCACCCAAGGCUUUCAUCUCGAACUCAGAAGCCAGCUGCUUCUUUUUUCUUUCGAUCUCAUCUCUAUUCUUCGAAACUAUAAGCAUAUCGUCGAUAUAGAGUAACAAAUAGAUGAAAGCUCCAUUAGUAGUCUUCUAAAGUAAACACAAUGAUCGUGUUCACUUCUGGUGAAUUUCUGCCUUUGUAUAAAUUGAUCAAAUCUUUUGUACCACUGCUUUGGCGACUGCUUCAGUCCAUACAAAGAUUUAAUCAACCUACACACAUGAUUCUCCUUUCCAGUAACUUUGAAACCACAAGGCAGAAUCAUAUAGAUUUCCUCCUCCAAAUCUCCAUGUAAGAACGCCGUCUUAACAUCCAACUGAGCCAACUCUAACUCAUACUCUGCAACUAAAGCGAGUAUGAUACGAAUAGAAGUAUGUUUUACAAUUGGAGAGAAAACUUCAUUGUAGUCAAUACCUUCCUUCUGAGCAAAACCUUUUGCCACGAGCCUUAUCUUGUAUCGAGGAGUUGAUUGAUUCAGAGAUCCUUGCUUUUUGGUGUAGACCCAUUUAUUGCUAAUAGCCCUUUUCCCCUUUGGUAACUUUACAAGUUCCCAAGUCUGGUUUUGAUGGAGAGAUUUCAUCUCUUCCUCCAUGGCUAACUUCCACUGAUCAUUUUCACUGCUACAUAAUGCUUCACCGAAAGUGUUGGGGAUGUCAUCAUCAAUAAUUGGAAGUGCAUAGGCUACCACCAUAUCUUUGGUAAGCCAUUCAAGUUUCUUUAUCUCUCUUCUUGGCCUACUUCUUGCUAUAAAAUCAUCAUUAUCUACAUCAUCAAUUGUUUCUUUAUUUUGUGGGACAUCAGAAGAAACAACUUCUUCUUCAACUCUAGGUGUCACCUCCAUAGUUGAACCAUUCUUUAAUGUAGAACUAACUGGUACAUAUGGAGUUGCAUCAAACUCCACCCGCUGCAAUACCUCUUUGGUCUUAUUCUCCACCUGCUGAGAACUUGAAGCUUUCCUAAUUGAAGCUUCAUCAAAUGUGACAUCUCUACUACACACAAACUUUUUGUCUUCAAGAUCUCAAAGCUUGAAGCCCUUUACUCUACCUUUGAAUCCCACAAAGAUAGUUUUUCUAGCAUGAGGAUCCAGUUUACCAUCUUUGACACGAUAAUAAGCUGGACACCUGAAUAUACGAAGGGAAUCAUAGUCUUGUGCAUGCUUUCCAGGCUGUAUUUCCAUAGGAGUUUGACCUCCAAUUGCAGCAGAAGGCAACCGGUUUACCAAGUGACUUGCGUAGCUCACAGCUUCAGCCUAAAACUUUUUAUCUAAACCAGCAUUAGAUAAUAUACAUUGUACCUUCUCUAGUAAAGUACGAUUCAUACGCUCAGCCACACCGUUCUGUUGCGGAGUAUGUCUCACCGUGAAAUGUCUUUUAAUACCCUAAUUCUAGCAUACUUGCAAGAAUGGAUCAGAAGUAUAUUCACCCCCAUUAUCAGAUCGUAAUAUUUUGAUCUUUUUGCCAGUUUGAGUCUCCACCAAUUUCUUUUAUUUCACGAAUCUCUAGAACCUUAUCAUUUGCUCGUAUGGUGUACAUCUACACACGUCUGGAGAAAUCAUCAACAAAUGUAACAAAAUAAUGGCUUCCACUAAUUGAUGCAGUCUUGAUUGGUCCCCAUACAUCACUAUGAACAUAUUCAAUGAUCUCACGAGUAUCGUGAUUAGUUGUACCAAACUUGACCCUUAUUUUCUUGCCUACUACACAAUGCUCACAGAAAUUUAAUUUACAGGUUUUGGUACCUUUUAAGAGUCCAUACCUCAUCAAAGUUUGCAAAGACUUCUCUCCAGCAUGUCCCAGUUGUACAUGCCACAGCUUAGUGGUGUCACUAUGUGCCUCAACAAUAUUUGCUUCAUCCGUUGUACCUCCCUUCAAAUAGUACAGAUUGUGACGCCGAACCCCUUGCAGAAUUACCAUAACCCCAUGUGUAAAUUUUAUUGUACCAUCUUUAAUGGUAACCUUGUAGCCUUUAGCUUCCAAAGCACCCAUAGAAAUUAGUUUUUUCUUUAAAGAUUGAACAAAUCUAACUUCUUUCAGUUCUCUGACCAUUCCAUCAAACAUUUUGAGCCGAAUUGUUCAUAUCCCCAUUGUGCGACAAGGUUGAUCAUUCCCCAUCACAACUGCACCGGAUUCCAGAUUACGAAAAUCUGUAAACCAUUCCUUAAUAGGACACAAAUGAUAGGUUGCUCCAGUAUCAGGUAUCCACUCGCUCGAACUAGCCACAUAUGCUGCAGGAGUGAUACUUAGUGAAUAAUCAGAGUCCUCAUCUUUCCAUGCCAUGUUUGCUGCUGCUGGUUUCUUCCCAUCUCUCUUUUGAGCCUUUGGACAAUCUUUCCUCCAAUAGCCCUUUUCAUGACAAAAGGCACACUUAUCUCGAGCUAGAUUUUUACUUCUCGAUUUGGAUCGAGAAUUCUUUCCACCACACUUUUUCUUUUUCUCCAUCGCCCAAUCUCUGCUCACUAAAGCUUCAGACGAUGCUCGUUUAGAAUUUUUAUCAUUAUUUCGAAUCUCCAAGUUAGUCAAUGUUGUGCAAACAUCUUUGAAGACAAUCACACUCUUGCCAUAUAUCAAAGUAGUCACAAAAUGGCUAUAUUCCUCUGGCAGUGAGUGUAACAGAAUUAUAACAUUGACUUCAUUUUUAAUAUAUUCAUCAAGAUUCUUCAAAUCAGCAAGUAACUUUUCAAAUCUUGAGACAUGAUCGUGCAUUGACUCCCCAGGCUUCAUUCGAAAACCAUAUACUUGGCUCAUUGCAUGAAAGACGAUUUUCAGGACUUUUCAGCAGGUACUUCUCCUCCAAUGUACGCCAUAAAGUUACCGCACACUCCUUAUCUUUCACCAAGUAUUUCACCUCCUUGGUCAAACAAGAUCUGAUCUGACCACAAGCUUUCUCAUUCAUACGAUUCCAAAUUUCUUCAUCAUAUAAGUGUCUUUUAUUUUUCAGAACAACAUCAAGAUCGAUUUGAAUAAGGGCAUCCGUAACUUCGUGCCUCCACAUGCCGAAGUUGAUUUUCCCAUCAAACUUUUCAACAUUGAUCUUUUUGCCUUCUAUAACAAGUGCUAAAUAGCGAUUUGACAAAUCUCGCCUCCCACCUGAAGUGUCUCCUGAAAUAGUCUCGGUAGAUCUCUCCCCAAUUCUGGAGGUUUCACCUUCUACCAUUUUCUCAACGAAUUAUUUCCACUUGAAAAACAGUCUCUAUGAUAUUAAUUUCGCGUGAAUAAAUGCACCAGGAAAGUUUUCAGGAGACUGGACGGGAACUCGGUCCCAAUUAAAAACCAGAAUCCUUAGACUCUUAUCGCCUUUGUUGACAGAAUUUUCUUAGACAUGCAAAAAUACACACUACUUUCAAUAGACUGUCUCCCAAGUACAAAUGGCCGACUCCACCGUAUUCAUGAACAGAACCGUAUAUGGGAAUAGCACCAUAUAUGUGAACAGUACCAUAUCCCCCCAAGUACGAACCGUCGGCUUUGAUACCAUUUGUUGUGCGCGAAAUGUGAAAUCAAGCGCACCGAAUAAUUACAUAAAAAUAAAGAACACAAGAAUUACGUGGUUCAGUAAUUAAACCUACAUCCACGAAGGCAAGAAAGAAUAAUUUUUUAUUUAACAAUUAAUAGAGUACAAAUAUUUGAGUAAUGAAUCUCACUUCCUAGAAACCCAAAUAUACCCAAUACUCUUACACUUUGCAUGAAAGAUAAAUUCCCCAGACACACUUCUCUCACUUCUCUCAAAAGCUUAGAAACUUAUAAGCUUAAUAAUUUUAGGAUGCUAAAGAAUGAAAAAAGUGCCAUCUAUUUAUAGAGAAAACAAUGGCACUAUUGCACCAACCCCUUUACUAUUUCACCUAACCUAAGCAAAUUGUCAAUGGUGUCCAUUUGGCAAAUUUGACAAAUUUGCCAACUUUCCAUUUUUUCUUCAAAUGUUUGGUAGCUCUUUGAAAAUUUGCAUGCUUUCUUGAAUUUGGAUGCCACAUGCAUGACUUUUCAACAGUCAAAACCCAACCAUAUGAUGACGAUCAAGAACCCAUACAUGCCACUCAUUACCAUACCCUUGUCGGCAGUCUACAAUAUCUUACAUUCACCAGACCAGACAUCACUCAUGCUGUCAAUAAAGUUUGUCAACACUUCCAGAGCCCUACUAAACAAGACCUCAAGGCUGUUACUAGAAUUUUUUGCUAUCUCAAAGGCACUCUCGACUUGGCCUUCGAUUCCUUGAAUAAAGCUCCAAUCUACUGUAUGCCUUUUCGAACUCUGAUUGGGCUGGUUGCCUUGAAACAAGACGUAGCACGACUGGCUUUUGUGUUUAACUUGGGGCAAACUUAAUCUCAUGGUGUAGCAAGAAACAAAGCACUGUUGCACGCUCCACUGCUGAAGCAGAAUAUCAUGCUUUAUCUUCCAUUACAGCUGAACUAACUUGGAUUCUUUCUUUAUUGCAGGACAUUGGGGUCUCACCAUCACACAUUCCUCACCUUCUUUGCAAUAACAAGAGUGUCAUCUACAUGACAACCAACCCAGUGUUUCAUGCUCAUAGCAAGCGUAUAGAAAUUGACAUUCAUUUUGUUCGUGAAAAAGUCUCUCAAGGACUCCUUAAAGCCACGCAUGUUCCAUCCUUAUAGCAAACUGCAGAUGUCCUUACUAAACCAAUGGGCAAAGAUCUUUUCUUUCUCUUUCGACACAAGCUCGACGUUUACUUUAUAACCUGGCCGAUCUUUAGGGGGGCUGUUAAGAUACAUUGCCCACCAAAUGUGGAAUUCGAACAGUCACAACAUAUGAACCACAUGCAGCCACAUGAGUCACGUACUAACAUGGAAAAAAUCAGCACACCAACUCAACCGCACAUUAACAAGGCAAGUAGCAAACCAUUGAAAACAAAUAUGGCAAUCUGUAUUGCUCUUGCCAAAGGCUUGCAACAAUCAUCUCACACAAUCCUGUGACAUGCAAACUCACUAAAGAAAGAUGGCCAACUAUUAUUCAAGUCCAGAUUCUCUUCAUAACUUAGCCAACGACUAGUCAACGACCAAGCUUGGAAUUAAUCACAUAAUUUCUAUAAAAUGUUUCUUCCAUAUAUAAUUCCUCUACUCGUGCAAAAAUACCCAAUCUUGUUCCUUAAAAACUACAGUCGAUAAAACUUUUAAUCCUUUUCAAUACUCUUGAAUUUUAACAAUUAAUUGCUAAUUUUUACAUUUUAGAGUUUUAAUUUUUUUACUUUAGUAUUUCUUUUUAUUUAGCUGUUACUUUUAAUUUUUAAAAUAUUAAAAAUAAAUAAAUAGACAAUGGUCCAAGGGUUUAGCAAGUGCGUACAAGUAUUGGUGUUUUAUAUCCGUAUCCAAUUCACCCAAUGAAUAGGUAUAAAAUUUUAUAUUUGUAUCCAAUGUUUUAUAAAAUAUGGAUAAAAUUAGACCCGACACCCAAUGUUAACGUAACAUGCCCUUAUACUUGUACAUAUUUUUUGUCAUCCCUAUAUAGGACUAUAACAAAGCCAACAAGCCUAUCUAAUGAGACUGGACCAUAAUUUUAUUUAAUAGAUCUUAGGCGUGGAUCAAUCUAGUUGCUCACUUUUGAUACCUUUGGUUGCUAUUUAAGUAGCAUUUACUUCUCAGAUUAGAGCAAGAAUUAUGAUAUUGAGAGUGAAAAUAAAUUGUUUACUUACACUGCAAGGAAAGCAUAGAAUAGGAAUCCAAAUUCGAUUUAUGUGUUUAUUUGUCUUAGAUUGGGAGUCGGUUGUUUUAAAUUAUAAUUUUACCUUUAUUUAAAGAAUUGUAGAUUAAUUACAAGUGAAAAAAAUAUAUUUGUGAAAUAAACUAUUUAUUUUAUUAUUAAUUUUAAUUAUAUAAAUUAGUAAUAAUUAUCAAUAUUCUUAAUUAUAUAAACCACAAUGUUUUAUUUAAUUUUAAUUUAAUUAAGUAAACUAAAAUUAUUGAUAAGGAUAACACAAAUGAAACAUCAUUAAUAAUAAUACACUACAAAAUUAAUAUUUUCUUAGAAUAAAUUAAUUAUUAUUAUUAAUAAUUAAUAUUAAAGAAAUAUGAUACAAUUAAAAUUAAAUAAAUAUAAUUAUAUUAUAUUUAAUAAAAAAAGGUAUAAAAAGAAGAAGAUAUCCUCUUGGUAGUGGAAUCCUCUUAAAUUUCUUGCCAUAAUGAUAGUCUCAUCUCCUUGGUCACCUCACCACGGACAAAUUUGCUAAAUUUCUAUUUUGAGCGACGUUGUUUUGUUCUCCAUGCUUCCUACCCAAAAAUCCACAAGCGGUGACUUCAUUCAACUUUUCCCAGCCCACUGACAGUGACGAGCGUCACGCCCACACCGUAUCUAUAUCUAUAUCUAUAUAUAUAAAGCUAGGACUUAAGGAGGUGAUGUGUUAUCACCAUUUUACUUCUUUGUAUAUUCUCUAUUAUCUAAUAAAUAGAGUUUUUUUUUUAGAUUUGGCUUUUCAUCUUCUCAUAAUUAAUUUGAUUGUAUUUAAUUCAUUUAAUAAAUAGUAACAUUAUUAAUAUAUAUCAUUUCUCAUCUUUUUAUAUUUUCUAUUAUCUAAAAUAUCUAAAAUAUUGGUGGAUAUUCUUUGUACUUUUUUUUCUCUUUCUAUUUAAAUUCAACAAUAUGUAAUCAUUAAUAAUAAUUAAUUAUAAGUGUUUUGAAACAUUUAUUUAUUUUAUUAUGCUUGCAAUUAAACUUUAGUGGCAUAAAAUACAUGAAUUAAUUAACAUAGGAAGAGAGGUUCUUUCAUUUUCCCUCAACAAUGCCACUACGGCCUAAUUUUAAUGUCAUAAUUCCAUAUUUAAUUAUGCAACCUUUUGUUGAGUGUCUUUUGGCUUUUUCAAAAUUUAUUAUGCUAUCAAUUAAACUUUAGUGCCUUAAAAUACAUCACCUAAUUAACAUUGGAAGAGAGGUUCUUUCAUCUUCCCUCAACCUCAUCUUUUUAUAUUCUCUAUUAUCUAAAAUAUCUAAAAUAUUGGUAGAUAUUCUUUGUACAUAUUUCUUUCUCUUUCUAUUUAAAUCCAACAAUAUGUAACCAUUAAUAAUAAUUAAUUAUAAGUCUUUUGAAACAUUCAUUUAUUUUAUUAUGCUAGCAAUUAAACUUUAGUGGCUUAAAAUACAUGAAUUGAUUAAUAUAGGAAGAGAGGUUCUUUCAUCUUCCCUCAACAAUGCCACUAGGGCCUAAUUUUAAUGUCAUAAUCAUAUAUUUAAUUAUGCAACUUUUUUUUUAGUGUCUUUUGGCUCCUUCAAAUUUUAUUAUGCUAGCAAUUAAACUUUAGUGGCUUAAAAUACAUCAAUAAAUUAACAUAGGAAGAGAGGUUCUUUCAUCUUCCCUCAACAAUGCCACUAGUGCCUAAUUUUAAUGACAUAAUCUCAUAUUUAAUUAUGCAACCUUUUGUUUAGUGCCUUUUGGCUUCUUCAAGCUCUCUAAACACUAAAUAUUUAAGAUUUGUUAUGUUUAGGGUUUUUUUAUUAUUUAAUCAACACCCUCUUUAGAAAAAUACUUGUAUUUUUAUUGUUUGAUUUAUUUGAAUUUUUGGUAUUGUGUGCUUCAUGGAGUACUCUUUUCUUCAUGAGUUGAACAAUGAUAAAGAUAGUUAGAUAAUAAGGGUUAGGCUUUGUAGGAUGUGGGAGUCUACUAAUACUAAAAAAAAUGGAGAAUUGAUUAGUGUUGAUAUGAUUUUUAUUGAUGAAAAGGUUGUAUAAAAAAUUUAUUCUCCCAUUGUUUUCUCUAAUUUUUUUCCCAAUUGUUUCACACUUAAUGUAGUAUGCGUUUUUUUUUUUUUUUGUAGGAAAAUCUAAUGCAUGCAUCAAUCAAGAAAACUUUAGUGACAAGGUUUAAGCACAUGUUGAGUGAGGGUUCUUUGUACAAUGUCAAGAAUUUGAAAGUUGUUUCAACUACAAGCAAGUACAGACCACUUUCAAAUCAGUAUAAGAUUAUUUUCUUGGUUAUAACUUCUCUUAAGAGGUUAGAAGAAGGAAUUGUCAAGAUUCCAAUUAAUGGAUUUUAAUUCGUAUCUCCGAAUUUGAUUGAUGUACGUGUGAAUGAUAACACAAUCCUCUUAGGUAUUUUUUUAAUUGUUAAUGUUUGUUAAUCUUUGAGUGUAUAUUAGAAAUUAUUAAUCCUUAUGUUUUAACAUGUUUAUGUUAUUUUUCCAUAAUAUUACAGAUGUUAUUGGAAGUUUAUGUGGUGUGGGUGAUAUUGAGAUCGUUGGAGCUGGUUGGAAAAAAGAGAUAUAAAAAUUCUAACGGAUUAGUAAGUUGAAUAUAAUUAAGAAAACUAUGACUUUAUAUUUUUUAGUUAUUUACGUUAUUUUUUAGUUAUUGGUUCUCUUUACAUUAUUAACUUUUGUUAAUUUUUAUGGAUAGCUCUGUAACAACGAAGAUUACUUUAUGGGGAAAGUUAGGAGAGAUGUUUGAUCCAAACUUGUACAAGAAAGACGAGGGUCCUUGUAUUGUGAUAGUAACUUCUACAACCAUUAAAAAAUUCCAAGAUGAUUAUUUUAUUUAGAUCCCACUAAUUAACAUUUUCAAAUGCAAUGUGGCUAUUUUUAUAUUAUACAAAAAUUUAGAUUUUGUUCAAGUUUCGUUUUACGUUACAUUUGCUCUAAACAGGUGAGGAUAAUUUCUCUACCACAAGUGCAAGCAAAAUCUAUAUAAAUCUUCAAAUAGAUUAUGUAGCAUCAUUAAUUGAAAGAUUUUCCAUUGUCUCCAACAUUGUGCAAGUUAUUGAAAGUUCGAAUGUGAAUAAGAUUACUUUUGAGGAAGAGAUGUUCCUUAACAUGAUGAGCAUUAAAGAACUGUUGGAGGCUGAUUAGAGUUCUCAAGUGAAGGUGAUUUUUCUAUUUUUUUUCCUUCUCAUCCAUUUGUGUUAUUUGUUCCUAAAUAUUGGAAUGUCCUUAUUAUUUUUGUAAAUGUUUAUUGUUUAAUUGUAGGAAUAUAUUGUUACUGUGCGGGGCAAGAUUAGUGAAAUAGACAACUCCUUUGGAUGGUACUAUGUUUCGUGCAAAACAUGCAUAAAAAAGGUCAUACCUACAAAUGGUAUUUAUAUGUGUGGCACUUGCAAAAAGGAAUGUGACUAUCCUCUUGUGAUGUAAGAAAAAUAAUAUUAUUUUUUAAAAAAAUUGCUUAUUAUGUUGUUAGUUUUUCAUUCUAAUUCAUUAUUCUAAUGUAGGUACAAAAUACAUAUAAAAGUCAUGGAUAAAACGGCAGAGACAACUUUUGUCUUAUUCAAUCAUGUAGCUGAGAAGUUACUUGAUACAUCCGCCCACAAGUUGUUUAAUAGACUAUCUUUAUAUAGUAAGGAUGUCCCUGCAGAAAUUCAAAGCCUUUGUGGAAAAGAUUUUGUUUACAAACUGAAAUUGAAUGAUUACAAUUUGAAAGAGGGACUUGAGAAUUUUACUGUGUCAAAGCUUUUCACCCCUGAUGAGAAAUUGGAGCUAGAACAAGAAUUGAAGAAGAACAAAAAGGUAUUAUCUACCUAUGCUAGGUUCAAUUUGUAGGCAAUAUAUGUAAUGUUAAAAACAAUAUUUAAUUGUUGUUUUUUGUAGGAAAAAAACAAUACAGAUCAUGAAAAUGUGGAAAUAUAUGAAAGAAAGGAAGGACAUUCCCAAGAAAUGGUAAUUUUAUUUACCCUUAUUUCCCAGUUGUUUUACUUUAUGAUUAAAAUUAGCAUGUUCAGUUUACUCAUAAUUAUAAUUUCCUUGAUUAAAAAAUUACAGGAUCCUCAUGAUAUCUUAUCAAAUAAUUUGGAAGAUUCUGUGGGAGAUUUUCAUGUUACUAAUGCUGGUAAGAAUAAAAAGAGAAAAAACCAAAUUAUUGAUGAUGAUGAAGUUAGUGAUGGUGGAAGUAAUCAAUACACAAAACAUGUUUAGUGUUGUUGUUGGUCGUCUUUUUACAUGUGUGUUAGUCUUUUGACCUUUUUUCUUUUUAGAGUGGUAAUAUUUAAGUGUGAUAUGAUAUGUCUUAUUUUUCUAUCUAUGUAUGUAUUUGUUUUGAACGAUUGAGAGAACUUAUUUUUCUUGUGUUAUAUUUCUUUCUUGGCAUCUUGCUUCGUUCUAUAGAUGAAUGUAGAUAAUAAAUUGGUAGUGACAAUGCAAAAAAAAGGCUUAUCAUCAUCAACAAGUGAUAGCAACAGAAAGAAACGCUAGACGCAAAUAAUUGGAUUAAUCUCUACACUUCACUUGCGAUAAAAUAUAAAUUUAAUUUUUGUUACUUUGAGUUUCAGACUUUCAAUCACCGAAAUCUGAAAAAUGAAACCCCAAAGAUCUAAUCCGAACACUUAAGAUUGAGAUCAAUAAGUUAAAAAUAAUAGUUAUAUGUAUGCUUAUACCACUUAACACAUAAUGUUUCUAAUUCAUUGAUUGAUAUUGUGAAUAAUCUCUUGGGUAAAUUUUGAAUUAUUCCAAAUUGAUUAUUUUUAAAUUACUUCCUUAUUUUUAAAAACUUCAAGUUAUUUUUAUUUUUGCUUAAAAAAUGAGGGGAGAGAGGUAAUUUACAUUUUUUAAAUUAUUUUAAUUACGAAUAUUUUUUAAAUUAUUUUCCUUACUAACAUUAUUUUAAUAUGAUUAGUCUACUGAACAAAUGAAUCUAUUCAUAUUAUAUUUGUAUUUAUUGAAAAUUUUUCAAUUUCAAUUUUUUUUAACUCUUUGAGAAGAAACCCUCCCUAAAUUCUCUAUCUUCCAUCACAAAUCAAUCUCCCGAAGUCUGUUGUUGAUCGGCUUUAUAAACUUAAAGUUUGUAAUGCAAAACCGAAAAUCUUUUUUUCGUUCAUUUGUUGCCCUCUCUUGCUCUUUCUAAUCAUUUUAACCAGCCAUCAACUUGGUCAAAUUAAGUGACUCAAGUCCCCGCACGAGGACUUAAAUGAUGAAACUAAUGAAUUGGGCACCUGAAAAACUCCGCGUUUUGCUCUGUUUUUGAUGUAUUAACGUCCAACAUGAUCCUAGCCUUAAAUUCCAAAGUUACCCAAAACUAAUUUGGGAGUAAUGUUUUACUUAAUUUACAUUUUAGUUGCCUAAGAAAACAUUAUUGUUCUCCAAUAAUAAAUAAAAUAAGUGGGAACUUUGAAAAUUCAAACACAAAAAAAGCUCAUUUGAACCGUUGGUUUUUGAUAGCUGCUGUAUUCAAGAAUAAAAAAGUUAAGAAAAGAUGAUAACGUAUAAAAUCUAAAAAUAGCAUUGAAAAAGAGCCAAAAGAAAAUCUGGAUAAUAAUAAUAUCAAUGUCCCUAUAUUUUAUCAAAUAAGGAUAUUGUUUAUCAAUUUAUAUCAAAUAGGCUCCUAACCGAGAUUGAAUAAAGAUUCAAUGUUGAUCUAAUUUUUGUGAUGAAUUUUAUAAAGGUUUUUCGUCUGAUUAAUAGUUUUUAAAUAACAAUAUAGAUACAACUAAAUUUUAAUCAUAUAUUAUUAUAAAUAUACACAUAUCAAAACAUAAAUAAAUAAAGAUUAACACUUAAUCUAGAUUCAACAAAAUUGGAUUUUGAAUGACACAUAUUUAUAGUUUAAUAAUUGAAAGGUGUUUUAUUAGUGAUUGUAAAAGAGAUUGGGACUUAUUUGAUGCAAAUAGACAAUAUAUGUUUAUAAAACAUUAAAAGGAAAAAGUAAUGGAUCCAAUUAUUAUCACUCUGAAAAGAAAGCACAUUGUUUCAAAUCUUCACAAAAUACAAAAUACAAAAAUGGAUUGUUUAUUUUUUCACAUCAUAACAUAUAAUUUAAUUAAUAUCGGAAUGAAGGUUCUUUUAUCUUCCCUCAACAAUGCCACUACCAAGGCCUAAUUUUAACCCUAUAAUCUCAUAUUUAAUUAUACAACAUUUUGUAUCUACUUUUUUAUUUAUAGAUAAGUCUUAGUGAAUAAUUAAUUUUCAUCUUAAAUCUAAUUAACAUUAAUUUAAAGAAUUGAAACUUAAGACGGUUCCUUUAGCAAAUGUUAAUUGCUAACAACAAGUUUAAGAUUUGUUAAGUGUUUAAUUGCAACCCAUUAACGGCUUUGACAAUGAUUGAGGUUUAAAAGAAAUAAAGAAAGAAAUGGGGAGACGUCGUAUUACAUUGGUUUUAUUAUCAACAAUUAAUUAAUCAUUAUAUCAUUUUCAAUUAAUUAGAAAACAUUUAGACUCACGAGAUCUUGAGGUAAUAGCAACAUUAUCGACUAAUGAUUGUCUUGAAGAUAAGAAAGACGCAAAUUGCUAUAAAACACAUCAUUUGCGUACCAAUUUCACCCAAUAAUUGAAAAUUGAAAAAUUUCUCAUAAAAUUUAAACCUAGAUAAAAUAAAUAAUAAGAAAACAAUAGUUAGCUACCGUCAAUAGAAAAAUGAAAGUCGGGUAAAAGACAGAAGAUUUGGUUGAGAAAUCAAUACUAUUACAACACUCACGUUGUUAUCCAUGUCUCUUAAUUGAUUAUAAGCCUUGACUACAAGAGGCGAUGUGACAUCACUAUUUUACAUCUUCUUAUAUUCUUUAUUAUCUAAUAUAUUGGUUGAGAUUAAAAAAUAAUUAUAUUAUAAAAUAUUAAAAAUAGAAUAUAAUUAUUAGGUUACAAAAGAUUACAUGUCUUUUCCUCUUUCUAUUUAAAUUCAACAAUAUGUAACCAUAAUAAUAAUUAAUUAUAAGUCUUGAAACAUUCAUUUAUUUUAUUAUACCAACAAUUAAACUUUAAUGUCUUUAAAAAGCAUCAAUUAAUUAAUAUAGAAAGGAAGGUUCCUUCAUCUUCCCUCAACAAUGCCACUAGGACAAAAUUUUAAUGUUAUAAUUUCAUAUUUAAUUAUGCAACCUUUUGUUUAGUACUUUUUGGCUUCUUCAAAUUCUAUAAAUAUUAAGUAUUUAAGAUUUGUGGCAUCAUUAUUUAUCAUCUCUUUAUAUUCUCUAAUAUCUAAUAUAUUAGCUUAAAUUAAAAAAUAAUUACAUUACAAAAUAUUAAAAAUAAAAAAUAAUUAUUAGAUUACAAAAGAUUACAUGUCUUUUCCUAUUUCUAUUUAAAUUCAACAAUAUAUAACCAUUAAUAAUAAUUAACUAUAAGUCUUGAAACAUUCAUUUAUUUUAUUAAACCAACAAUUAAACUUUAGUGGCUUAAAAUACAUCAACUAAUUAAUAUUAGGAAUGAAUUCUUUCAUCUUCCCUCACCAAUGCCAUUACUAGGGUCUAAUUUUAAUGUCAUAAUCUCAUAUUUAAUUAUGCAACCUUUUAUAUAUAUUUUUUUAAAAUACGAUAAGCCUUAGUGAAUAAUUAAUCUUCAAUGUCAAAUCUAAUUAACAUUAAUUUAAAGAAUUGAAACUUAAGACGGUUUCUUUAGCAAAUGUUAAGUGCUAACAAAUUUUAGAUUUAUUAACAUCCAUGGAACUAGCUGAGAAGGUCCACUACUCUACUAUUUCAAUUGAUCAAUAAUGAAAAUCAAAAGCCUUUGAUUUUUGCCCAAACUAAUUCUUCUUCUUCAUAUUUUCUCUGCUAAACCCAGGUAAUGUUAAUAAACUCAACUAUAUAUAUAUUGAUUUACGUUUUUGUUUUCAAUCCAUGCAUUGAAAGCUUAGACCCGUUUAAGAAUUAUUAGUAGACACAUGUUUUAUCAGUGUCAUCUUAGGAUGACAAGAGGAUCAUAUGUCUAUUAAUAAUUCUUGAAUUGUCCCAACUUGGACAGUUUGGGAAUGCAUAAUUUUUUUUAGUUCCAAGUAGGUGAAGUUUUGUUUCACGUAAAAGGAAAUUUCGAUAGCUGCUCUUCAUGUUCUCUGGGUACAUACUAGAUGAAUGCAUAAAUCUAGGUCGUGUACUUGCAAAACUAUGGGGAGAUGCUGUCGAAAUUUCUGUAAAUGUGGAAGAAACUUCACCUACUAGGGAUUGAAAAAAAUUGUUCAUUCUUAAAUGGGAUUUAUAGGACCACCUACCAUUUGUAAAUGUGAAGAGAAUGUUGGAAAUUGGGGAAGCGAGGAGCUGAGUUGGUAAAUGUAAUUGGUUGUGGUUUUGCUGAGUUGAGUUGAGUUGUUAAAGAAACCAUUAUUGGCUGUUAACAAUCACAAAUUCUCAUCAAACAUUUAGUUGAAUAUGCCAAACACACAGACUAUCAUGCUUUAAUUUCUUUAGAGUAUGACAUGUUUGAAGUUUGAUAAUUGAUUCCAAUUAGGCUAUAUAUAUUUAUAUUUUGGUAUUUAAUUUCUUUGGAUCAAUUUAAUUUGAUGCCAAAUUGUCAAUGCUUUCUAUUUGUUUAUCCUUAUCGAAUAAGUUUACUCGAUUUCAUUAUUAUGAAAACUUAGUUUUAAACAUAAUAUGUUGUUCUUAUUUUCAUUAACACCGGAUUACUUUGUUUUAACAGAUUACUGCUCAAUUGUCUUUACAAUUGUUGCUGUCUACUUGUUUGCGAAAAAGCAUAAGGUAAGAAAGAAAAAUCUUUGAAUAAUCUUUGGUUGUCUAAUUUAUGCGAUUUACACGUGGAGGUAUUGAAGAUUUUCACUUUAAUUUUUCAAUGCAAACUUUGAAAGCUUAGACCCAUUUACGAAUUAUUAGUAGACACAAGUUUUAGCUCGUGUUUAUAUUUAUUGACUAAUUAAUCUCUGGUGUAGUUUUAUUUAAUUGUUAUAUAAUUCGCAUGCAGGAGGUACAAUUAAAAGAGGCGGGUCUUUUCUGAACGUGAACUAGCUAUAUUUGACUCGGAGGAUCCAGUGUCAAUCUGGAUAUUUGGUGUUUUGUGGAAAUAAACAGAUAAAAAAGGUUUAACUAAAUGCUUAAAUUGUUCUCGACUGCAUUGUACAAUGUACUUGACUAUUGAGUGAUAGAUUUUGCCUGUGUGAUUGGAACAAUGCUAAUGAUUCUAAUAUUUAGUCCUAAUUGAUGUGGUACAUAUCUUUUAAAUGAUAAAAUAAUAAUUUUAUGAAACUAUUCAACUGCUUUUCUAACCUUCAAUUUUUGGUUUGAAUUGAAUUUUAUGAAAUUCGAUAAAGUAAACAGAAAAAUUAAUGCCUCCCAUUUGCAAGCAUUUCUAGGAAAUCUUAGAAGUACAAAAUAGCAAACUUCGAAAUGUCUUAAUUCAAUAUCAUUAAUUUGACUAUUGACUUCUAAAAAGAUGCAAAAAAUAAUUAUGAACAAACAAUUAUUUCACAAUACAUGUAUGCAAUAUUAUUAAUUCUUAUGCAAACAAAAAAAUUAAUUGAUUAAUAACUAUUAACUCUUUGUGAGUGAAAAAAGAUAGAGACAAAUGGUGGAAAAAACAUAUCAUUUUUACAGUUCACCAAAUGGGGAAGCUGGAAAAAAAGAUAUAAAAAGUUUUAACAGAUUAAUAAGUCGAAUAUAAUCAAGAAAACUAUGACUAUAUAUUUUUUAAUUAUUGUUUUAUCAUAAGAAUUGAUCGACAAUUUGACUUCACUAAUUUUAUUAGUUCUUUCCUAAUUUUUAAUUUUCUUUUUCACUAAAUACAUCCAAUAUUUGUUGAAGAAAAACCGUUAAAGUAAAAUGAAAAAGGAUAUAGCCCUUAGAGAUUAUUCAAUGUAUUCACAAGAAAAAUUAAUUAGAAAAUAUGUUCUAAACAACAGUACUUGGCAGUUAGCAUAAUUAAUAAAAGAAAAAAUUUAUGAAAAUCACUCUAAAUCCAAAUGGAAUGUAGAAUGAACAACCUCAAUUCCUUGAAUUAUUGCCUAAUUAUUUGUUCUAAUUCUUAAGAAAAACAUUUUUUUUCUUUUCCUCACACCCCACCUCUUCAUAAGCACAAAUAAAAAAGUCAAGUGGUAAUAUUCAUAUUGAAAUAGGGAAUAAUAAUAUUGGUGAUUUGGAAUUAAAAAAAGUAACCAAUUGUAUAAUAACGUAAUUCGAAACUUUCGAAUUUAAUGAUAAUACGAUAUCCUUAUAAUGAGUUUUUCUCUUUACAUUAUUCACUUGUGGCAAUUUUUAUGGAUAGCUCGGUGAUAUCAAAGAUUACUUUAUGGAAAAAGUUGGGGGAGAUGUUUGAUCGAAAUUUGCACAACAAAGAUGACAGUCCGUGUAUUGUAAUAUUAACUCCUACAACCAUUAAAAAAUUCCAAGGUGAUUAUUUAUUUAGAUCCCACUAAUUGACAUUUUCAAAUGCAAUGUGACUACCUUAAUAUUAUACAUAAAUUCAGAUUUUGUUCAAGUUCUGUUUUAGUUCAUAUUUACUCAAAAUUAAUUGCCUUUAAAUUUACAUUAGAACUGUUAAAGUGGAUUUUUGUUGACUUUCUAUAUUAAUUUAGGGUAUCGUAAUUAGACCUAAAAUCAAUCAAACUUAGAAGUUUGUUCUGAAAAAAUGUGUUAACGUUGUUUUUAAAUACACAAUUAUGGAAACAAUUCAUAAUUAUUUAUCGGUUUGAAAAUAACAAAAACAUUACAUUAAUGAUUAUUUUGCAUGGAUUGAUUUGAUAAUAUCACAACUGAAAAAGCUCACAAUGUACCCACCAAAUUCGAAGAAUAAUAACCUAAUAAAGAAGUAAUCUAAAAGCCUCUUUCAUGGCUAUAAGCACAACAAAAAUUAAUGCCAAUAUGACACUUGCAUGAGUUUAAAAUUAAAUUGAAUUGGUUAAAUUAAAUCCCAUUUUAUUUUGUUUUGUUUUUAGUGAUUUUUUUUGUUCUUUCUAACAUAUGGUAUGUAUUCAUUCGAAAAAUUCAUUGCAAUUCUUAUUUUCAUAAUUGAAAAAUAUUUUUUAUCUCUUUUGAAAAAAAACAUUUUAUAUUUUCGGUUUCUCUUGUUAUGAUUUGUAAUAAAACGUUUUGCUAAUUUUAGAAUAUUUUUUUAUAUUGAAUUCACUUUAUUGUUCACCAGAGUAAAUGGAAUUGAUUUUUGCAACUAUUAAUGAUUUUGGUGACUCAAGGAAUAUUCCGCCAGAAGUUUGUCUCUUGCGGCAUCAACUUUCAUCUUUAGCUCGGCACGAAAGGACUAUGAAAUUAAAGCUUAGGAAAUGUGGAUCAAAUUUCCAGUGCGACACAAUAAACAAUGGAUAUGUUGUCGUGAAGAAGGCCAUAUUCAAGCAUGCAAGAUUUAAGCAAAAAAUUAUGAUUAUUCAUAAUAGAUAUAAACAUGAUUUAAAAAAGGAGAAUCAUUUUGAUGCUACAAAUUGUGAAUUUUUACACAAAAUGUAUGAAGUUGGACGACAUUAGAAGUGACAAUAAAUUGCUUCACUCAAACGGUAUGUGAUUCUUGAAAAUAUGAUUUUUAUUCCUACUAUACAAAUUACAAAAAUUAUCCCUAUAUAAUUUAAAUUAUUUAUGUUAAUAUAUAUUAACAAAUAUAUAUAUUUCUAACAUAUUUCAGUUGGGAAUUUCCUUCAAUCUCCUGGUAAAGCUGGAUAUGAUAAUAAUAAAACAUCAUCACAUAUAAAUCCAAAGAGUCAAACAAACAGAGGAAAGCGCCUUCUUCACACAGGUACGUAUAUAUAUUUACAUUUAUCAAGCUUUAUUAGUUAUUUGUCAUACUUGUAAUACUUGAAACUAAUAACUUAUUCAUUACUUUUGGAACUUUAAAAAUAUGCAGUUGAACAUGGACAACUAAAAAGAGCGUGUCUCUCUUUUGAUGAGAAUAUAGAUCAGUCUACAAGCUUUCCACUGGAUGGUGUAACAUCAAAUAAUGGUACAUAUUUGCAUGAAACUACAUGAACAAUGAAAAUAUUAAUAUAUUUAGUAAUAUUUUUUCUUACCAUAUUCACUUAGACGAAAUAAGAUACUUUGUUACAAUAUUAUUAUUUGUUGAAUUUGACAGUUCAUUACACAACGCCUUGGAAUUUUGGACCCCCUACAUACACAUGUCAAUAUUGUGGUGCCAUUUUAUGGUACGAGGAACGAAAAAAGAAAACCAAAAGGUUCUCACAUCCCAAAUUCACAUUUUGUUGUAUGGAAGGUCGUGUACAGAUUCCAUUCAUGAAAGAAACACCUCCUUUACUCCAAUAUCUUCUCGGAGCAGAUUCUGGACAAAAGGGUUCCAAAUUUCGAAAAACUAUCAAGGCUUAUAACUCCAUGUUUGCUUUCACAUCUAUGGGAGGUCGAGUUGAUACAUCAAUCAAUCGAUCAAAAGGUGCUUAUGUUUUCAGGAUGAGCGGUCAUAAUUAUCAUCACAUUGGUUCUUGUUAGCCUAUAUGGCUAUAAAUAUUGAUUUUGAUGAUAACAAACCACAUGUAUUUUAAAAGCUUUGAUAAUGUUUUUUAAAGUUUUGGAUUUGGACUUAUUUGAAAUUAUUUAAAUGUUUUUGGGGUCAUUAUAUAAUUUCACAAAGUUUGGGCAAAGUCAUAAUUUCAGAAAGUUUUGGGAUUAAUGAAGCAUUACUUAAAAAAUUUUGAAAUUGGACCUAUUUGUAAAGUUUCAUAACGUUUUGGGCCAUACUAUAGUUUUUAUAAAGUUUUAGGGUCAAACUGAAAAUAUAAAAAAAAUUUCACUGUAGCAGGUUACUGUAACAAGCGGCUUACCGGAUACUGAUAAACGACAAACCGGUUUCGGGGCAGCAAGCACCCAGAACGAAAACGGCUUACCGAAUUCCGAAUCCGGCAAGCCGGUUAGGCAAAAUUCAAAAUUUUGCCUUAACGGUAACAUAAAUCCGGCUUACCGAAUUCCAUAAAACGGUAAACCGGAUAGCCCAGAAUGUGAGUAACGGCUAGUUUUCGAGCUCAAGCUAUAAGAACUCAAAUUCAACUCAUUUUGAAGCUCUCCAACAAGCAAAAACAAAAAGCACACGUGAUAUCUUGAGUCUUCAACUUGUCAAACACAAAACAUUGAAUCAUUCAUUGUUCUUCAUCAUUGCAUAUCUACUCAUUGAGUGAGAUUUAUUGUAAUCUUCAUUUCUUCAUUUCAUUUGUAAGAAUUUGAGUGUGUGAAACACUUGAGUGAAGAGAUUGGGAGAUAAUCUCUUCGUUGUAAAGGUUUAUUGACACCUCGAAGUCAAUUGUAAUCGGUUGAAGCCUCGAAAAGGCUUGGAUAGUGAAAUCCUCAAGCUUGGAUUGCUUGGAGGCGUGGACGUAGGCGGGGAUUGCCGAACCACGUAAAAAUCCGUGUGUUUGUUUCUCUUCUUCCUUACUCUUUAAUUAUUGUGCCUUUAUUAAACUUAUUGCUUUCAAUUUUUAUUAAGGCAUUAGAUUGUUUGUUGUGUGGAUUUGCUAGGAUAAUUUUUAAAUUUUCAAUUCACCCCCCCUCUUGGGUUGCACACUUAUAUUUCAUUUGGUAUCAGAGCGAGGUGCUCUUAUUUAGAUUUAACCAUCUAGAGCUAAAGAUCAAUGGCAACUCAAAAUGAUUUCACAUUUAGGGAAGGGCAGUCCACCACUAGACCACCUUACUUUGAUGGAAACGAUUACCCAUAUUGGAAAACUAGGAUGAGAAUUUACUUGCAAGCCUUAGAUUAUGAGAUUUGGGAAAUUAUUAAUGAUGGUCCUUUCAUGCCUUUGACUAAAAAUGAAGUAGGAGAAGAUAUUCCAAAACCUUCACGGGAUUGGAAUGAAUUCGAAAAAUAAAAGCUUCUUUAAAUUCCAAGGCCAUGAAUGCCUUGUUUUGUGCACUAGAUAAGAAAGAGUUUCAUAGAGUGUCUAGUUGCGAAAGUGCUAAUGAGAUUUGGCACAAACUUGAGGUUGUCUAUGAAGGCACGAACCAAGUGAAAGAAUCUAAAAUAAGUAGGUACACUCGACAAUACGAAUUGUUCCAAAUGGAACAAAAUGAAAAUGUGUACUCUAUGUAUGCUAGAUUCACGGACAUAGUGAACACUCUAGGAGCCCUAGGAAAGACUUUUUCAAAUAGCGAAAAAGUCAAGAAAAUCAUUAGGUCUCUACCUAAGGAGUGGAGACCAAAAAGGACUGCCAUUGAGGAAGCCAAGGAUUUAAAUGUGUUACCUAUUGAUGAUUUAAUUGGCUCUCUUAUUUCAUAUGAAGAAGAUUUGGCAGCUGAAAAAGGGCAUGAGGAAACAAAGAAGAACAUUGCUCUCAAGGCUUCAAAACGUGAGAGUGAUGCGGAAAGCGAAAUGGAUGAUGAGGAGCUGGCUAUGUUGGCUAGAAGAUUCAGAAAAUUUUACAAAAGGAACAAUGAGCAGAGAAAGUUCAGAGCCUACAAAAAUAAGAAGGAAAAGAAGGAGCCGAUCACUUGUUAUGAAUGCAAGAAGCCCGGACACAUACGACCGGAAUGUCCUCUUCUCAACAAAUCCAAGAAGAAGGCUAUGGUGGCCACAUGAGAUGAUAGUGAUGAGGAAACAAGUGACGAUGAUGAGCAACAAGAAAUGACAAACUUAGCUCUCAUGGCCAUUGGGGAAGAAUCAUGUGAUGAACUUGAUGAGGUAAGUGUUCUUCCUACAUAUGAUGAAUUGCAUGAUGCUUUUAAUGAUUUGCAUGAUGAGCUAAUGAAGAUUGGUAAAAAGAAUAUAAGUCUUAAAAAGAAGAUGAUAGAGCUUAAGAAUGAAAAUGAUUCAUUUAGUGCAAAGAUUACACGCCUAGAAUUAGAAAAUAAGACAUUGCAUGAUAGUAUUGCAUUACUUGAGAAUUCUAGCACUUCACAUGAGCACUUAGAGCCACACAUGAAUGACUUGAAAAAUGAGAAUGAAAUGCUUAGAAAGAAGAGUAAUGAGUUAAAUGAAAUUGUGUUAAGAUUCACAAAUGGGCAAAAGAUGUUGGACAAUUUGCUAAACUCACAAAAAUGUGUAUUUGACAAAAGUGGCAUAGGUUAUAAACCGAAUUUAAAACAAAAAUUUUACAAGAGUUAUUUUGUGAAGAAUACAUCUAUUAACAAUAAAAUUGUAUGUCAUUAUUGCAAUCAAGAUGACCAUAUGAAAAAUAGAUGUGCAGUGAAGAGAAAUGCAUAUUAUGGUAUGAAAUGUGUUUGGGUUCCGAAAGGAACCAUUGCUAACUCUCAAGGACCCAAAAAUGUUUGGGUACCUAAAGCUUGAGAUUUUCUCUACAGGGCUCAAAGAAGAAGAAGAAUAAGUGGUACUUGGACAGUGGCUGUUCAAGACACAUGACAGGGAAUUAUUCUUGGUUUUCAAGCUUUACCAAGAUCGAAAAUGGUGGAGAUGUUUCGUUUGGGGAUAAUUCAAAAGGAAAAAUCAUUGGGAUUGGAAAUGUCGGUAAUGUAUCCUCUACUCUCAUUGAAAAUGUGUGUUUGGUUGAAAACUUGAAACACAAUUUGCUUAGUAUUAGUCAAUUAUGUGAUAAAGGAUAUAGAGUUAUCUUUGAUGAAUCGAAGUGUCUUAUUGAGAAUGCAUGUGAUGGGAAAGUCUUGUUUGUAGGAAAUAGAUGUGUUAAUGUCUAUACCAUUAAUAUAGAUUGUGCAUCAACAAAUGAGAAAUGUCUUUCCGCAUUGCAUGAUGAUGGUUGGUUAUGGCAUAGAAGAUUAGGUCAUGCAAGCAUGGAUUUGAUUUCAAAAAUCGUGAAAAAUGAUUUAGUAAAAGGUCUUCCAAAAAUCAAUUUUCAAAAAGAUAGAACUUGUGAAGCAUGCCAAUUUGGAAAACAAAUCAAAACUUCCUUCAAAAGCAAAAAUCAUGUUUCCACUUCAAAACCACUUCAAUUGCUUCAUAUAGAUUUAUUUGGACCUUCUAGAUAUGCUAGUUUAAGUGGCAAAUAUUAUACAUUUGUUAUUGUGGAUGAUUAUUCUAGAUACACAUGGGUAUUGUUCUUAGCUAAUAAGGAUGAUGCCAUUGAUGCAUUUCAAAUUUUCUUUAAGGUUCAAAAUGAAAAAGGUUAUUCUAUUACUUGUAUUAGAAGUGAUCAUGGUGGAGAAUUUGAAAAUCAUGCAUUUGAAAAUUUCUGUAAUGACCUUGGCAUUGAACAUCAAUUUUCAUCACCUAGGACUCCACAACAAAAUGAAGUAGUAGAGAGAAAGAAUAGGUCUAUUCAAGAAAUGGCUAGGACCAUGUUGAAUGAAAAUUCUUUGCCUAAGUAUUUUUUGGCCGAAGCCGUCAACACCGCUUGUUAUGUUUUAAAUCGGGUGUUGAUUAGACCUAAUCUCAAUAAAACUUCAUAUGAGCUUUGGAAAGAUAGAAAACCCAACAUUGGCUAUUUAAAGUUUUUGGAUGCAAAUGUUUUGNNNNNNNNNNNNNNNNNNNNNNNNNNNNNNNNNNNNNNNNNNNNNNNNNNNNNNNNNNNNNNNNNNNNNNNNNNNNNNNNNNNNNNNNNNNNNNNNNNNNNNNNNNNNNNNNNNNNNNNNNNNNNNNNNNNNNNNNNNNNNNNNNNNNNNNNNNNNNNNNNNNNNNNNNNNNNNNNNNNNNNNNNNNNNNNNNNNNNNNNNNNNNNNNNNNNNNNNNNNNNNNNNNNNNNNNNNNNNNNNNNNNNNNNNNNNNNNNNNNNNNNNNNNNNNNNNNNNNNNNNNNNNNNNNNNNNNNNNNNNNNNNNNNNNNNNNNNNNNNNNNNNNNNNNNNNNNNNNNNNNNNNNNNNNNNNNNNNNNNNNNNNNNNNNNNNNNCGAGGUGUUACCACUAGAUCAUCUCUUAAGAACACAUGUGAGCAUGCUGCAUUUAUUUCUCAAAUUGAACCAAAAUCCUUUGCGGAUGCGGAAAAUGAUGAAUCUUGGAUUAUGGCAAUGCAAGAGGAGUUGAAUCAAUUUGAGAGAAAUAAUGUGUAGGAGUUAGUUCCUAAUCCAGAACAUCAAUCCAUUAUAGGUACUAAAUGGGUGUUUAGAAACAAAAUGGAUGAAUCCGGUGUGGUUGUAAGAAAUAAAACUAGAUUAGUGGCUCAAGGUUACAACCAAGAAAAAAGAAUUGAUUUUGAUGAAACUUUUGCACCUGUAGCAAGGCUAGAAUCCAAUAGGAUGUUGUUAGCAUAUGCAUGUCAUAAGGAUUUUAUUUUGUAUCAAAUGGAUGUCAAGAGUGCUUUCUUAAAUGGAUACAUUAUGGAGGAAGUUUAUGUGAAACAACCUCUUGGUGUUGAAAAUGAAAAAUUUCCAGAUCAUGUGUAUAAGUUAUCCAAGGCUUUGUAUGGUUUAAAACAAGCACCUAGAGCUUGGUAUGAUAGGCUUAAAAAUUUCUUGUUGGAUAACGAUUUUUCAAUGGGAAAAGCGGACACAACUCUUUUUGUUAAGCAUAAGAACCAAGACAUACUUAUUGUUCAAAUUUAUGUUGAUGACAUCAUUUUUGGUUCUACUAAUGAGUUGUUGUGUAAAGAUUUUUCAUCAUGUAUAAGCCAAGAGUUUGAGAUGAGUAUGAUGGGAGAGUUGAAGUACUUCCUUGAACUUCAAAUCAAACAAAACGAGGAAGGAAUUUUCAUAAACCAAGCCAAGUACGUGAAAGAUCUACUCAAAAGAUUUGGCUAUGAUAAUGGAACGGCAAAAAGCACUCCUAUGAGUACUACCAUCAAGCUGGACAAAGAUGAGAAAGGUAAGGAAGUUGAUAUCAAGACUUAUCGAGGUAUGAUCGGAUCCUUACUCUACUUGACUGCUAGUAGGCCUGAUAUUAUGUUUAGUGUUUGCUUGUGUGCUAGAUUUCAAUCUUGUCCUAAAGAGUCUCACAUGCUUGCUGUCAAAUGCAUUUUUCGAUAUCUAAUUGGCACUAUUAAUCUUGGCCUUUGGUAUCCUAGAGGAACUCAUAUUGAUUUAACCUGUUAUUCGGAUGCCGAUUUUGCUGGGUAUAAGGUUGAUAGAAAAAGUACUAGUGGAACAUGUCACUUCCUAGGCCAUUCUAUUGUCUCUUUGUUUAGUAAGAAACAAAACUCGGUUGCGCUUUCAACCACCGAGGCAGAAUAUAUUGCCGUAGGUAAUUGUUGUGCACAAAUUUUAUGGAUGAAACAAACCCUUAGAGACUAUGGCAUUAUACUUGAUCAUAUUCCUAUCUUAUGUGACAAUACUAGUGCUAUAAAUCUUUCCAAGAAUCCCAUUCAGCAUUCUAAGACUAAGCAUAUAGAAAUUAGACAUCAUUUCCUUAGAGAUCAUGUUCAAAAAGGGGAUGUUGUAAUUAAAUUUGUUUCCACUGAAAAUCAACUUGCGGAUAUCUUUACAAAACCUCUUAGUGAAGAGCUUUUUAUAAAGAUAAGACAUGAGCUUGGAAUGAUGAAUGUUGAAUCUUAAUUCAUGCUUUAUUACAUAGCUUGAUAUGCUUGUUAUCGUAUGGUUUUAUGCUACAUGAAUUAGAUAACUUGAUAUGCUUGUAAAUUUGUGAUUUUAUGAUCUUGUGCUUCAUGCAUUAAAUGGCCUAUUGAAAAGUUUUAAAUCUCAAAAUGAUUUAAAAUAAAUCAAAUUUUAAGGCCAUAAAUAAAAUGGUGUGAGUAGUACAAGCAUAGGAGCUAGCAAAUUUUCCCUUUCCAUUCAUCCGGAAAAACAUUUCUCCUCAUUGAUCUCUCUCGGAACACAUUCCGGACAACCGGAUUUGCUGUGCUUCAUCUCUGCCUCAUAACCGGUCUACCGGUUAUCAAACAAACGGAAAGCCGAAUUCUUUUUGCAAACUAGCUGGAGCAAAACCGGAUUUCCGGUCCAAGACAAUCCGGAAAACCGGAUUUUUGAAAACUCUCGAAACCGGCCUGCCGGAUGAGGAAACCGGCAAACCGAAUUGCUUCUUUCUACUCUCGGGUCAAUUUUCGGAUUACCGGAUUUAGAUUUCGAAAAGCCAUUUUCGGCUUUGUCCAAAUCUGUCCACGAACCGGCUUGCCGGUUAGCAAAUCCGGCAAACCGGAUUCGUGCUCUUUAUAAACGGUUCAAAAUGGCAGCUCUCGGUUUUAUUUUCGGCUAACCGGAUUUGCAAUCCGGCAAACCGUUUUUGUGUGUCUUGAAUCUGUCCACGAACCGGCUUGCCGGUUAGCAAAUCCGGCAAACCGAAUUCGUGCUCUUUUAUCACUAUUCAUCUUCUCCUCUCUUGUUUCGAUUUUCCAUUUCUAUUCUCUCUCUAAAAACUGAUUGUCUCUCUCUCAUUUUAACUUCAAAAUCCACCAUUUUCACUCGGAUUUGAUGUAAAUUCGUCCAUGAAUCUUGAUCCCCAUCCGUUCUUUUGCCUAAACUCACACUCAAAACUCAUUUUCAAACUCCAAAUCUCUAUAUCCGAAUCUUAACCUAGGUUUUGGGCCGAAUUUUCUCACUCUAGAUUUCUCACUCUCAAGCCAUUUUUGAUCCAAUUUGUUUCACCAAAUCACUUUCAAUCUUCAUCAUCAUCAUUCUCCUUAUCUUUUUCAAUUCCAAAUCACCAUGUCAAGCUCUAGGCCGGUCCGAAGAAAAGGCAAAGAACCGGUUCAACAAACCACACGGCCACGGGAAGCAAGGGUCAUCUCAAAUCAAUCCACCUUUGAGUCCAUUCACUUUCAGAACAAGUAACACUUGAUCAAAAGGUUUCAUCAAAACUUUCGGACUCGUGAGGUACUCAACACUUUCUUUGUUUUACCGGAUGUUUUACAUUCUCUCCAGAUUAGUCAUAGAACUUUAUUUCAAUUGUUGGGAGAUGUUGGUUGGAUUGAUGCAUUGUUGAUUGAGGAGAAUGUGUAUCCCGACUUGGUGAAAGUAUUUUACUCGAAUAUGGAUUGUUCCGCGGAGAAAGAGAAUCGAGUAAUCACCAAAGUUGGAGGAGUUUUGAUUGAGUUUGAUGAUUCGGACUUGAACAACAUCCUAGGAUCUUCCGAUGAUGGCUUGGACAUUUUUUCUCUUAGGAAACCUCCUGAACUUGAUGAUUAUGUUCAUGUUGAUGCCGUUCGUAAUAUUUGUCGGCGUAAUGAUCUUUCUGUUGAAGACUGUACCAUUCAUUUCCGUUCUCAGUGUCUUUGUCUUCAAACUCGUUUUUUGCUUCGUAUCAUCCAGUCCAUUGUACUUCCUAGAUCAGGACAUUUGGAUGAGGUGUCUCACAUGGAUGUCGCCAUGAUUGACUGUAUUCUUAGAGGUCGCCCGGUUGACUUGGGUUAUUCCAUCAUUCGCACCAUGUUGAGCAUUCCUGCCUUGAUUACCCGCUCUCUUCCUUAUGGUCACUUCAUUACCCGAAUUCUUAAAUUCUUUGAAGUGUCGAUUCUAGAACCUUCUUGUAGGCCGUCCAAGGGUAUUGGGGAUGAGGUUAUUGUUGGGUUAGGCUUUGAGUGGAAGGAUGACACUUGGGUCAAAUACAGCGAUAACAAGUUUACCUUUUUAGCCCCAAGUGAUGAUCGGCCACUUAAUGCUGUGAUUCCAGCUGAUCAGCUUCCAGUAUUCUCACUCUUAUUUCGAGGGCAGCGUAGACGCUGAGUUUCUUCUACGGUUGCUUCAGCUCCUAGUGCAUCUGCAUCCGCUUCAUCACCUCCACGGCCUCCUACCUCUGGAGAUGUCACUCUUCAGCAGCUUAUGGAUGAGGUGCGGACACUUUCGGUGCGGCAGACCGAGCUUCAGCAGGAGCAGCAGCAGCAGCUCAUUCAUGGACAGCGCCUCCUCUUCGAGCACUUCAGCAUUCCAUAUCCGUUUCCACCUCCUUCACCUCCAUCCUCACCACCUGAGUAGUAUCUUGUGCUUGUACUUGGACACACCUACAUUUCAUUUACUGCAUUGUGUGUUCUUUUAUUUUUGACUCUAUGGAUGGUUAUUGUGCUUUUCGGUUUAUGUAUUUGUUUUGGAUUAUAUGGAUUUGGUAUGACUAUUUAUGUUGGAUGUUAUGGAUAUUGUUUUGGUUGAUCAUUAUGGAUUAUAUGGAUUUUCUUAUGCUUAUGGAUAUUUUUUUACUAAUGUGCUUAUGUUGCGAUUUUGAUCAUUGAUAGGGGGAGCUCUCAUUCUCUUAUUCUUUUAUUCUUUUUUAUGAUGAAGGGGGAGAAUGAUUUGAUAUGUGUUAUGAAAAUAUGCAUGUAUCUAGGGGGAGCAUGUAUGCAGGGGGAGUUUUUGUUAAACUAUUUUCAAAUCAUUUUUUUUACUUGCAUUGAUUAAGGGGGAGCUUUUUCAUAACAAAAUUAAAGUUUUGAAUGUGCUUUGUCAUCAUCAAAAAGGGGGAGAUUGUUAGCCUAUAUGGCUAUAAAUAUUGAUUUUGAUGAUAACAAACCACAUGUAUUUUAAAAGCUUUGAUAAUGUUUUUUAAAGUUUCAGAUUUGGACUUAUAUUUGAAAUUAUUUAAAUGUUGGACUAAAAUGAAAGUUUUUNNNNNNNNNNNNNNNNNNNNNNNNNNNNNNNNNNNNNNNNNNNNNNNNNNNNNNNNNNNNNNNNNNNNNNNNNNNNNNNNNNNNNNNNNNNNNNNNNNNNNNNNNNNNNNNNNNNNNNNNNNNNNNNNNNNNNNNNNNNNNNNNNNNNNNNNNNNNNNNNNNNNNNNNNNNNNNNNNNNNNNNNNNNNNNNNNNNNNNNNNNNNNNNNNNNNNNNNNNNNNNNNNNNNNNNNNNNNNNNNNNNNNNNNNNNNNNNNNNNNNNNNNNNNNNNNNNNNNNNNNNNNNNNNNNNNNNNNNNNNNNNNNNNNNNNNNNNNNNNNNNNNNNNNNNNNNNNNNNNNNNNNNNNNNNNNNNNNNNNNNNNNNNNNNNNNNNNNNNNNNNNNNNNNNNNNNNNNNAACAUAAAUUCGGCUUACCGGAUUCCAUAAAACGGCAAACCGGAUAGCCCAGAAUGUGAGUAACGGCUAGUUUUCGAGCUCAAGCUAUAAGAACUCAAAUCCAACUCAUUUUGAAGCUCUCCAACAAGCAAAAACAAAAAGCACACGUGAUAUCUUGAGCCUUCAACUUGUCAAACACAAAACAUUGAAUCAUUCAUUGUUCUUCAUCAUUGUAUAUCUACUCAUUGAGUGAGAUUUAUUGUAAUCUUCAUUUCUUCAUUUCAUUUGUAAGAAUUUGAGUGUGUGAAACACUUGAGUGAAGAGAUUGGGAGAUAAUCUCUUCGUUGUAAAGGUUUAUUGACACCUCGAAGUCAAUUGUAAUCAGUUGAAGCCUCGGAAAGGCUUGGAUAGUGAAAUCCUCAAGCUUGGAUUGCUUGGAGGCGUGGACGUAGGCGGGGAUUGCCGAACCACGUAAAAAUCCGUGUGUUUGUUUCUCUUCUUCCUUACUCUUUAAUUAUUGUGCCUUUAUUAAACUUAUUGCUUUCAAUUUUUAUUAAGGCAUUAGAUUGUUUGUUGUGUGGAUUUGCUAGGAUAAUUUUUAAAUUUCCAAUUCACCCCCCCUCUUAGGUUGCACACUUAUAUUUCAGUUCUUUGUUGCCAGAAGUUGGGAAAAAAACCACAGUUUGCUCAGCUCUAUAUCUAUGAUACUGAAAAUGAGACAGACAACAGAAUCAACACUCUAUUAAAACAUAGAAUGAAGACAGAAAUUGAUCACGAAAUUCUUCAUGAACUAUCUAAAAUGUUGGACCAACAUAAUAAUUUGGUCAAAUCUUUUAGAAUGGCGAGGGAUAGAUACAAAACACAACCAGAAUCUACAUUUCGUUUAUGACUCCUUAAUAGUAGAACAAGAGAUGGCCGUCGAUACAAUAUGCCAACAGUUUCAGAAGUUGCAGGCUUAAUAAUUGGUGAUUUCAGUGAAUCGAACUUUCAACGCGAUGUUAUUAUAGAGCAUCGCACAAAGGGACUUCGGAGAAUCACAGAUUUGCAUCCAAGUUUCAUGCCCAUGACAUACCCGUUAAUAUAUCCUUAUGGUGAAGAUGGAUAUAGACCUGACAUAUCUUUAAGAGACGUAACUGAUAGCCCUUUUAAGAGGCAAAAACUGACAAUGAGGUAAUAUUAUUGCUUUAGGUUGCAACAAAGAUUGAAUGAGGGACACACUCUACUUCAAGCUGGUAUACUAUUCCAACAAUAAAUAGUUGAUUGUUACAUGGCAAUUGAAGAAGAAAGAUUUCGUUGGAUCCGAAAUAAUCAACAAAAACUUAGAUCAAACCUUUUCUCUAGUUUGAUGGAUGUUGUUCAUCGAGGUGAUUCUGAUUGUUCGAAAGCUGGAAAAUCAAUUAUUCUACCUUCAUCACACACGGGGGGACCACAAUAUAGAACACAAAAUUAUGAAGAUCCUAUGGCAAUUUGUAAAUAGGCAGGAUAUCCUGAUUUAUUUCUUACUUUCACUUGCAACCCAAAGUGGCAAGAAAUAAAUAACAUGCUCCGAUUAGUUGGGCAAAAGAAUGAUGACAAUCGAGUCGAUAUCAUAUGCAAAGUUUUCGAGAUAAAAUUAUUCCAACUAAUGCAAGAUCUGAAAAAAGAUCAACCGUUUGGAAAAAUAAUUGCAUGUAAGUUCACUUCAAAUUCGUAUCCAUAACAAAUUCAACUCAUUUGUUAUUGAAAAGUACAAGGAAGAACAAUAAUUUCACAAUUGAAAUCAAUAUUUCUAACUUUUAAAUUUUACUCCAUUUUGUGGCAGGUCUAUAUACAAUUGAGUUUCAAAAAAGAGGCUUGCCCCAUGCACACAUACUGCUUUUUUUGCAUCCAACAAUGAAAAAUCCUUCUGCAGACCAUAUUGAUAAAAUAAUAAGUGCAGAAAUCCCUGACUUAAAUGUUGAUCCUGAUGGUUAUAAUGCAGUUAACAAAUUUAUGAUUCAUGGACCGUGUGGAAAACACAAUUCUCACUCUCCAUGCAUGAUGCAAGACAAGUGCACAAAACAUUUUCCAAAAAAAUUUAAUGAUCAGACAACAGUGGAUACAAAUGGCUUUCCAGUCUAUAAAACGAGAAAUACAGGCAUUCAUGUCGAAAAGAAAAGUGUCUUCUUGGAUAAUCGAUAUGUGGUCCCUUAUCACAGGAAUUUAAUUGUCAAAUUUGAUGCACAUAUUAAUGUUGAGAUUUGUAAUUACUCGAGAUCAGUUAAAUAUCUUUUCAAGUAUGUCCAUAAAGGGUCUGAUAGAACAACUACAACAAUGGAAUCUAUUAACACUAGGAGAAAAAAUGGCUUAGCAAUCGGAAGAAUUUACUUUGCACAUCCUUCAAGUGGAGAACAAUUUUAUAUGCGAAUGUUGCUCAAUUUUGUAAAACGAAGCACUUCAUUUGAAAGUAUUAGAACAGUAAAUGGAGUGACAUAUCCAACUUUUAAAGCUGCGUGCUAUGCUUUGGGAUUAUUAGACGAUGAUAAAGAAUGGAUCGAUUGCUUAACUGAAGCUGCAAUAUGGGCGACUGAAAAUGAAUUAAGACAUCUUUUUGUCACGAUACUCAUUCAUUGUCAGGUUUCUGAUGCAUCCUAACUUUGGAAAUCUAAUUAUACUACUUUAUCAGAAGACAUAACUUCAUUGCAAAGGAAAAGAUUCAGAUUGAAAGAUCUUCAGUUAACCGAGCAACAAGUUGAAGCAUACACAUUGUUGGAGAUUGAAAAUAUCAUGUUGAAAAUGGGAAAAGUUUGAGAGACAUAGAUGGAAUGCCACUUCCUAAUUCUUCUUUGAUAAGAGAUUCAGGUAACCAAUUGGUCAAUGAAGAGCUUGAUUAUUAUUGUGAUCAAUUAAAGAAGUUGCAUGAGAAAUCGUUUGCUGCUCUAAAUGCUUGCCAAAAAUUAGCCUAUGAAGCAAUAAUGCAUUCUGUUGAGAAUGAAGAAUGACAUUUAUUUUUUAUCAAUGGACGUGGUACUUGUAAAAUAUUUUUGUGGAAUACAAUUAUUGCAAAGCUCAGAUCACAUUCUAAAAUAGUCUUACCUGUUGCAACUUCAGGUAUAAUAGCUUUGUUAUUGCCUAAUGGUAGGACAGCUCAUUCGCGAUUUCAUAUUCCUUUGGAUGUGACAGUAGAGUCCACUUGUGAAAUCCGACAAGGCACCUUAUUAGCUAGACUUCUUAUGAAAACUUCUUUGAUCAUUUGGGAUGAAGCGCCUAUGGCACAUAAGUUUUGCUUUGAAGCUUUGGAUAGGACCUUGAGAGAUAUUCUAAGAACAAGGUAUGAAAAUAGUUCUAUCAAACCUUUUGGAGGACUUACAAUAGUAUGUGGUGGCGAUUUCCGACAAAUAUUGCCAGUUGUGCCAAAGGGGACAAGAGCAGACAUUGUUGAUACUUUACUUAACUCAUCCUACUUAUGGCCAUUUUUCAAAAUUUAUGAGCUCAAACAAAAUAUGAGGCUCUAUAAUGGAAGCGUGAGUGGCUCUGAAGCUGCUAAAAUAGCUUCUUUUGACAAAUAGUUGUUGCAGAUUGGAGAUGGUUCAUUAUAUGAUGACAUUGAUAGAGAUUUAGUUAAACUACCUUCUGAUAUCUGUAAGAAACCAUAAGAAAAUCUGAUGAAAUAAAUAGUCGACACUAUCUACCCAUCAAUUCGGCAUAACUACAGUGAUUGAGCAUAUUUGAAAGAAAGAGCAAUAUUAACGCCAAAAAAUGAAAUGGUGCAUGAAUUGAACGAGAUGAUUAUGAAUAUAAUACCUGGUCAAGGGAGAACAUAUUUUAGCUCAGACAAUAUAGGCAAAGCAAGCAAAAACACAAAUGAUGAAGAUGUUCUGUAUCCAACUGAAUUUUUGAAUAGUUUGAAAUUCAAUAGCAUCCCUAAUCAUGACAUACGACUUAAGGAAGGUGCUCCUGUAAUGCUUCUCAGAAAUCUAAAUCAAAUAGAAGGCCUAUGCAACGGCACAAGAUUGGUUAUCACUCGUCUUGGUAAAUAGUCCAUUAGAGGUGACAUCAUUUCUGGAACAAAUAUUGGACAAAAUGUCACAAUUCCAAGAAUUAUUAUGUCUCCUAAUGAAUCAAGAUGGCCAUUCAAGCUUAGCAGACGACAACUUCCUUUGGCUCCAUGUUUUUCCAUGACGAUCAACAAAAGCCAAGGACAAUCUCUUAAACAUGUUGGCUUGUAUCUCCCUAAGCAAGUAUUCACACAUGGUCAAUUAUAUGUCGUCGUGUCUCGAGUUACCACAAGAGAAGGAUUGACCGUACUAAAUGUCGAUCAAGAGGUAGAAGACCAAAACUUCAUAAAAAACAUUGUCUACAAAGAAGUAUUUCAAAAUAUUCACACAUCAGCUCACAAAAUCAAGGUAUCACAUUUUUAGAUUAUAUUUUAAAAUUUAAUUUAUACAUUGCAAGCUCUUACUUCACCCUAUAAUAAUGAUUUUUAUUAUGUGUUUUAAUUAUUCAGUAGACAAAUGGAUAAAUCAAAGGAACUAUCGAGACAUCAAAAUGGUAGUUUGGUUGAGUUUUCCAAGCUGUUAUGGAGGAUUUAAUUGCCAAAGAACAUAAUACGUGAAGAAGCAUUCUUUUUUACAUCAACUAUUUUUCCUUUCAUUCUCUCUAAUCCAUGGAGACAUGGUUUAUAUACAGAUAAAGAACAUUUUGGCACUAGGUGUUGCUGAUCCCCAUUGGAACUUGCCAUAGCUGCAAGCUUGAUAUAAACAACUGCUCACCUCCGCAGCUACAAACGAUGUGAAAUAACUUACAAAAGUCUUUACAUGUAUUUUACUUAUUUUUUUUAUAAUUCAACGCUAAGGAUCCUCAAUUACAAAAUUUAAUUUGGAACUUAUCAACAACAAAAUGUAUAAGGUCUGUACACUUAGACUAUACACGUUAAUAUAUAUUUUUAAAGUUAACAAAAAAUAGUUAACUUUCAUAAAUAACAUUAGUUUUAUAAGGCUGCCUCAUUUUAAAAAAAAUUAAUUUAUAUUUUUUAUCAGUUUUAUCAAGUGUAAAGAAAGAAAAAUUGAUAAUACUAAAUUCAUUUUUUAAAGCCGCGCGAAGCGCGGUUUUAUUUCCUAGUAUAUAUAUAAAGCUAGGACUUGAGGAGGUGAUGUGGCAUCACCAUUUUGCUUCUUUGUAUAUUCUCUAUUAUCUAAUAAAUAAAGAAUUUUUUUUUAUAUUUGGCUUUUCAUCUUCUCAUAAUUAAUUUGAUUGUAUUUAACUCAUUUAAUAAAUAGUAACUUUAUUAAUAUAUAUCAUUCAUCAUCUUUUUAUAUUUUCUAUUAUCUAAAAUAUCUAAAAUAUUGGUGGAUAUUCUUUGUACUUUUUUUCUCUUUUUAUUUAAAUUCAACAAUAUAUAAUUAAUAAUAAUAAUUAAUUAUAAGUCUUUUGAAACAUUUAUUUAUUUUAUUAUGCUAGCAAUUAAACUUUAGUGGCUUAAAAUACAUGAAUUAAUUAACAUAGAAAGAGAGGUUCUUUCAUUUUCCCUCAACAAUGUCACUAAGGCCUAAUUUUAAUGUCAUAAUCCCAUAUUUAAUUAUGCAACCUUUUGUUAAGUGUCUUUUGGCUUCUUCAAAAUUUAUUAUGCUAUCAAUUAAACUUUAGUGCCUUAAAAUACAUCACAUAAUCUCUCUCUCUCUCUCUCUCUCUCUCCACAAUCUCUCUCUCUCACAUAAUCACAUAAACUUUAGUGCCUUAAAAUACAUCACAUAAACUUGAGGAGGUGAUGUGGCAUCACCAUUUUUCAUCUUUGUAUAUUCUCUAUUAUCUAAUAAAUAGAGAAAUUUUCUUUUAAAUUUGGUUUUUCAUCUUCUCAUAAUUAAUUUUAUUGUUAUUACACAAUAACAAUUAUGUAAAGAUUUUAAUGAGGCAUAUUCUUUGUAAUGAACAUCCAAGGGGAAGUGUUAUGAAUUUAUUAAAAUAAAUGUAGAUGGUCAUAACAUAUAUCUCUUACUCUCUCCACUAUCUCCCAUUAGCAACCUUUAGCUUCCCUAUAACUCUCACUAUCUCACAAGGAAUUAUGAUCCAUAAUUUUUUAUUAAUUUCAUGGAGUGAUUAUGUAAUUAUAAAAGGAGAUCUCAUCUUUUUGUUUUGUACACACACAAUUGGAAUGAAUAAAAUCACUCAAUAAUAUAUUUCCUCAUUUCAUUUGUUAUCUUGCAUUACUUAUUUAUUUAUAUUGCUGGCUAAUAGUUUUUUUUGUUUUUUAUAAGACUGUCUCAUCUUAAAAAAAAAUCAAUUCAUAUUUUUUAUCAGUUUCAUCAAGUGUAAAGUAAGAAAAAAUGAUAAUACUAAAUUCUUUUUUUAAAGCCUCGUGAAGCGCGGUUAUAUUUUCUAGUUAUAAAUAAUAAUUAUUAUAAAAUUUUGAUGAUGAUGAUUGAAAUUAACUACCAAUGUUGAAUUCAUCGUUAAGACCCUGAGGGAAACAAAUUUAUUGGCACCAAAAUCUUGAUCUCAAAAUACUGUAUAUAUAUUUUUACUGUCAUGCAUCUCGUUGGUUUAUUAUUUAUUGGAAUUAGAAAAAUGUGUAUUUGCCAUUCGGCCAAAUGAUUCCAUAUUGAAAUAUGAAGAUUCAAUUCCUCCAUCAAUAAAAAAAAAAAAAAAUUGCGUGGAGACUGUUUUCUCCGUUAUAAAAUUUAAGUGAACUAAAUAUUCCUAAAAACUUAGCAAGUAUAGAAAAUAUAAACGGAUCAGUAGUUGUCUGAUUGUAAUAUCAGUCCAAAAAAUGUGCAUGUAUAUGUUUCAAGUAACAACUUUAUUAAGGCCAUUUGAGGUAUGUGAGUUGAGAUUUUAUACUUGUGCCGUGUGAGCUUCAUGUAAUUUUACAUGACCAAGGACGUGUCAGAGUUGACAAACAUUCCAUUAUUAAUAAAGAAUUACGGAUUUAACAUUCAAGAUUAUCGUGUGAUAUAAGACGUUAUUUUGGAAUUUUAUUAUUAUAGGUAUUUUGUUAUUUUUUAUUUUAAUUAGCCCCAUGUUUUAUUCUUUUAUUUCUAUUAUAAUUAUUAUUUAGUUUCCCUUUUUAACUUAACAUUUACUUCAUUAUAAAUAAAUAGGUCUUUUUAUUAUUUUUAUAACUUCAUCUUUAAUUAUCCAACGAAACCCCUCUUUUAAAAUUCCCUUUAACAUUAUCUAUUAAAAUCUCUCUUGUAAAAUCAUUUGAGUUAGAGUGUAAUCUAAUUUCAUUUAACAUAUUAUUAAAUUCUCAUUAAGUUGUUUGCAUUAGAAUAAGAUAUAAUCCCCUUCAAUUAGAAUGUAACCUAAACAUGUAGGCAGUGUUAUCUAUCCUAUCAAUUCCACAAUUAAUUUCACUUUCACUAUCCUACUCUGUCAUCAUAAAGUAUCAAUUCCACUCUCGCUAUCCUGCUUCGUCAUCAUGAUUAAUCCAAAAACUUUGGAUAAAUACAUGCAACCAAAUAUAAGAAAUUAUUUCUAGCUUUAUUGCACCAUUUUUCAUUAGAUUACGAAUUGACUUUCAAGGAGAUUUAAUAUCAAACAACUUUGAUUCGACAAUUACUCUCAUUAACUUCUAAUAUUGCUAAUAAUUUAAAGCUAAAAUUUGUCUUCUUUACUAAUUAGAUCUGAGCAGUGCAGGGUGCUAACACAUGAGUAUUUGUACUACAAUUUUUAAAUUGAUUAAAAGAAAUCGCUUCACUGAUCAGAAUAUCAUCAAUAACUGAAAACAAAAAAAAAAAUUAAGAAUUUUUAGAAUUCACAUGACAAAAAUGUAUACAUAAAAAAUUGAUUUAUGUGGGCUUUGUGAAUCAACCACAGAAAAGCCCACAACCUGAUCCAACGAGACCGACUCUUCUCGGCUACUAAGCAUAAAUUUCCCAAGUUUCAUUGUGAACGACACCGUUUUGUUCUACUCACUGGCCACGCAAAAAUCUGCCAAGGAGUCACUAACUUCACUUAAGUGCAAAUGUCAGUCAUCUUCAUAGUUCACACGUUUAUCAAUAAUUUGAAAAAAAAAUAAAGAAAUUAUCGAGAUUUUUAAUUAAAGAUGCCCUAAAAAUAGUGUAUUUAGUUAAAUAUAUUUUAUAAUUGAAAAUUAUUUAUAUAUUUUUUUUUUAUGUGGUACAUUAUCUAAAAGAGUAAUGAUACAGCCACAAACUCUUGUACAAAUUUAUUUUGUACAAACUGAUGUGGCAUGAUAAGAUUGGUUGAAUUAAAUAUCACUUGGCCCACAUGAUUUGUUUUUAUUAAUUUAUAUUUUCAUUCAACCAAUGAAUUAAUGUCACAUCAGUUUGUACAAAAUAAGUUUGUACAAGAGUUUGUGGCUGUAUCAUUACUCUUUUAGAUAAAGUACCGCAUAAGACAAAAAUAUAUAAAUAAUUUUCAAUUAUAAAAUAUAUUUAACUAAAUACACUAUUUUUAGAUCAAGCUUAGCGAUGCCGUCGACCGUUGUUUUUAUUAAUGUAUAUUUUCAUUCAACUAAUGAAUUAAUGCCACAUCAGUUUGUACAAAAUAAGUUUGUACAAGAGUUUGUGGCUGUAUCAUUACUCUUUUCAGAUAGAGUACCCGNNNNNNNNNNNNNNNNNNNNNNNNNNNNNNNNNNNNNNNNNNNNNNNNNNNNNNNNNNNNNNNNNNNNNNNNNNNNNNNNNNNNNNNNNNNNNNNNNNNNNNNNNNNNNNNNNNNNNNNNNNNNNNNNNNNNNNNNNNNNNNNNNNNNNNNNNNNNNNNNNNNNNNNNNNNNNNNNNNNNNNNNNNNNNNNNNNNNNNNNNNNNNNNNNNNNNNNNNNNNNNNNNNNNNNNNNNNNNNNNNNNNNNNNNNNNNNNNNNNNNNNNNNNNNNNNNNNNNNNNNNNNNNNNNNNNNNNNNNNNNNNNNNNNNNNNNNNNNNNNNNNNNNNNNNNNNNNNNNNNNNNNNNNNNNNNNNNNNNNNNNNNNNNNNNNNNNNNNNNNNNNNNNNNNNNNNNNNNNNNNNNNNNNNNNNNNNNNNNNNNNNNNNNNNNNNNNNNNNNNNNNNNNNNNNNNNNNNNNNNNNNNNNNNNNNNNNNNNNNNNNNNNNNNNNNNNNNNNNNNNNNNNNNNNNNNNNNNNNNNNNNNNNNNNNNNNNNNNNNNNNNNNNNNNNNNNNNNNNNNNNNNNNNNNNNNNNNNNNNNNNNNNNNNNNNNNNNNNNNNNNNNNNNNNNNNNNNNNNNNNNNNNNNNNNNNNNNNNNNNNNNNNNNNNNNNNNNNNNNNNNNNNNNGUUUGUAUAAUUAUGUGUUAUAUUAUGACAGGAAAGAAUAUCUCAAGUUAUUUCCAUUGAUAUUUCUAAAUUUGACAUUAAAAUGAAUUUCAAGCUUAAAACAUUCGAUCCAAUCCCUCCCGUUUCAAUUAUGACAGAUGAUGAUGUAGAUUAUUUUCACGACGAAGAAAAAAAAAUUAUAUUUGCUUGGGUAUUUUAGCUAUGAUAAUUGAGUAGCAACUUGUAUUCCCUUAAAGCUUAUCAUGAUCCUCACAUAUAUUAGACCGAUUUUAUUUGAUGUAAAAAAAAAAAAAGCUUUUCAUGUUUGAUGUAUUGAAGUUUGAUAUAUUAAACCUUAUGUUAAUUGUGUUAUCAUUUUGUUGUAAUUUUGUUCUCUAUUCACUUACUCGAAUAUAAUCAUGUAUUUAUAAAGUUACCCGACUAUCGUCGUGUAUAUAUAAAUUUACUAGACUACAACGGUUUAUUCAUGAAGCCUGACUACAACCGUAUAUUUAUAAAGAUACUUGACUGUAUUUCUGUAUUUAUGACAAUACAUUCUAUUAGUGCAAAAAAUAUAUUUUUUCACUAAAUAUGUCUUUUAAUCAUUACUGGACUAUAGUUGUGUAUUUUUACAACUUACACGACUUUUGUCGUGUAUGUGUGAAUUUACAUUAUAGCAAUAGUGCAAGUGUGAUAAAUUUCUACUUUUUUGUUUCGCAGGUAGAUAAAUAUGUUUGCGUGGCCUAUGUUGAUUUCAAAGGGAGGUGACCAGAAGUUUAUAAUACAUGGGUCGAGUGUUUGGGCUGAGCUUAUUAAUAACUAUGAUGAUUAUGUAGCAACUUCUAUUUUAUUAAAACUUAUUUAUGAUUCGAACAUAUAUGAGACCUAUGUUGUUUGAUAUACAAUAGCUUUUAUUGUUUGUUGAAUUGAAGUUUGAUAUGUUAAAGCUUAUGUUGAUUGUGUUAUCAUAAUAAUAACUAUUUUAGGUGGUUUUUGUUCUAUGUCCGCGUACUCGACAAUAGUUGUGUAUUUGUAAAGUUAUCCGACUAUUGUCUUGUAUAUCUAAUUUUACUUUACUACAACUUAUUAAGAGAUGAAUAAUUGAUAUUUUAGGGAUGGAUGAUGUACGUAUGUUGUUUUAAAGAUACUCAACUACAGUCGUGUAUUUUAGCCGCUCAUUCCUUUAAUAUAUAUGAACACCAUGUUAUAUAACAUACAUUGUACAAAACUAUCUUUUUUCUCAAUAAUAUACUUAACAAAAAAAAAACAUGAAUAUUGAUAUAAAAUCAUCUUUAUGGGUAUUUUCCUUCAAGAAGAAGAAAUUAGUGGCCCAUUGAAUAGUGUUUAUGCGUGCUUUAUGGGUUAUAAGUUAAGCUAUAACAAUUUUGUCAAUCCUUAGCCCGACUAAAAAGUCAUGAAUUGCAAAGCCAAUGUGACACUCGUUGGUGCUUUUAAGUGUUUAUUAUAAAUAAUUGCAAAGCCAAAUAUUUAUUAUUUAUAAUGAAACCGAAAUUUAUCUCCGCGUGAAAAUAAAGGAGUGAAGGCGAGAAAAGAUUCCUCUCCACGUGAAACACAGAUGUUGAAAUGUGUUUGCUAUUCGUUUGAUGAUUCGAGGAUUCACAAUUGCCGAUAAGUCCAAGAAAAAUUCCAAAAAUUAUCUUCCAAAAAUAAAGGAGUUAAUUGUGUGUGCUUUAUGGUAUAACAUUUUUGUCGAUACUCAACCCAACUCAGAAAUCACGAGUUGCACAGUCAAUGAAAAAGAAGACAAAAGUCAAUAAAAGCAAAGACAUUAAGACAUUGACUGAUGAUAGCAUGGUGGGACAUUAAGUAUCCCUUGGCAUUAAAGUAGAAAUUUAAUAAAUUUCUUAUUUCAUAAUUUUUUUAUAAAAAUAAUAUUUAAUAAAUUUUGUAAAAACUAUUUCUUUUAUAAUUUUUUCUAUUUUACUGAAUUUUUAAAAAAUAGGUUGAAAUUUACUUUUCAUAAGCAAUUUAAAUAAGCCACCACAAAUUUUCAAAGUUUAUAUUAUAACAUUAAUAAUUUAACAAAAAAGAUAAUUAUAGCUUAUGUUUCCAUACACUCUAGUUUAUAAGCCAUUACGUAUCAUAUUAGCACAAUAAUUUACCAAUGCAACUAAUGUGCAUUCUCUCCAAUAUCAAAGCUUUGAUUUAGCAAUUUCAUAUUUUUUAUAUUUUAUUUUUAUUAUAAAAUUAAUGAGACUUAUAUAUGAUUAUAUUUUUUUUUUAACUACGAACAAGUCCAUGUGAAAGUUAACCAUGACUUUUAAAAUCAAUUUCAUAACCAUAGCUUUUAACGAUCAAUCUAUUUAUAUUUUUUCUAUAGUCAUGAUAUUUUCGUGCUCAUGCCAAUGAAAUAUUCACACAUACAUAUGCCCAUGUCCAUAAACACACAUAACAACAUAUCAUAUCAACACAUCAUAUAAACACAUGGGCAGAGUAUAUAAAUCAAUAUCUGGACAUAUAUAAAAAUAGGCUUUCCAAACAUGUCAAGCAUAUAUAUUGUUUAUUGUGAUUCGUUUGGAAAUCUAAUUUACUUACCUCCUGGUAUCCUCAAGUAACAAAUGCACAUCGAUAUCAUCGGCCUAAAAAUAAAUAAAAAUACUCUCAUAAAAAUAAAAUUAAACCAUAAUCAUAAACUCCAAUAUUCUCAAAUUCCUCAAUAUAAUCACAUUCCAUACUUAACCUCAAAUAAUCUUAAUUUAAAUCAUAAAUCAUCAAAAUACUCAUAAUUCUUGAAAUUACGAAAUUACCCCCGAAUAUCAAAAUUACCAAAAUGCCCUUGAAUUCAAUAUUACAAAAAUACCCUCAAAUAUCAAAAUUACCAAAUUAACCUCAAAAUCAUAAAUUACCAACUUUAUCCUCAAUUCAGCAAUUACUCAAAUACCCACAAAAUCUGAAAUUACAAAAUUGCCCUUAGACUGUGAAAUUACUGAAAUACCAUUGACGGUCAACGGUCACCGGAAUUCAACUGACGGCGACGGGAAGCUCAGAACUGAAAGUUCAAGCCACGCUGAGUCCAAUGGUGGCGGUGGUGACCUCUCACGCGCGGUGAUGGCUCCGAAUCGAGCUCCCGAAGUCGUGAAUCCUCCAACGGCCGAUCGACGGCAAAACGACGUCCCCGGCAUCAGUGGUUAGUCGAAAAUGGCAGAGGGAAAGGUAAGGAACAAAACCCAAGUGAUGGCUUCACCGGAAACUGGCGAAAUCACGGCGAAUCGAGGCGGGGAUUCCGCGGACCUUCAAAGCUUCGAUCGGUGGCUUUCCGAUCGAUUUCCGGCGGCAAGGACGGCAUGGAUACGUUGCUCGUCUCUCAAGCUUCGAAUCGGUACCAACCUUGACCGGAACGGUGGCCGGAAAUGGGAGAACCGGCCUGGUCGCGCUCGCGGGUCGGGUUGGAUCCAAGUCAAAAUCGGGUCAACUCUCUUUCUCCCUCUCUCUUACCCCUCUCUCUCUUUUUUUGAAAACCAGCUGCCCUUUCUAUAUAUAGAACCCGACUUCUUCUUCCUUUUUUUUUCCUGUUAAGCUUAAUACAAAUUAAGCUAAUACUGGACUCGUGACGAAAAUAAAAUCCCACUAUCCGAGCUUUUAAUCGUGCUCAGUAUAUCUCGAUUUAAUGUUGCGAAAAUUUUAAAAUUAAAUAUCGAAGAGGAAAAAUUACAUCAUACACUUAAUUAGGAAAAAUCAAAGUGCAUAUGUUACACAAAGCUAAGAUGACGGCAGUGAUGGUUGAAGAACUGACAUCUAACCAACUUUGGUAUUGAUGGUAUAGUCAAUGGUGAGACAGAAAUAAUGGUGGACGGUUGGAGAAGCAGCAACAGACGUAAUACCAACUUUUCCUCUUUCUAGCUCUAGUAUAUAAACCAAAUACUAGGGUAGAUGGAUCCAAUUGGUUGAUUGGUGUGAGAAGGGCAAUGGAUUUGAUUUUAGGUGAUGAGGGAAGAAAUUUUAGGGAUUUCCCUUUCGAGAAAGCGAAGAUAUCAGAUUGGUGAAAGAAGGAGGGGGAGAAUGAAUGAAAGAAAUUUAGGGAUUACUCAAGUUGAGAACCAACAUCUCAAGUUGCCUUUCUUUUUCUAUUUUCAUUGAACAUAAAAUAUCAACAAUUAGAUUCAUUUAGUUUUUUUCUAUAAGCAUGGAUGCUGUAAUUUGGCUGGGUGAAUUCUCAGCGGAUGUUCUGUCUUUUGUAUUUUCCAGAAGAUUCAUUUAGUUGAUUCAAACAGUUUGAUUUCAAUUUUCAGUAUGGUGUCCGGGCUUAGUGCCCGGCUUUGGAGCUUUAACCCUUAUACAAUUGAUAAUAUAUAAGAACUUGUAUUAUUGAAUUUACAGACAUAAUAAAUUAUGUGUAAAGUCUACAAUGUACUUCUAGUAAACGACAGCUUUAUGGAUCAAUAAUCCUAGUUUUCUUUCCUAAUUUUAUGAGCAAGUAAGACUCGUUAUAUUUUGCUUCAUUAACAUAGAAUAGUAAAUGGCUUGCCUAGCUUUGAACAAAGUAUUUAGGUCAUUUCACAUGUAAUUAAAUUUACGGCAUUGAUGCCGUAAUGGACGUGGACCAUUAGAAUUGAAUAAAAAAUCUCUACCAUUAAUUCUAAAUAAAUAGGUAACAUGUUACCGAAGUAGCAGGUAAUUACUCUUUUUUGUUCAAAUUCCAAGUUACAUUUACUAAUGUUAUGUGUGAUUUACAAGUUUUAUGAAAUAUUUACAAGUUAAUGUUGAUUUAUAAGUUUUAUACAACAUUUACAAGUUUUUAUUUUGUUUAUAAGUUCUUCUUACAAUUUACAACUCUAACAUUAAUUUACCUAUUUUUCCAUUAAUUUACUAAUUUUAUGUGUGGUUUACAAAUUUUUUGUUUUAUUUCAUACUUAAUGUCAAUUUACAAGUUCUAUGUUAUUUUUCUAAGUUUUUGUUUUGUUUACAAGUUCUUCUUGCAAUUUACAACUCCAACAUUAAUUUACUCUUUUUUCCAUCAAUUUACUAGUUUUAUAUGUGAUUUACACAUUUUUAUUUUCAUUUCACACUUAAUGUCAAUUUACAAGUUCUAUGUCAUUUUUCUAAAUUUUUGUUUUGUUUACAAGUUUUUCUUGCAAAUUACAACUCCAUCAUUAAUUUACCAAUUUUUCCAUCAAUUUACUAGUAAUAUAUGUGAUAUACAUAUUUUUUGUUUCAUUUCACAAUUAAUGUCAAUUUACUAGUUCUAUGUCAUUUUUCUAAAUUUAUGUUUUGUUUAUAAGUUCUUCGUGCAAAUUACAACUCCAAUAUUAAUUUACCCUUUUUUUUAUUAAUUUAUUAGUUUUAUGUGUGGUUUACAAAUUUAUUAUUUCAUUUCACAUUUAAUGUCAAUUUACAAAUUCUAUGUCAUUUUUCUAAGUUUUUGUUUUGUUUACAAGUUCUUCUUGUAAUUUACAACUCCAACUUUAAUUUAUCCAUUUUUCCAUCAAUUUACUAGUUUUAUGUGUGAUUUAUACAUUUUUUGUUUCAUUUCAUACUUAAUGUCAAUUUACAAGUUCUAUGUCAUUUUUAUAAGUUUUUAUUUUAUUUACAAGUUUUUCUUGCAAAUCACAACUCCAUUAGUUUACCCAUUGUUUCAUUAAUUUACUAGUUUUAUAUGUGAUUUACAUAUUUUUUAAUUUACUAGUUGUGUGUCAUAUUUCUAAGUUUUUGUUUUGUUUACAAGUUCUUCUUGCAAAUUACAACUCCAACAUUAAUUUACCCUUUUUUCCAUUAAUUUUCUAAUUUUAUGUGUGGUUUACAAAUUUUUUGUUUCAUUUCACACUUAAUGUCAAUUUACAAGUUCUAUGUCAUUUUUCUAAGUUUUUUUUUUUUGUUUACAAGUACUUCUAACAAUUUACAACUCCAACAUUAAUUUACCAUUUUUUUCAUCAAUUUACUAGUUUUAUGUGUGGUUUACAUAUUUUUUGUUUUAUUUCACACUUAAUGUCAAUUAAGAAGUUCUAUGUCAUAUUUCUAAGUUUUUAUUUUGUUUACAAGUUCUUCUUGCAAUUUACAACUCCAACAUUAAUUUACCCUUUUUUCCAUUGAUGGUUGUCGAAGCCAACAAAAAUAAAUUCCUACUCUAAAUAAAUUGUGUAUAGUGAUUGAGCAGGGUCGUGUCCACAGAGAUCGGUAAUUAUUUAAAUCCUUUUGAAACGUAAAACGUAAAAUGGGGGAAUUGUUGACAAUAAUAAAAAUCAAAUUGAAAUAACAAGAAUGCAAAUUAAAGUUGUAAUUCAAAUUGGAGAAAGCUCUGGUUGAAGGAAUUAACUCAGCUUGAUUCGACUACUGAUCAUUGAUUCAAAUAUAGAUUAUUAUUACUUAUGAAUAGACCGGUUAUAGCUAUUGAGACCCUCUAAUAGCCAAUCUCUCCUUAACUAGUCGAUAACCAAGGUACGACCGUUGGUUAUUUCCCUAAUCAAUGGACAACCCUAGAUACGAUCAUAGGAUUUAAUCAAUUGACAGCCUGAAAAACCAGAGAGACACAAAUCCUAAUCAACACAUAUGAUGAUUCAUUUAAAUUAGAUUGUUUAUUCUCACAACACAACUCUCUGCUAUGUUAUUUGUCACAAACAUUAAAUUCUUCAUACGAUGAAUCCUUUAAUUGACAAUAGAUUAAGUUAAUAAUUAAAUAGUGGCCAAUUAUCUAAUUAACAAACAUAAUCAUGAAAAUAAUUCAGAGAAUAAACAAAUACCCAAAAAGCAAUAAAACAAUUAAAGCACAAGAAAGAUCUCACAGUAGUGAUGAAUCAAAGCUUCAUUAUCCUUCAAUCAGAAAAAUAGGUUUAGUUCUUCAUAGAGAGAAGAGAAAAAUUAAGAUCUAGGGUUUUCUUUCUUUUCCUCCAAUCCAAAAUCCCUCCCUUUUUCACAUUAGAUUCCUCCCUUAAAUACUCUCUCUCUCUUCUCUUUUAGAGUUCUAUUUAAAAUAAAAUACUAAUAUCUGAAAUAUUAAAUUCGUAAUUACAAAAAUAGCCAAAAAUACAAAACACGUUAAACUAAAAACUGCAGGUCCGCAGUUGACAACACUCGCCCACGCCUUAUCAACAAAGUUCUUCUGCCGCUCAUAAUUUCUCCAAGAGAACAAUUAUCCUUAAACAACAUCUUGUAGCUCAAUUUUAUCACCAAUCAAUAGAAUUGCACCUACAAAAGUAAAACACAAGUAAAUCACUAUUAUUAAGUGAAAAACAUCGAUAUUAAGGGAAGUAAACAAUGCAAAACUAGUGCAUAAAUUGCACUCUAACAAAUUCCCCCACACCAAGAUGAUGCUUGUCCUCAAGCAUAUAACUCAAGACUAAUCUCAAAUCUCCACUAAAUUCUCAUCUCAACUCAUCCAAAAACAAUUUUAAGCAAGCAUACCUCAAGAAAUUAAGUCGUUCAACGUUCGAGAGACAAGGAUUUUAAAGCAUAGAAUUUCAUAAGAUAGAAUAAGAACAUUCAACCACCAAGAAGAUCCAUUCAAAAUUCAAGUGCAACAAGAUGUAAUAGCCCUCUCAAUAACUUCACUCCAUGCACUCAAAGUGUUUAGGGUGUCAUUUAUCCACUCAAAUCAAAUCAAAGAAUGCUAUUACCAUAAGCUUGCUCAUCACAUCUCAAUCCACAAAACAUGAAUAAAAUGCAAAAAUCUAAGGGUCUUAAAAGGGUUGUAAUGGGGUUAAAUGGGUUAAAUGAAAAAGAAAGGUUUACGAAAGAAAAAGAGAUCAAAACGAGAAGAAUGAACUCAUUGAAUGAACUUAUGAUAUCAAAAUGCUUAUUUCUACUCAAGUCACCAAGAAUGUAAACAUUUUUUUUUUGUUUUUUUUUUGUGAUUUUUCUUUUUCUUUUUUUUUUUCUUUUUCUUUUUUUUCUUUUUUUUUUGUUUUUGUUUUUGAAUCAAACAAAAGAAACGAACCUUGCACAAUUUAAUUCAAGCAUAAUGCUUGUUGAUCUAAUUGAGAAACUUUAUUACAAGGUAGAAAAAGCAACAAAAUAUAUCGACACAAUGAGUCCAAAAAUCUCCUUAAAUUGAGGCUCAAAAAAGAAGAAAAAUGGUUAAGUAGGCGGAGAGAAUUAGAUGGGUAAUUGUUAAGGCUCAAACAAAGGUAGCAAAUAAAGGUCUUCAGGUAGAGAAAAAGGAAAAUGCGAGAAUAGAAAAUUGGUAAAUGGUUUGCCCUUAUCAUUUUAAUGCAUAAAAUCCCGUAAUGUGGCUUCAACAUGCAUAAUAAAGCAAGUUCUAGAAUAAACAAACUAAGAUUGAUAUUCACAUAACAAAAAUAAUUAGAGCAAAGUGGUUGGUCAUAGGCUCAAAUCCUCACAAAGUUGGUAAAUUUGCCAUCAAAUCCUGUACACUCUUCAAAUGAAUCAACCAUCAAUAGUGGUGUAGAAUGAAAAGAAGGUAUGAGUGAGAUAUUAAAGGAAAGGUAAAAAGGAUAAUAAGCGAGAAAGAUGUAUGUAGUAAAAAAAAUGAAAGAUAAAAUGUGAGUGAUGAAAAAGUAUGAUAGAAAAAUAAAAUAGAUGUAAAUAAUGUGAGAUAGAUGGGAAAAGAGUAGUGAGAGAUAAAGGAAAAGAAAAUUAAUAAUAUAUAAAGCAUACUAACUCCAAAAUCAUUUAAGGAUGAGUAGAGUGAAAAAAAGAUAAGUAGAGUGAAAACAAUAAUUCCAGACAUCAAUAAUGCAAAAAUCCCUCCCCCACACCAAGAACUUACAUUGUCCCCAAUGUAAGAUAAUCAAAGCUCACAUAAAAAUUAAAGCGUAAGGACAAAAGAUUAAAGGCAAAAACUUCCCUGAAUUGUGAGCUUUGAUCCUCAUAACGUCUAUGGGCUUGGCGGGAAUGGUGGGAUAAAUCCCACACUCUUGAAGUAUGCGGCCAAAUUCUGCUCCAUCUUGUCACGGAUUUCGAUUCACGCGGCUGGAAUGCAGGUCGUAGGCUGGUUGCGGACUAUUGCUGCUCGACUGGAGCUUGCGAGUACACGGCUGCUGGUUCAGUUGCGCGCGGAUGGGACUGAUGCUGCGAACUGGUGACGCUGGAUCUGCGUGCUGCGGCUGUUGCUGCGCGCUGGGGGAUUGCUGGUGCGCGCGCUGGUGACACUUGUUGCGUUGCGUGCUCGGGCUGGGGCUGGUUCGCGCUGCGCUCGCAGCUGGGGCUGAUUCGCGCUGCACGCUGCGAGACACGGGAUGCUGGUGCUGCGCUCGCGGGAUGGUGCUCGAUACUGGUGCGCGCGGGUGCUGCUGGUGUGCUGCAAGCGGCUGGAGAAGAAAACAAGUUCUGGAAAAUUAGGGAUUUUUUUAACAGUGAAAAAAUUUUUUUUUUUUUUUAACAGUGAUUUUUGAAAUUUUUUUUAAUAAAUAAAUAAAUAUAUAUAUAAAAGAAAGAACAAAAGAAAAUCUCUUUUUUUUGUUUUUUUAAAUAAAUAAAUAGAAAAAAAAAUAAAAUAAUUUUUUUUUAAUUUUUUUUUUUUUUUUAGUGAUGAAUCACUUGAGACACUAAAAAUUUCAGAAGUACUUUUCUAAUAAGCACGUGGGCACGCCUUAAAACCAUUUUACUUUAAAAAUCACAGAAGUACUUAUCAGUUAAGACGUGGGCACGCCUUAUCAAAAAUUUUCUUCUGACCAAAAUAAGCAAACACAUUAUUUUAAAAAAAAAUCUAAAUCAAAAUUAAAAGAAGAUAUGACAAAAACCAAAAUAAAUAAAUCAUUUGGGUUGCCUCCCAAAAAGCGCCUUUGUUUUAUGUCUUUGGCUAGACACAUUUAUGCAUCAAUCUCCAUAAUUGGGACUCUCGAGAGCCACAUCCUCCACAAUAUUCACCGAAAAACCUUCAUAAAAAGGUUUUAAGCGAUGACCAUUAACCUUAAAAACUUUGUCAGAGGUCGGACUCCGAAUCUCAACUGCACCAUGAGGAAAAACAUUAGUAAUAAUAAAAGGUCCAACCCAGCAAGAACGUAAUUUACCCGGAAAAAGUUUAAGCUUAGAAUGAAAAAGAAGAACUUUUUGACCAAUAGAGAACUCCUUUCUCAAAAUCAUUCUAUCAUGAAAUGUCUUCGUCUUUUCCUUGUAAAAAAUUUCCUGCGCUAUAGGGUUAAUAACAUCCACAGAAAAUACCGAAUGUUCCUCACUAGGAUAUUUCAUGGUAUCAUUCAUAUUGAAUUCUAUAACCUCUCCAUCAAACUCCAUAGUGAGAGUCCCUUUAUGUACAUCCAUUUUAGUCCUAGCAGUCUUAAGAAAAGGUCUUCCUAGCAAAAUUGGGACAGAAUUAGAGGAGUUAUCAUCUUCCAUAUCAAGUACAUAAAAAUCAGCAGGAAAAACCAACUCAUUAACUUGUACUAAGACAUCUUCUAAUACCCCAUCAGGAUAUGCAUUAGACCUAUCAGCUAGUUGAAUUAUCACGCCAGUUUCUUUUAAUGGACCAACAUUCAAAGAUGAAUAAAUGGAACGAGGCAUGACAUUAAUAGAAGCUCCUAGAUCUAACAUAGGCUUUUCAACUCUAACACUACCAAUUUUACAAGGGAUAGUAAACAUACCUGGAUCCUUGCACUUAGGAGGUAGUUUCUUUUGGAGAACUGCUGAAACAUUCUCCCCCAUGUGAACUUUUUCAUCUCCUCUUAAUUUUCUUUUGGAGGUGCACAAUUCCUUAAGGACUUUAGCAUAUCGAGGUAUUUGUUUUAUAGCAUCUAAUAAAGGAAUAUUUACCUCAACCUUGCGAAAUGUCUCAAGGAUGUCUUUCUCUUGUUCCUCCUUCUUGGAUUUUGUAAACCGGCUUGGAAAAGGAGGAGGUAUCACAAUAGGUAGGGGUUUCGCUCUGGUGGGUUGCGCAUCUUGAGAUUUAGGCAUCAAUUCAUUCUUCUCAAGCUCAUCUUCUACAUGCUUUGUCACUUUCUUACUAGGCUCUUGCAACUCCUUCCCACUUCUAAGGAUGACAGCACUAACGUUUUGCUUUGGAUUCACCUCAGAUUGUGAACGCAAUCUUCCUAAUACUUGAGACUCCAGACGGCUCACUGUAGUCGCCAAUUGACUCAUUUGGUUCUCCAAGUUCUGAAUGCUUGCUGUAGUUGCCUGCUGAAAUUGUUGAGUGUUAGUCGCAAGUGAUUUAACAAUUUCUUCAAGAGAUAUACCUGACUUGGAGUUUGACUGUGGAGGUGUUGGUUGUCUUGGUGGAUACUGUUGUGGGAAUCCUGACGGCCUAACUCCAUAGCUGAAGUUGGGAUGAUCCUUCCAUCCCGGAUUGUAUGUUUGUGCAUAAGGAUCAUACCUCCUCUGAGGCAUGCCUGGAAAUCCUCCAACUGCAUUGGCUUGUUCAACGGGUUCUUCUUGAAGUGUAGGACACAUAUCAGUUGAAUGACACAUAUUGUAACAAAUGCCACAAGUCUUCACCUGUUGCACAUUACCUACAACAAACUUUUCCACAAGAGAAGUAAGUUUAUCUAAAUGUUGUUCAAUAGAAGAAAUAUUUACCUCAUUCACCGUUCUUGAAGUGGCAUCUUGUCUGCUGCCAAAUUGUUGUGCAUUGGCAGCCAUAUUUGAGAUCAACUCCCUUGCUUGAGUAGGAGUCUUGUUCACCAACAGGCCUCCACUAGCAGCAUCUAUCAUACUCAUAUCCAUCAAUGAUAAUCCUUCGUAAAAAUAUUGAAUAAAAAGUUGAUCAGAAAUCUGAUGCUGAGGACAACUGGCACACAAUUGUUUGAAUCGCUCCCAAUACUCAUACAAAGUCUCCCCAGGAAGUUGUCUGAUCCCACAAAUGUCUUUUCUGAUGUUAGCAGCCCUUGAAGCAGGAAAGUACUUCUCGAGGAACUGCUUCUUCAAAUCAUUCCACGUUGUAAUCGAUCCAGGAGGCAAGUAAUACAACCAGUCUUUAGCUAGUCCAUCUAAAGAGAAAGGAAAAACACGCAGCUUAAUCUGCUCUUCAGUCACACCUUGUGGUCUCAUACUUGAACACACAACAUGAAACUCCUUAAGAUGUUUAUGAGGAUCUUCACCUGUAAAACCAUGAAACUUGGGUAAUAAAUGAAUAAGACUAGACUUUAAUUCAAAAUUUACCUCCAAGUCUACAUAUUGAAUGCAGAGUGGUUGCUGAUUCAAGUCUAGUUCAGCUAACUCUCUAAGAGUUCUUUCAACAGGUGCAGCUCUAUCCAUCACUUGUUCUUCUGAAUCGCUAGAUGAUUCAACCAAAUCAGGCACCGUAUCUGUUUCAGAAAGCAAAGGCGACGAGGAUCGUUGCUUAGCUCGCUUCGUCUGCUGUCUCAGCUGGCGAGCUGUCUUCUCAAUUUCAGGAUCAAACGAAAGUGUACCUGUACGAGAAGAAUGAACCAUACACCAAGUAAAACGUAAAAAGGAUUAAAUAAACGACACCAAUCCCCGGCAACGGCGCCAAAAUUUGAUGGUUGUCGAAGCCAACAAAAAUAAAUUCCUACUCUAAAUAAAUUGUGUAUAGUGAUUGAGCAGGGUCGUGUUCACAGAGAUCGGUAAUUAUUUAAAUCCUUUUGAAACGUAAAACGUAAAAUGGGGGAAUUGUUGACAAUAAUAAAAAUCAAAUUGAAAUAACAAGAAUGCAAAUUAAAGUUGUAAUUCAAAUUGGAGAAAGCUCUGGUUGAAGGAAUUAACUCAGCUUGAUUCGACUACUGAUCAUUGAUUCAAAUAUAGAUUAUUAUUACUUAUGAAUAGACCGGUUAUAGCUAUUGAGACCCUCUAAUAGCCAAUCUCUCCUUAACUAGUCGAUAACCAAGGUACGACCGUUGGUUAUUUCCCUAAUCAAUGGACAACCCUAGAUACGAUCAUAGGAUUUAAUCAAUUGACAGCCUGAAAAACCAGAGAGACCCAAAUCCUAAUCAACACAUAUGAUGAUUCAUUUAAAUUAGAUUGUUUAUUCUCACAACACAACUCUCUGCUAUGUUAUUUGUCACAAACAUUAAAUUCUUCAUACGAUGAAUCCUUUAAUUGACAAUAGAUUAAGUUGAUAAUUAAAUAGUGGCUAAUUACCUAAUUAACAAACAUAAUCAUGAAAAUAAUUCAGAGAAUAAACAAAUACCCAAAAAGCAAUAAAACAAUUAAAGCACAAGAAAGAUCUCACAGUAGUGAUGAAUCAAAGCUUCAUUAUCCUUCAACCAGAAAAAUAGGUUUAGUUCUUCAUAGAGAGAAGAGAAAAAUUAAGAUCUAGGGUUUUCUUUCUUUUCCUCCAAUCCAAAAUCCCUCCCUCUUUCACAAUAGAUUCCUCCCUUAAAUACUCUCUCUCUCUUCUCUUUUAGAGUUCUAUUUAAAAUAAAAUACUAAUAUCUGAAAUAUUAAAUUCGUAAUUACAAAAAUAGCCAAAAAUACAAAACACGUUAAACUAAAAACUGCAGGUCCGCAGUUGACAGCACGCGCCCACGCGUUAUCAACAAAGUUCUUCUGCCGCUCAUAAUUUCUCCAAGAGAACAAUUAUCCUUAAACAAUAUCUUGUAGCUCAAUUUUAUCACCAAUCAAUAGAAUUGCACCUACAAAAGUAAAACACAAGUAAAUCAUUAUUAUUAAGUGCAAAACAUCGAUAUUAAAGGAAGUAAACAAUGCAAAACUAGUGCAUAAAUUGCACUCUAACAUCCAUCAAUUUACUAGUUUUAUAUGUGAUUUACACAUUUUUUGUUUCAUUUCACACUUAGGUGGCGUUUGUUUUUUUGUCUGAAAUCUGAAUAAACCUGAAUUGGUCUGAAUUCUGAAUAGAUCUGAAUGUCUGAAUCUGAAUAAUAUGUUUGUUUUUUCAUCUGAAUCUAAUAAAAUAAGUAUUAAGUUGUUUGUUUUUUUCAACUUAAAAAGCUAAAAAUAUGUACUUUUACAUUUGUAUCCUUAUUAAAUUUGAAUGUCAAAUAAAUAAUAUAUUAAAUACUACAAUAUUUUAACAUUUAUAAGUAAAACUAUAUUCAAGUGAAUACAUAAUUAUUUUAGAAUUUUAAUAGAUAAAAUACCAUAAAUUUUAAAUUUUAUUGUAUAUAAUAUAAGAAAGAAAAAACAGAGAUAUUUUUAUGUGGGGUAAAUGUCUAUGGGUGAGUUUUGGGAUAGACAUGAAAAAUAAAUUAUAAAGCAAGGAUAUUUUUGACAUUAGCAAGUAAUUGACUUAAUUCAGAUUUCUCCAUUAAGUAAAAAGCCAAAAAAAUUGGCUUAUUUUAUUAAGUCAAAAUUAUCUAAAAAGUCUCAUUAAGUUAUAAAAACAAACACUUCUAAUUAACUUAAUUAAUUAAGUUAAGUCACUUUAAGUUAUUAAGUUAAAAAAAAAACGCCACCUUAAUGUCAAUUUACAAGUUCUAUGUCAUUUUUCUAAAUUUUUGUUUUGUUUACAAGUUCUUCUUGCAAAUUACAACUCCAUCAUUAAUUUACUAAUUUUUCCAUCAAUUUACUAGUAAUAUGGGUGAUAUACACAUUUUUUGUUUCAUUUCACAAUUAAUGUCAAUUUACUAGUUCUAUGUCAUUUUUCUAAGUUUAUGUUUGGUUUACAAGUUCUUCGUGCAAAUUACAACUCCAACAUUAAUUUAUCCUUUUUUCAUUAAUUUAUUAGUUUUAUGUGUGGUUUACAAAUUUAUUAUUUCAUUUCACAUUUAAUGUCAAUUUACAAGUUCUAUGUCAUUUUUCUAAGGUUUUGUUUUGUUUGCAAGUUCUUCUUGUAAUUUACAACUCCAACAUUAAUUUACCCAUUUUUCCAUCAAUUUACUAGUUUUAUGUGUGAUUUAUAUAUUUUUUGUUUCAUUUCAUACUUAAUGUCAAUUACAAGUCUCUAUGUCAUUUUUAUAAGUUUUUGUUUUGUUUACAAGUUCUUCUUGCAAAUUACAACUCCAUCAUUAAUUUAUUCCUUUUUCCAUUAAUUUACUAGUUUUAUGUGUGAUUUACACAUUGUGUGUUUCAUUUCACACUUAAUGUUAAUUUACAACUUCUAAGUCAUUUUUCCAAGUUUUUGAUUUGUUUACACUCUUUUCUUCUAAUUUACAACUCCAUCAUUAAUUUACCCACUUUUCCAUCAAUUUACUGGUUUUAUGUGUGGUUUACACAUUUUUUGUUUCAUUUUACACUUAAUGUUAAUUUACAAAUUNNNNNNNNNNNNNNNNNNNNNNNNNNNNNNNNNNNNNNNNNNNNNNNNNNNNNNNNNNNNNNNNNNNNNNNNNNNNNNNNNNNNNNNNNNNNNNNNNNNNAGAUAUGAGUGCAUGGGAUAGCUGGCAAUUUUGACUAAAUCUCAACCGUUCAUGAUUCAAUGGUCAUGAUUGUGCCACGUGGCAAUGGUUGGUGAAGCAAGUUGGAGGAUCCGAAUCUUUGUAUUCGGGUCGACACGAUCCACCCAUUAACCCGCCAAAUCUCAACCGUUCGUUGGGCAAAUCGGACGAGUCAAAUGAUGCCACGUGUGAUGUUGAGUUUUGAAGUUUGACCGGCCAUUGGAUCUUGAUCUAAAGGUUGUGAGGAGCACAUGCAUGAAGCCUAUGAUGGACCGCAAAGCACUGGAUUAUGAAUUUAUUUUUCUAUAAAUAGAGCCUCAUUUUUAUGUUUUAAUCAUCUUUCUACAACUCUCUUCUUCUCAAUUUCUCUCCAUCUCCUUGUAAUCUUGAUUUCUAGGUGUGUUUUUAAUAUUUUGUAUAAUUAUUUUCAUUAAUAAAAUUAGUUUUAUUUCCAAUUUUAGUUGUUUUUAUUUCUUUUAAUUAUAAGUAAUUCAAUUUUACUACUUCUUUUUAUUUUAAUUAUGCUUAACUAAAUAAUAUUAUUUAGGGGAAGGUGAAACUAUUAGGAAAUAAAUAUGAUUUAAUCAAAUUCUAUUUUUAAUUUUAUAAAUUAAAUUAUUUUCUAUUUAAUUUUAUACAUGUUUUAUAUUUUGAAAUUUUGAUUUAUUGUAGACAAACAAAUGAAUUUGGCACAAUAAAUUCUUAAGAUCUUAAUAUAAGGCAUGGUGAAAUGGUAUUUUGACUUAUUGUAGACAAAUUAAAUUUUGGCACAAUAAAUACUUAAUCCAUCAUAAAAUUAAAGGGAAAAUAAUAAUAAUUUGUAUAAUUAAUCUUUUGGGUAAUAAAUCUAAAAAAAAUUGGCAAAAAGAAUUUAUUAAGUUUUAUUUAUUUCUAAGAGGGGAUCCAUAACCCUAACUAGUUCAAUUCCAUAAUUUCAUUUAAAUUAAGUUGUUUAUAUUUAAGUUUUAAUUUUAAUUUUUAGAUAAAAUAAAAUAAACUAAUUAAAUCUUUUCUCUGUGGAUCGACCUCGGACUCACCGAGUUAUAAUACAAUAAGACACUCUUAUACUUGGGAGUUAAAAAUUACUUUUAGGUUGUGUCACCAUCAAUUUACUACUUUUAUGUGUGGUUUACACAUUUUUUGUUUCAUUUUACAUUUAAGGUGGAUUUACAGGUUUAAGUCAUUUUUCCAAGUUUUUAUUUUCUUUACAGUUUUUUCUUCUUAUUUACAAGUUCAUUAUUAAUUUAUCUUUUUUUUCCAUCAAUUUACUAGUUUUAUGUGUGAUUUAUACAUUUUUUGUUUCAUUUCACACUUAAUGUCAAUUUACAAGUUCUAUGUCAUUUUUAUAAGUUUUUGUUUUGUUUACAAGUUCUUCUUGCAAAUUACAACUCCAUCAUUAAUUUAUUCCUUUUUCCAUUAAUUUACUAGUUUUAUGUGUGAUUUACACAUUGUGUGUUUCAUUUCACACUUAAUGUUAAUUUACAACUUCUAAGUCAUUUUUCCAAGUUUUUGAUUUGUUUACACUCUUUUCUUCUAAUUUACAACUCCAUCAUUAAUUUACCCACUUUUCCAUCAAUUUACUGGUUUUAUGUGUGGUUUACACAUUUUUUGUUUCAUUUUACACUUAAUGUUAAUUUACAAAUUUUAAGUCCUUUUUUCAAGAUUCUGUUUUCUGUACACUUUUUUCUUGUAAUUUACAACUCCAUCAUUAAUUUACCAAAUUUUCCAUCAAUUUACUAGUUUUAUGGUGUGGGUUACACAUUUUUUGUUUCNNNNNNNNNNNNNNNNNNNNNNNNNNNNNNNNNNNNNNNNNNNNNNNNNNNNNNNNNNNNNNNNNNNNNNNNNNNNNNNNNNNNNNNNNNNNNNNNNNNNNNNNNNNNNNNNNNNNNNNNNNNNNNNNNNNNNNNNNNNNNNNNNNNNNNNNNNNNNNNNNNNNNNNNNNNNNNNNNNNNNNNNNNNNNNNNNNNNNNNNNNNNNNNNNNNNNNNNNNNNNNNNNNNNNNNNNNNNNNNNNNNNNNNNNNNNNNNNNNNNNNNNNNNNNNNNNNNNNNNNNNNNNNNNNNNNNNNNNNNNNNNNNNNNNNNNNNNNNNNNNNNNNNNNNNNNNNNNNNNNNNNNNNNNNNNNNNNNNNUUUUGUUUGCAAUUUUUUCUUCUAAUUUACCACUCCAACUUUAAUUUACUAAUUUUCCCUUUUUUUACUAUUUCCAAGUGUGAAUUACAAAUCUUUUAUUUCAUUUCAUAAUUAAUGUCAAUUUACAAGUUUUUUUUUUAUUUUGUAGACCAUUUUACCACUCUAACGCUAAUUUACCCGUUUCACCUUCAAUCUACGAGUCAUACGUGUAGUUUAGAAAAUUUUUGUCUUAUUUCACAUUUAGUUGGAAUUUAGGUUAUGUAGUUUAGGUCAAUUGCCUCAACUUAAAUCCAAUGUGAAAAUGGUUAAAGAGUUGGAUUAUUGGCAUUUUAUGAUUUAGAUAGAAUAAAAUAAGGGUGGGCAUGAGUUGGGUUUGAUAGAGUUAGUGAAAUUCUAACAUGGUCUACUUUUUAAUAAGUUGAGAUAAAAUCCAUCAAACUUUAUUAAAAAAAUUCAAUAUUAUAACAAUUAUGGCAGCAUCAACAGCAAAAAAGUUAUAAAAAAACUUUUUUUAUACUAUCUAUUUUUUCCCCUUUUUUGAAAAUAAAAGGCGGAAAAAAAAACAUUUCCCAUUGACUCUCAACGUCACUGUAGAAGAAAAAAAAUCAAAACAAAAAGCACCGCCCUGUCCGCCCCUCAUGUUCAUUCCCAAAUGUGAAUUUCUGUCUCAGUUCUUCUAAAUUUUAAGCCAAGAUUCGCCAAAUCCGAACCCGAAUCCGCUGGCACGUGAACCGUGAAACCGUCGAUCACAAUCCAUAUUGUCGAAGAGAUGACAUGCAUAUUGUCGUUCAGAUUCUGGUGAUGGUAAGGCUGUGGAAGAAACCAAGAAGAGCACCAAAAGCAUCGCUAGUUUUAACCCUGAAACUGUGUUUCAACUCCAAAACUUUGCAGAUCGGUUUGGCGCGCAUCGCGCGAGGUAAGCAAUCUGGAAAAUCAUUUUAGAAUUUUUCUUUUUUUCACAAAUUAUUAUCGAGAAUGAAGACAAGAAGCUUAGACUUAGAAUAUUUGAAAAUUGUGUUUUCUAAUGAUUUUCAAGAAUAGUUUUGACAAAUAUGUCUGGUAAUGUCUUUUGGAGCAUAAUAAGAGUAUUGUGUUUUCCAAGAACAUAAUGCCCUGUGUGAACUUUUUGGUUUAAAAUUUAUUUGCUGGCAAUAAUAUACUAUUGAAAAUUUUUUUCUUGCCUGUCUGAAAACUCAGUUUUUCUUGUUUUCCAUCUGUCUGAACAUACUAUGUGUUUACAUAUUGUAUGCUGAUGGAGAGACAGGUACUGCCUUGAUCAAUUUGAUGGGCUUAUAAAUGAACAAAGCAUAGGGAAAUUGGACUAUUUGGACAUUAAUUUGACCAAUUUGAUGAGCUUGUAAAAGAACAAAGCAUACAGAAUCGGACAAUAUAAUUGGGUCUUUUUUGCUUUUGAAUGGGGUUGUGAUGUAUUUUGCAGCCAUGCUUGUGAGCUGAUCUGUCUAUCUUUCAGCUACUAUUAACAUACUGCCAUGUUAAGUUUUUUAUGACAUGAGAAGACUUUAGCAGGAAAGUUCAACCUCUUAAGGUUUUAGAAGCUUAUAGACUGAGAAUCAUUUCAUCUGAUAUGAUGACUCUUGUUAAGAUUUAUCUUGUAUUCAAUUUUCUUUCUUUAUUUAGAUUACAAAGUGUAUUUCGCUCCUCAGGUUGCAGAGUCACUGCCACGGAUAUGCUUCUUAUCUGGCCUUGGUGGGGAGGAAAUGAAGAUGUUCAUUGAAGCAUUUCCAGAGACAGGUACCUGAUCUUCUAUUGAAACACCAUUGCAGUAUCAUGUUUCAGACCUUGAAGUGGAUAUAUUUGUAUCAUUUCAGCCAUUUUCGAGUUUACAAAAACCUGUACGUGAAGAUUUAGGCACAAAAAGAAAUGUCAAAUAUCACAAGUUUUGGAUCCUGUAAAACAACAGAAAAUUUAACCCAAAAACAGCAAGAAAUUUAUCUAAAAACAGCAAAAACUUUAACUGAAAAAUAGUAGCAAAUUUUACCCAAAAACAAUAGAAAAUUUAACCCAAAUACAGCAGUAAAUGAAGCCCAAAACACCAGAAAUUUACAUGGAAACAACAGAAAAUUUAGCCCAAAAACAGUCAUAAAUUUAUCCAAACAACAACAAAUUUACCCAGAAACAACAGAAACUUUAACACAAAAAUAGCAAUAAAUUUAUCCAAAAAUAGGAAAACAUUUAACUGUAAACCAGCAGCAAAUUUACCCAGAAGCAACAGAAAAUUUAACCUAAAAACAGCAGCAAAUGAAGCCCAAACACCAAAAAAAAUUACUUGAACACAGCAAAAAAUUUUACCCAAAAACAGUAGUAAAUUUAUCUAAAAAUAGCAGACAAUUUAACUGAAAAACAGCAGCCAAUUUAUCCAGAAACAGUAGAAACUUUAACAUAAUAACAUAAGCAAAUGAAGCCCAAAACACCAGAAAAAUUAACCAAAAACGGUAGCCAAUCAUCCCAAAUACAGCAAUAAAUUUAUCCAAAAAUAGCAGUAUAUUUACCCAAAAACAGCAAAAUAUUUAACCUAAAAACAGCACCAAAUGAAGCCCAAAACACCAAAAAUACUUACCUGGAAACAGCAGAAAAUAUAACCCAAAAACAGUAGUAAAUUUAUCUAAAAAAUACAGAAAAAUAAAAUGAAAUACAAUAAACUGAAAUACAGCAGACAAUUUACCCAGAAACAUCAAAAAAUUUAAGCUAAAAACAGCAGCAAAUGAAGCCCAAAACACCAUAAAAAUUUAACCAAAAACAGCAGCAAAUCAUCCUAAAUACAGCAAAAAAAUUAUCCAAAAAAAGUAAAAAAUUUAACUGAAAAAUAGCAGUAUAUUUACCCAGAAACAGCAAAAUAUUUAGCCCAGAACCAGUAGCAAAUGAAGCCUAAAACACUAGAAAAAAUUACCUGGAAAUAUCAAAAAAUAUAACCCAAAAAUAUAAGUAAAUUUAUCUAAAAACAACAGAAAAAUAAACUGAAAUACAGCAACCAAUUUACCCAAAAAUAGCAAAAAAUUUAACUUAAAAACAUCAGCAAAUUAGGCCAAAAAUACCAAAAAAUUUUAACCAAAAACACUAGCAAAUCAUUACAAAUAAAACAGAAAAUUCAUCCAAAAACAGCAAAAAAUUUAAAUGAAAAACAGCAGUAUAUUUACACAAAAAUAGCAAAAUAUUUAGCCCAGAACUAGCAGCAAAUGAAGCCCAAAACACCAGAAAAUUACCUGGAAACAGCAAAAAAUAUAACCCAAAAAUAACAGUAAAUUUAUCUAAAAAUAGCAGAAAAAUAAACUGAAAUACAGCAGCCAAUUUACCCAAAAAUGGCAGAAAAUUUAACCUAAAAACAGCAGUAAAUUAAGCCAAAAAUACCAAAAAAAUUUAACCAAAAACAACAGCAAUUCAUUACAAAUACAACAGAAAAUUCAUCCAAAAACAGCAAAAAAUUUAACUGAAAAACAGCAAUAUAAUUACCCCAAAACAGCAAAAUAUUUAGCCCAGAACCAGCAGCAAAUGAAGCCCAAAACACCAAAAAAUAUUACCUGGAAACAGCAAAAAAUAUAACCCAAAAAUAGCAGUAAAUUUAUCUAAAAAUAGCAGAAAAAUAAACUGAAAAACAGCAGCCAAUUUACCCAGAAAUAGCAAAAAAUUUAACCUAAAAACAGCAGCAAAUGAAGUCCAAAACACAAGAAAAAUUUAAUCAAAAACAGCAGUAAAUCAUCCCAAAUACAGCAAAAAAUUUGGCCAUAAACAAAGGCAUAUCAAACCCAAAAUUUUUUUGCAAAUUCACAUAAUUCUCUGUCACGUCAAUUAUAUUUGAGACAAAAACCCACUUCCAGUUUCAGAAUUUUGAUCCCUUUACCCUUAAUUUAUCUACUUUUGUCUGAUGUAUAUUUUCAUUUAUUUGUUAUCCCCAUCCAUACAUCCAUCCAUGAUCCACCACACAUUUGUUUAUAAACCAAAAUCAAUGCACACAAUAAUACAAAAUCAAGGUCACAACAGUUAGCAUAACUCAUAUAGCACUGUAUAUCAUUCACCCACACUCGAAGCUUAAGUCAAAUAUAUCGAAUGAAGGAAUUAGUAUAUGCUAGUGCUCAUAAGCUUUUCCGUCAGUGUGCUUUUAUGGGAGGGCAUCUUGAUGCAAGUUAUACAGAGCUCACACACAAGGCAAUAAAAUAUGCGCAGGGAGUUCCUUUAGCUCUUAUCAUUCACCCAUAUUCAAAAAUCAUCCUAAACACAUAUAUUUAGGCUAAAAAAAAAAUAACAUUCUAAUGGAUAACAAGAUAGAUUUAUUAAUUGACCUAUAUAUUACAAUGGAAUAAUAGUUAGAUCGAAACUAAAAUAAGAUACAUAUAAAAAAAUAAUGUUUCGUGAAAUUAGACCAGCACUUCAAUAUGAAUUGAAUCUUUCUUAUGACCCUCAGAUUGAAUGAUAUUCUUAAGGAGAGUAUGAAUUAAUUUGGUGUCCUAAGUAACGAUAAUAAUUGAUCAACAAUAAAUGAAAUAUCUCUAACUACCUGAUCAUCACAAACUGUGAAAGCAAAUUACAACCCGCAGUAACAAAUCUUCUCCUCGAAGUGAAAUAUAAAACAAACAGAAACCACAAAAAAAAAAUCACCAACAAUUUCAGUUUCAAUAUAUCUAAGAGAGGGACCAUUGCACUAAAGCUACAACUGGUAAACUUCUUCCCUCUUUCCUUCCCCAUGCUUAGCCCGUAGUGAACUCAAGCAGCUACAUCUAAUUUCUUUGAUCAAUUUCAAAAGUGUCCAGCUAAGAUUCUUAUAAGAUACGAACCAAAUGAACAUUACAUAAUUCAACAAUAUGUGUUUUCAGAACAGGACAUAUUACUGUAUUCAAGCAACCAUAUUACCAGCAAAAUAAAUCAAUUAAUCUAAUUUAUCCAUAUUACUUGUAAUAACAGAAACAAAUCGUAUCAAAGUCUAGUGCAUGCUCUAUAUUUCUUAAUUUAAUUUAUCCAUAUUUCUUUUUUGCUUCUUUUUCACCUCUGUUUUCGCUUCAAGCAACUUCCAAAGCAAUGAUUGGCAGGAAAAAAGUAUUGGAGGAAAACAAAAUCGCAUUAGCCGGCAAACCCAAACACUUUGCACAGGAACUUAAUUCCGUGAACAAAUGCAGAAAUUAUGACCAUGAAAGAAAACUAUGCAGACCCAAACACUUUGCAGCGACUUCUUAAUUCUUAGAUUCAAUUCUGUGAACAAAUUAUGACCAUGAAAGAAAACGAAAUUGCUUAGCAAUUCGAGCGAGACAGAGGAUUAAACUUACCUUGCACAGGGACGACGGCCAAACCAAGAUAGAGGCAGUGACGGCAGAGACUCAGCAAUUCGAACAAGACAGAAAAUCAACUCAACGGCUGCAAUCUGCAGACGUGUCGCCGGUGCACCUAAACGGAAGUUAACGCGGCAGUGGGUUUCUUUUGGAAUUCAUUAAUUAGGGAUUUCAAUAUGAACGAGUUUUCCCUUUUUAUUUUUUUAUUUCUUUAAAACAUAAAUCUUCUUUUUUUCCUUUAAAGUUAUACCGGUAAAUUUUUAUUUUUAAAAAGUACUUAACCGGCUUAUAACCGGUUAGAUGUAAUUUAAUUAAAAAAUUUUAUUAUUUUAUAAUUAUUGUAAACUGUUGAUUUAAUCUAACGGUUCAUAAUAAUUACGACAUUGAUGCUGUGUUUUUAAUUACGGCAUCAUAGAUUUUUCAUAGGUGCCAUUUCUCAAUCUACCGGCUUUGAUAUUAACAAAAUGCAGUAUACGCAUGAGCCGAUUAUAGUAAACAAUUUGGCAAGAGUUCUCUAUAGAAUACUAAUGAGACACAAAUUGCACAGUAACAAAUGACCUUAGAAAAUGAAUAAGAUGCAGCAAAUUGACCAAGUGACAAAUCCGUUCCCAUCCGAAUCAUAGCUAAUUUAGAAUGAAUAUUUGAAAAUAAGAGAAGGCAGGAACACACGAGGGCAAAGCCAAGGAAAAGAGACCCAGCAAUGAGGCACGAAUUAAAAGUUAGAUAAUAAUCUUACACACUAUUAUUUAAGGCGUUCAUUGCGAAGAUACGAGGGCACAACCAAGGAAGAGAGACCUAGCAAUGAGGCACGAAUUAAAAGUUAGAUAAUACUCUUACACACUAUUAUUGAAGGCAUUCAUUGCGAAGAUUAUAAUUCACUACUAGUGAAAGAAAAGAAAAUCAAUUAGAUUGUCUCAUACGUCUAGCUCUUGAACAUUUUAAAGCAACGAGUAUCUAAAUUUUAAGAAUCCCAUUACCAUUUCCUUUGCAUUGAUUCUCUGCUUUGGUGAUUCUAUAGUACGCUCCGUAGCCAAAUUGAAGACAAAUGACACACGUUGCUCUUUGGUCAUAAAAUGUUUGUCCUCCCGAGUUAGUAGAUUUGCAUCAACAACUGUCGUAACUGAAAUGAGUAGUGAAUCAUUAACCCAACACUUUAAUCUCAUUUCUCUAGAAUUUUUUUUUUGUGGGUUUCAAUGUAAUUGUUGGGGGAUUUAGCAUAAGAUUUCUAGGUAUCCAACCCAAAAGACUAGCUUUUUAGGUGGAGUGACCUACCACCUUAUAAACCCAAGUAUCUCCCCUUUACUAGCCAAUGUGGGACACAACUCAACAAUCCCCCCCUCGGAUGAAACCAUUGCCAAGACUUUGGUCCUUUCGUUCGACACACCUGAGUUGUUCCACCACCACAUUCCGGCUAUUAGGGUCUAGCUUUGAUACCACUUGUUGGGGGGACUUAGCAUAAGAUUUCUAGGUAUCCAACGCAAAAGACUAGCGUUUUAAGUGGAGUGACCUACCACCUUAUAAAUCCAAGUAUCUCUCAUUUACUAGCCAAUGUGAGACACAACUCAACAGUAAUAUAUGCUCUUUUUAAAUUUUACGCGCAAAUAAUAAUAUCAUUUAAAAAGGAACUGUAAAUAGCUUCCCUAGUUUUAAGCAAAGUAUUUAGGUCAUUUGACAUAUAAUAAGGUCCAUUUCUCAAUCUACCAGCUUUGGUUUUCAUAAAUGCGAUAUAUGCAUAAACUAAUGGGUAUAAAACUAAAUGCACUGAAAUUUUCAAUCCUUCUAAAUCCUACAAAUUAUUCAUAAUUUUCCACACAUGAAGCAAAAGAACAAUAAUUAAAUCACACUGACCUGAUUAUACCAAAUGACCCUAUAGAAAAAAUAUAAAUAUAAUUAAACCUAAACAAAUGGCUAAAAUCUCUAUGGAAACUUAAAGGGACUCAAAUUGCACAAUAACAAAUCACUUUAGAAAUUCAAUAAGAUGCAGCAAACUAACCAAGUGUCAAAUCCGUUCCUUUUCCGAAUCAUAGCUAAUUUAGAAUGAAUAUUUGAAAGUGAGAGAAUGUAGGAUCACAUGCGGGCACAGCAACCAAGGAAAGUAGACCUAGCAUUGGCACGAAUAAAAAGUUAGACAAUACCCGUACACACAAUUAUUGGAGGUAUUCAUUGCAAAGAUUAGAAAACAUUACCAAUGAAAGAAAGGAAAAUCAAUUUGAGUGUCACAUGCGUCUACCCCUUAACAUUUUUGAGCAAUGAGUCUCUAAUUUUUAAGAGUCUUGUUACAAUUUCUUUUGCAUUGAUUCUCUGCUCUGGUGAUUCUACAGUACACUUCAUAGCUAAAUUGAAGACAAAUGACAGGCAUUGCUCUUUGGUCACAAAAUGUUUGUCGUCUUGACUUAAUAGAUUUGCAUCAACAACUUCUAUAACUGAAAUAGGUAGCAAGUUAUCAACCCAACACUUUAAUGUCAUUUCUCCAGAAAAAAUUUCAUCUGUGGGUUUCUUCCAGGUAAAUGUUUCUAUUAACAUAAUUCCAAAGCUGUAAACAUCCCCAUUUGUGGAUACUCGUCCUUCUCUUCCAUACUCUAUGGAUUGCAAUAGUUAGAUAGUAAGAUAAUAUAAUUUAUAAUACUACGCACAAAUGAAGAUCAAAAUAAAUAAGAAACAUAUAAGAAAUUAUUAAAGAAAUAAAAAAAAAUUAUUAUGUAACAAACCUGGUGCCAUAUAGCCUAUGGUGGCAAGUGUUUGUGUUUGAGUCAAAGAUUGAUCUUCUUUGAGUAAGGGCUUUGCCAUGCCAAAAUCACUCAAAUGAGCAACCAUAUUAUCAUCUAACAAUACAUUGUUGGGCUUUAAGUCACAGUGAAUUAUUGGGACUGAAUAACCAAAGUGCAGAUAUUCCAAGGCUGAUGCAACAUCUAUCAUUAUGUUCAAUCUUUGAAAAAUAUCCAAAAUGUAGUUGCUCGAAUACAAACACUUCUCCAGACUUCCAUGAGGCAUGUAUUCUAAUACCAACGCUUUAAAAUCAUCAUUUGAACAACUGCUAAUGAUUUUUAUAAGGUUUCGAUGGCGAAUACGUUUCAUCAUGUCACAUUCAAUAUCGAAACUCUUAAAUGCUCCUUCAUAUUGUAAGUCAAAAACCUUUACUGCAACCUCUAUCCCAUCUUGAAUUCUUGCCUUGUAAACAGAAGCAACACCUCCUCUGCCGAUUAGAUUGUUUUCACUAAAUCCGUUUGUAGCUUGAAAAAGUUCUAGGUGUGUAAACCUUCUCAGAUUUGCUACUAAUGGCAUAUUAGCAUCAGCCAACUGUGAUUUCCCUCUCUUUCGAUAUCUUAAGAUCAACAAAAUCACUGCCAUCAUAAAUAUAGUACUCAAUGGCAAGACAAUCCCUAAGAGAAGAUCAUUUUUCCUUGAUGUGUGGUGGAUUCUAGUUCUGCAUGGUGGGACUUGCAGAUUGGGCGUACCACACAAUAAUUCAUUUCCCUUGAACGAUUCAGCUGAGAAAUUUCUAAAAGGUCCCUCUCUAGGAAUCUCUCCUUCCAGCUUAUUGAAAGAAACAUUUAUAUAUUUGAGAUCUAAUAGUUUCUCUAAAGAUAUAGGAAUAGCUCCAGAGAUAUUAUUAUUGGAUAAAUCUAAGGAUUUCAAGUCUAUCAAACCACCAAUGGAAUCAGGAAUUGAGCCUUGUAAUCUAUUAUAUUCUAAAAAUAGAUAUUGUAGAUCUUUUAGGUCUCCAAUUGUUGUUGGGAUAAAACCUGAAAAAUUAUUCAUCGACAAAUCUAUUUGUACCAAAACCCUUAAAUUUCCAAUCUCUAGUGGGAGUGGGCCAGUAAAAGAAUUUGAAGACAAGUUAAGGUACAAGAUGUACUUAAGGUUCCAUAAAGUUGAAGGAAUAGAAGUUAACUGAUUGGAGCCCAAAUAGAGGUUCCUUAGACUAGUGAGAUUGCCAAAGCAUGCUGGGACGAAUCCAGAAAGUUUAUUGCCGCCCAAGUCCAAUAGAAACAGUGCAGCUAAACGACAAAGAUCAUCUGGGAUUGAUCCUUCCAAUUGAUUAUCUUCCAAACUCAAUAAUUGAAGCUUUUGUAAUUUGUCGAGAGCAAUCGGAAUUGAUCCAUUCAAUUUGUUUCCUCCUAAAUAAAUUGUUGUCAAGUUGGUCAAGUUGCUGAUCUCUUCAGGAAUGCUGCCACUAAUAUUGCAAUUAAACAUAAAAAAGACUUCCAUAGAUUGAGAAAGAUUGCCUAUAGCCCUUGGAAGAAUGCCAUCUAGUGAAUUAUUGGAGAAGCUCAAAUACUUCAAAUACUUGCAAUUUGACAAUGAGGAUAGAAAGUUCAAUUUUGGAGUUGAAGAUGUCAAAUAAUUAUAGUUUAAACUAAGCCGCUUAAGGUUUCUUAAGUUGCCAAAUGUGUUUGGAAUAAAACCGUAGAACGAGUUCAUUUCCAACUCUAGUCUGGAGAGCUUAGAAGCAUUGAAGAUGAAACUAGGAAUUGUGCCGCUAAAAUUAUUACCCCACAAGAGAAGUUCUUCGAGAUUUGGAAGUCGGACGUCUGCGCUUGAUGGAAGUCUUCCCGAGAGUGAGUUACUCUGAAGAUAAAGUGAGUUGAGUGUUGACACAUUGAAGAUUGUAGUUGGGACAACACCAACUAAUUUGUUAAAACUAAACGCCAUCCAUUCCAGAUUAUGGAGAUUACCGAUUUCAUGUGGUAUCUCACCUGUAUUUUGAAAAAACAAAUUUCAAAUUUAUUUUAAAUAAUAAAUUAUACACUUUUAUAUCAUGAAAAGAGUAUUCGUAAUUAAAAUUAUUAAAUAUGAGUUUAAGAUUAAUUAUUAUACAUAGAUAAAAUGUUAAUAAAUUAUUAAAUUUUUAUUCUUAUUAAUUAAAUAUAAAUAUUAAUAAUUCUAGUAUUCAUGUCAUUAUUAAAUAAAAAAAAGAAACUACUCAUUUUAAUAUUAAUUUGAAUUAGUAAUAUAGUAUGUGUAUGAACAUAAGAAUUUUUUUCUAACUGAAUUUUUAGUUUUUCUAUGUGUUACUACAGUGAAUAUAUGAAUUGAUAUCACGGUGGAAGAAUAUUGAUUUCAUGAGGUAUCUCACCUAUAUUUUGAAAUAACUAUAUUCAGAUUUGUUUCAGAGAAUAAAAACAAACUCAAUUCUGUUACCACUCAUCCGUCAAUGCUUUAGUAUGUUUUAAGGUUAUUUGGUAUUGAAGUUAGGUAGCUUUAGUUUGUAAGAUACCAAACAUGCACUACGGCUAGGAUUUAAUUUAUUUUAGACUUUCCUUUUCAAAAUCAAAACACUUGUUUUCAUGCCUAAAUAAACAUCUGAACUUAACCGCCAUUAUCACAAACUGUUGCUUGUUUCUGACUUCUUCUUUUCUACUACUUAUUAUCUCACUAACUUUUAAACUUUUGGUAUAAACAUGAGCAAAGAAGAACCAUUGCCAAUUAAUUCUGGUUUCUUUUACGAAUUUAUGUCAUGGAAUUAGAUUAAAAAUGGAUGUGUUAUUGUCACAAAUGCAUAUUAUUAGAAAAGACUACCUGUUAAGCCAUUAUGUGACAAAUCCAAAAUCGAUAGAGAAGAAAGAUUGAAGAUUGAUGAAGGAAUGGUUCCAGUUAAGAAAUUAUUGUCUAGCCAUAAGUGCACUAAUUCUCCAAGAUUCCCGAGCUCCUCUGGAAUUUCUCCUAAAAUCCAUGAGAAACAUAUGCGUUAACUAUUUUAACUUAUUAACCGGCCCUCAAGAAGAAAAAAAAGGAACUAAAAAACGUUUUUGCGUGAAAAGAGAUAAAAAAAUAAUUUAUGAAAACAUAAAUAAAUAAUUUUUUUGUCAAAUGACGAGAUAAGCAGAACCAAACAUGCUCUAAGGCUAGGAUUUAAUCUACUUUAGACUUUCCUUUUCAAAAUCAAAACGCUUGCUUUCAUGCCUAAAUAAACGUCUGAACUGAACCGCCAUUAUCACAAACUGUUGCUUGUUUCUGACUUCUUCUUCUCUACUACUUAUUAUAUCACUAACUUUUAAGCUUUUGGCAUAAACAUGUGCAAAGAAGAAACAUUGCAAAUUAAUUCUUAAUUCUUUUACGAAUUUAUGUCAUGGAAUUAGAUUAAAAAUGGAUGUGUUAUUGUCAUUGGUAUUUUGCAAUAACAAUUGACAGAUGAAGUAGACAAUAUCAAUUGAACACAAUUUCUAUUUGCAAUCUGUGAAAAUAAUUUAACUUUUCACACUUAUAGAUAUUGUUCCAUCUUUCAAAUUCUCCACCUGAUUUUGGACCCUAGAAAGACAAUUAAAAAAAAAAAGAAAGUAAAGAAAAACAUCUAAUGUGCUUGAUAGGUUAUGUUUCAAUUAAAAUGGUUAAACAAAAUUGAUUUUCAAGCAAAUAAACAACUGCUAUUCUAGGAACAAGCCCACAGUGGUCCAGGUAAAAUACUAGGAGUGAUAACUAGAAAAAUGACAUGGAUAUAAAUCACACAUACCUUGGAGUCUGUUUUGGUCAAGAUAUAAAUACUUAAGCUUGAUCAAAUUCCCGAUUUCUUUUGGUAUGUCUCCCGAGAAGUCAUUGAUCGACAAAGACAAUGUUUGUAGAUGUUUGCACCUUAAUAAAGUCGAUGAGAUUUUGCCGUCAAAGUUGUUUUCGUCUAGAAACAGGAUUUGCAAAAGAGGAAGGUUGCUGCAAAUAUUUGCAAGGAGUUCACCUGGGAGUUCAGCAAAUAAUAUCUUUAUAUUCAAAAUGAAUAUUUUCUAGUAAAGAAGACUUAAAUAACAUAAAGGAAGCGAUUGGACCAGAGAGCUGGUUAUAGCUAAGAUCAAGUUUUUGAAGUGAAGAUGGAUUCCCAAGUUGAGAAGGAAUGAUGCCUGUUAAGAAAUCAUUUGUUAGCGAUGGCAUCACCAAUUAUAUAAAGAUAAACAGUGAUUUCAUGUCAAAUAUUUUAUGUUGAUGUCACAAAUGCAUAUUAUUAGCAAAGACUACCUGUCAAGUUAUUAUAUGACAAAUCCAACUUCGAUAGAGAAGAAAGAUUGAAGAUUGAUGAAGGAAUGGUUCCAGUUAAGAAAUUAUUUUGUAGCCGUAACUCCUCCAAUUCUGCAAGAUUCCCGAGCUCCUCUGGAAUUUCUCCUAAAAUCCAAGAGUAACAUAUGCGUUAACUAUUUUAACUUAUUAACCGGCACUCAAGAAGAAAAAAAGGAACUAAAAAAAGUUUUUGCCUGAAAAGAAAUAAAAAAAAAAUUUAUGAAAACAUAAAUAAAUAAAGUUUUUGUCAAAUGACGAGAUAAGCAGAACCAAACAUGCUCUAAGGCUAGGAUUUAGACUUUCCUUUCCAAAAUCAAAACGCUUACUUUCAUGCCUAAAUAAACGUCUGAACGUAUGAGUAACAUACACGUUAACUAUUUUAACUUAUUAUUAACAGGCGCUCAAGAAGAAAAAAAUGAAAUAAAAAAAGCUUUUGCCUGAAGAGAGAUAAAAAAAAUUUACUCAAUAGAAUUAAAUAAUUAUAGGCUGACAGGAUUAAUAAAAGUGAGACAUUAUUAAUUUUCAUCAAUUAAUUAAACUCAUUGAUCAUACCUUGGAGUUGGUUCCCUUGAAGAUAUAACCCGAUAAGCUUUGUCACGUUGCCAAUUUCUUUUGGUAUGGUCCCAGAAAAAUCAUUAAGCGAUAAAGAUAUGUUUCGCAGCCGUUUGCAGUUUGAUAAAGUGGAUGGUAUCUUGCCAUGAAACAUGUUACUUUUAAGAAAUAGGGAUUCCAAAUUGGAAAGGUGAUUGCAAAAAUUUGGUGGGAGUUCGCCAAAUAGUGUAUUGUUUGUAAAACGAAUAGAAAGUAAAGAAGACAUGUUGAAGAUAGAGGCGGGAAUGGAACCCGAAAACCAAUUAAAACUGAGAUCAAGUGUUUGGAGAGACGAGAGAUUCCCAAGUUCAGAAGGGAUAGUGCCUGUGAGAUUUAACCUAGAUAUAUUCAAGGCUGUCACUCUAUGAGUACAGACAUCACAAGUGACGCCCGUCCAAUUACAGACAGAGCUACUUGUGUUCCAAUUUCUAGCCAAGAAAUUGGCUGGAUCAUCAGUUACAUGACCUUUCAGGGAAAGAAGGGCUUGUUGGUCUGUGGUAAUACUUGUAGUGUUGGCUGAUACAAUCAUGAAGGAAAGAAUCAAGCAAUGGAGUAAGAGAAAUCUGUUCAUCAUCCGGGCAGAAGGCAUUCUUUCCAUGAGACUAGAAUAUUUAGAUUGUAAGUGUGUGCUUAAUUGGAUUGAUAAUGCAAGAACACUCACAGCUGCUUCCAAGUAUAUAUAAUGAAACCCAAAUUUCGAAGAAGCAGCAAGAAAGAAAAUAGAGGAGUGAAAAGACUAUGCUCAUAACUUGUUGAAAGGUGAAAUAAUUUUAUGUGGACCCGCUGCGUCAAGCCAGUCCUUUAGGUCCACAUUCAGGAUGAUUGCAGUAAGUUUUGUUUUCCUUUAUAAUCAUCCUAUUAAUUUAUCGCAAAAUAGUUCUACUCAUUAAAAAAAAAAAUUAUUCUCCAUAUAUAGUAACAGGACAUUUACUACUCCUAGAAAAAAAAUUAUAUUUCUAUGUGCUUUUUUUGAAUUUGAGAUAAUUUACGAACCGGUGGUGUCACUUUCAUCAAGGUAUUGGCUUGGGUAAUAAAGUUCUUCACGGGUCAAUGACGACGUCAUAAGUUGACGACAAAUUGCCUAAGUCAAUGAAAGAAGAGACAAUGAAACCGAUUAUUAUUUUUAUAUAAGUAUUCAUAUUCAUUGAAGGAAUUUAACAGUUCUCAAUGGAACAAUAGAUGAUUGAGUGUUUUUGCUAUUGCUAUGAUCAUUCAAGGAUUUACAAAUGCCAAUAAAAAUAUAACCAAAAAGGAAGAAAUAUGUGGCUUCAAUUGUAUUUGUGAGGGACACUCAUUUCUGAUCUUUAACUUGAAUUGUUUUUUUUUUCCUCCAAAUUAUGAAUAUCUCAUGUGGAAAUUGGAAAUUUUUAUCACCUAUGAUUGGUUAAUAUGGAAAUUCUCUUUGAGCAAUAUAUAAUUCUCUUUUAAGAAGAAGAAGUUAGCGGCCUGUUAAUUAUGUGUGCUUUAUGGGUUACAAUUGGCACUAUUUUCAUUUCACUUUUAUUAGGGAUGAUGACAGAACUAAAUUUUUAAAAUUUUCUCCGGAAAAAAUAAAUGUUUACAAAGGCGUCAUGUGCAUGCAAUCCUUCAGAAUUUCGUAACUAAUAAUAAACUUGCAAGAGAUUGAGAUUGAACGAUGAUGAAAUACAGAGCAAAAGAAAGAAAACUCGUUUUCAAAAAAAAAAAUUAAUGUUUAUAUUACUUUUAUUUGCGAAAAUUUUCAAAACGUAAUAGUUAAUUCAUACAUACAGAUUAAUUUGUCAGAUGUGUAAUAUAAUUUUCGGGGAACGCGUUGCAUUAAGUCACUCCUUCAGGUCCACUCCGAAUCACUAGAUAUUUUACUCUCUUCUUAUUAUGUGGAUCCAAUCAAAACUUUCAACUUUUGGGAUUCAGCCAUCGGAUUUAAUGAAAAAGUUGUUCAAUGUCAAGAGCUUUGUUUAUAUGGUUUAGUUCUUAUAUUUUAAUUUAGGAGUUUAUUUAAUUUUUAUAUAUUGAAAAAUACUUCAAAAUACUUCUCUUAUUAAAUAUAUUAGGUUCCAGCCUUUACUAUUUUCGUUUUAAUGGUAAUACCUUACAAUAACAAUCUUGGAGAUAUUAAUGAAAAAAUUUAAUUCAUCAAAUUAGCCUAAAAAAAUAAAAAUUAAAGAAAUUUUUAUGUUAUUAUUUUACUUUUAGGAUUAAUUUGAUAAAUUAAUUUUUAUAUACAAUUAUUAGUAAGAUUAUUGUAAUGAUAUUAAAUAUUACUUUCAGUUAGUUGAUAUUAAUUUAUUUAAAAAUAGUUAUUUGUCAUAUUCUAGUUAAAGUACAAAAAAAACUAUUUCUUUCAUAACGAUAUUUAUUGAUUAAUUUGGUAAUUAAUAAUUAGUUAACUUGCUAUUAAAAUUUUUUGAUAAAUUAAUAAAUAUUAAGAAUAUUGUUGAUAGGGUAGCAUUAUAAAGGUAAAGAUAAGAAUAUAAUAUAUUUAAUAAUAAUAGUAUAUUGAAGUACUUUUUAAAAUAUAAAAAUUAAAUGAGUAUUUAAAUCAAAAUACAAAAAGUAAACAAGCAUUUACUUGAUAAAAAAUCAUAAAAGUUGAAUGUUUCAAAAUUUUGACACCCAAGACUUGUGUAUUAAAAGAGGUCAUGAGAAUUAAAACAUAGAUGAAACAGUGUCGUAACGUUAUCACAGAGACGUGCUAAGAUAUUUUUAUUUUUAAAUUUAAAUUUGAUACGCAUAAGAGAUAGCGAUGGUGAGAGUGGGACUGCCCACUUAGAAUUUAAAUUUAAUUGUACGGUCCCAUUCUCUCUCUCAUAUUUUUCGUAUUCUCUUUCAAGAAGAAUAAAUUAGCGGCCCAUUGAAUAGUGUUUGUGCGUGCUUUAUGGGUUAUAACAUUUUUGUCGAUCCUCAGCUCGACUCAAAAGUCAUGAAUUGCAAAGCCAAUGUAACAGAAGACAAUGGGGUAAUGACUAAUUAAGUAUUUAUGAUGAAACCUAAAUUUCUCUCCACGUGAAAGAGAAAUCAGAAAAUAGAGAGAAAUUAAAGCGAGAAAAGAUUCCUCUCCACGUGACAACAAACGUUGAAAUGUUUUUGCUAUUCCUCUCCACUCGUUUCUGAUCUUUUAACUUGAAUUAAAUUUUGUCGAUCUCGCUGCAAAAAUUAUCUUCCAAGAUGAAGAAAUCAGUGGCCCAUCGGUUAAUUGUGCGUGCUUUAUGGGUUAUACACAUUUUUGUCAAUAGUCAACCCAACUCAGAAAUUACAUGUUGCGAAGUCAAUGAAAGAGAAGUCAAAGUCAAUGAAAACAAAGACAGCAAGACAUUGACUAAUCAUAAUAUGGUGGGACACUUAAGUAUCAUUUGGGAUUAAAGUAGAAAUUUAAUAAAUUUCUUAUUUCAUAAUUCUUUAUAAAAAUAAUAUUUAAUAAAUUUUAUAAAAAUUAUUUAUUUCAUAAUUUUUUUUAUUUUACUACAAUUUUUAAAAACAAGUUGAGAUUUACUUUUCAAAAAUAACUUAAAAUAAGCCACCACAAUUUUUCAAAGUUUCUGUUAUAACAUUAAUAAUUUAACAAAAAAGAUAAUUAUAUCUUAUUUUUUCAUACACUUUAGUACAUAAGUUAUUAGUAUCAUAUUACCACCACAAUUUACUAUCGCAAGUAAUUUGAGUUCUCUCCAGUAUCAAAAUUUUGAUUUUAUUAAGUUCAUAUUUUUUAUAUUUUAAUAUUUUUUUCUUUUGUAAAAUUAAUGAGACUUGUACAUGAUUACACAAAUUUUUUUAAACAAUGAACAAGUUCAUGUGAAAGUUAACCAUAAGUCUUAAAAUCAAAUUCAUGAUUAUAGUUUUUAACGUUCAAUCUAUUUAUAUUUUUUCUAUAGUCACGGUAUUCAUUGCAACAAGUUGAUUAUCUGCUUUUAAGAGUCUUGUUACAAUUUCCUUUGCAUUGAUUCUCCGCUUUGGUGAUUCCACAGUAACGCUCUAUAGCGAAAUUGAAGACAAAUGACAUGAACUUAGCAAUUUUGCACCAACAACUUCCAUAAUUGAAUUGGGUAGCAUAUUAUUAACCCAACGCUUUAAUGUCAUUUUUCCAUGAAAAAUUUCAUCUGUGGGUUUCUUCCCAUUGAAUGUUUCCAUUAUCAUUAUCUCAAAGUUGUAAACAUCCCCAUUUGUGGAUGCCUAUCCUUCUCUUCCAUACUGUAUGGAUUUCAACAAUUACAUGGAAAGAUAAAAUAAUUAACAAUAGCAUGCUCAAAUGAAGAUCGUAAAAAUAAAUAACAUAUCAUAAAGUAUUAAAGAAAUAAAAAAAUUAAUGUAGAACAAACUCAGUGGUGGCAAGUGUUUGUGUUUGAGUUAAUGAUUAAUCUUCUCUGAGUAAGAGCUUUGCCAUGCCAAAAUCACUCAAAAUGAGCAACCAUAUUAUCGUCUAGCAAUACAUUACUCAGCUUUAAAUCACAGUGAAUUAUAGGUGUUGUAUGACCAAAGUGUAGAUAUUCCAAAACUAAUGCAAUAUCUAUCAUUAUGUUUAAUCUUUGAAAAAUAUCCAAAAUGUACUUGCUUGUAUACAAACACUUACCCAGACUUGCAUGACGCAUGUAUUUUAAUACCAACGCUUUAAAACCAUCAUUUGAACAACUGCUAAUGAUUUUGAUAAGGUUUUGAUGGCAAAUACUUUUUAUCAUAUCGUAUUCAACAUCAAGACUCUUAAAUGCUCCUCCAUAUGAAUCUUUUCUUCUCGCGUAUUGAAAGAAAAUUUAUAUUUUUGAGAUUUUAAAGUUUUUCUAAUGAUAUAAGAGUAGCCUCGGAGAAAUUAUUAUUGGAUAAAUCCAAAGAUUUCAAGCUUGUCAAAUCAUCAAUAGAAUCAAGAAUUGAGCCUUGAAAUAUAAUAUAUUCGGAAAAGAGGUAUAGUACAUCUUUUAGGUCUCUAAUUGUAGUUGGGAUAACACCAGAAAAAUUAUUCAUCGACAAAUUUAUUCUUCACAAAACCUUCAAAUUUCCAAUCUCUAAAGGAAGUGGACCAGUAAAAACAUUUAAAGACAAGGUCCAAUAUGUCUUCCACAAAGUUGAAGGAAUAGAAGUCAACUCAUUGAAACCCAAAUAAAGACUGUCCCCCCCUGAUGCAGAGCAAGAAAUUGAAGAAAUCUUAAUUAUAUUUAAAUGUAUAAUAUUUAGGAAUAUUUUAAUUAAUUUGUAUUCUAGUUUAAUUUGGUUUCCUAUUUAGAGUCUUAUUGUUUAGGUAUUGCUUAUUUGGGUAAUAUUCCUAAUUUAGGCAUAAGUCUUAUUAAAAUAGGUUUUUUAAUCAUAUUAGGAUAAGUCUUACUUAAUAUAAAUAAGUGUCUUUUGUAGCUUUUACAAGCAGAGAAUUUUGAGUUUAAUAAUAUUUCAAUUUUCAAAUCUCUUUGUGAGUAUUUGAACAAUUAAUCCUCGGUAUUCUGCGGAAUCAACGAGUCUUAACCCCUAAAUUCGCGGUAUUCUUUUGAAUCAACGUGAAUUUAGUUGUUUUUUUGUUCCGGUAUUCUUUAGAAUCAACAGAAUAUUUUGAACAUUAAACUUCCGCUACAUCAGUUUAGUAUCAAAGCCAAAACCUGGUCUCACCAAUCUAACUCCAUCUACCACCAAACCUUUCCUUUUUUCCUUUUUUGUUUUUUUUUUCCAUUUAGUUUUAAAAAAAAACCCAAACAACACCAAAAAAAGCAUAGGAAAAAAAAAGAAAAAAAUUAUAUCAUGAAAUCACAACAUCGACGUGAAGAUUUCAUCUUGAGAAAUGUUUUAGUUAAGAUGUUGAGGAUUUUGCGUUCAAUUUCUCAAGAUUUAGAGAAAAUUCGAGAUAGAAAAUCUUUACACAUAAAGCAUGCAUAUGGAUUUGAUGAAGUUGUUCACGAUGAUGUUUGUUAUGAAGAUAAUGAGGAAAAUUGUAACUUUGUUCCUUUCGACAAUAUUAUUCCUUCCGAGGAGAAUAUUAAUUGGCCAUUCAUGUCUACAACAAAUCCUCAACACAAAGACAAUAUUGAUUUGGAUCAAUCGCCGAAAUUUGAUGAGUAUCUUGAUAUUGUGGGACGAGAAGAGGUAAUUGUUUAUCCAUCUUUUGAUCUUGUGGAGGAGAGAGAGAUAGUUGUUGAUACAAUCUCUUAUUGUUCUCUUGAUUUGCUGAAAGAAGACAAAAAGAGUUGUGAUAUUUUUCAACAGUUAGUGGAUUAUGAGAAGAAAUCAUUUCUCCUUAACUAUGUUGAAGUUCGACACGAACAAUACGAGAAGACAUUAUUGGAGAAGUUGUUGAUAGAAGAAUUUAUUUUACGCCAUUGGAGUGAUUGGAUGGACGUUAUAACAAAAGUUGGAAAAUUUAAAGUUUGUCAUCUAUGUCAAAGCUCUGUUUUAAAAAUUAAUCCUUAUGCACAUGAAGAUGUUCUUGAAGACUACAACAUACAAAAUUCAAGGACGAAUUUUCUCCAACCUGGCGGGAAUGAUGCAGAGCAAGAAAUUGAAGAAAUCCUAAUUAUAUUUAAAUGUAUAAUAUUUAGGAAUAUUUUAAUUAAUUUGUAUUCUAGUUUAAUUUGGUUUCCUAUUUAGAGUCUUAUUGUUUAGGUAUUGUUUAUUUGGGUAAUAUUCCUAAUUUAGGCAUAAGUCUUAUUAAAAUAGGUUUUCUAAUCAUAUUAGGAUAAGUCUUACUUAAUAUAAAUAAGUGUCUUUUGUAGCUUUUACAAGCAGAGAAUUUUGAGUUUAAUAAUAUUUCAAUUUUCAAAUCUCUUUGUGAGUAUUUGAACAAUUAAUUCUUGGUAUUCUGCGGAAUCAACGAGUCUUAACCCCUAAAUUCGCGGUAUUCUUUUGAAUCAACAUGAAUUUAGUUGUUCUUUUGUUCCGGUAUUCUCUAGAAUCAACGGAAUAUUUUGAACAUUAAACUUCCGCUGCAUCACCCCCCCCCCCGGGGCACCAAAUAGAGGUUCCUUAGAGAAGUGAGAUUGCUGAAGCACGUAGGGAUGGAUCCUGAAAGUUUAUUGCCGUUUAAGUCCAGCUAAAAUAAGGCAGUCAAACGACAUCAAAUGUCUGGAAUUGAUCCUUCCAAUUGAUUAUCUUGAAAACUCAAUAAUCGAAUAUUUUUUAAUUUGCGGAGAGUAAUCAGAAUUGACUCAUUCGAUUUAUUGCCUUUUAAAUAAGUUGCUAUUAAGUUGGUCAAGCUGUUGAUCUCCUCAGGAACGCCGCCACUAAUAUUACAGUUGAACAACGAUAAGACUUCCAAAGAUUGAUAAAGAUUGCCUAUAGCUCUUAAAAGAUUGCCAUCUAGUGGAUUAUUGGAGAAGCUAAAAAACUCCAUAUGCUUGCAAGAUGAAAUGUGUGGUAUACUGCAUUACAGGAAGAAUGCAAGAGAUUCAUAUUUGUAAUGCUGGAUUAAACUGAAUAUAUGAUUAGAUAAGAUUGUAUUAGAGCAAAUUAGAUAGGAUUUGACUAAAUUAUUUAUAGUGGGUUUGGAUGAAUUCAUAGAUAAUUUAUAAAUAAAAUUAAAUAAUUGGAAAAUACUAAUAUAAAUUCAAUUAUUUAUCUCAAAACAUUUUAUUAAUAAUGGCAAAGUGUUAUAAAUAUACAUUUUUAUUCAUGAAAUUAAUAUUCACAAUAUUAAUUAAAAUUAUUAAAAAUAUACAAGUUUAAGUUUAAUUAUAGUUGGAAUAAAAUUUGUCAAAAUAAUCUAAGGAUUUUGAUCAAAAGAGUGGUGUCAUUGACCGCCUUAUGGAGAGUAACAUUGCACAUGUCGAACUCUAAUUAGGAAACAUGUGAAGUGGGUCGACUCACAACUCUCUGAAUAAUAGUUGAAUACAUGCAGUGUCCCUCUCCAUAAAAAUUAAAGAAAUUUUUAUGUUAUUAUUUUACUUUUAGGAUUAAUUUGAUAAAUUAAAUUUUUAUAUACAAUUAUUAGUAAGAUUAUUGUAAUGAUAUUAAAUAUUACUUUCAGUUAGUUGAUAUUAAUUUAUUUAAAAAUAGUUAUUUGUCAUAUUCUAGUUAAAGUACAAAAAAAAACUAUUUCUUUCAUACUGAUAUUUAUUGAUUAAUUUGGUAAUUAAUAAUUAGUUAACUUGCUAUUAAAUUUUUUUGAUAAAUUAAUUAAUAUUAAGAAUAUUGUUGAUAGGGUAGCAUUAUAAAGGUAAAGAUAAGAAUAUAAUAUAUUUAAUAAUAAUAGUAUAUUGAAGUACUUUUUAAAAUAUAAAAAUUAAAUGAGUAUUUAAAUCAAAAUACAAAAAGUAAACAAGCAUUUACUUGAUAAAAAAUCAUAAAAAUUGAAUGUUUCAAAAUUUUGACACCCAAGACUUAUCUAUUAAAAGUGGUCAUGAGAAUUAAAACUUAAAUGAAACAGUGUCGUAACGUUAUCACAUAGACGUGCUGAGAUUUUCUUAUUUUCAAAUUUAAAUUUGACACGCAUAAGAGAUAGCGAUGGUGGAAGUGGGACUGCCCACUUGAAAUUUAAAUUUAAUUACACGGUCCCAUUCUCUCUCUCAUAUUCUUCGUAUUCUCUUUCAAGAAGAAUAAAUUAGCGGCCCAUUGAAUAGUGUUUAUGCGUGCUUUAUGGGUUAUAACAUUUUUGUCGAUCCUUAGCUCGACUCAAAAGUCAUGAAUUGCAAAGCCAAUGGAACAGAAGACAAUCGGGUAAUGACUAAUUAAGUAUUUAUGAUGGAGUGACACUCGGAAGUGCUUCUAAGUAUUUAUGAUGAAACCUAAAUUUCUCUCCACGUGAAAGAGAAAAAUCAGAAAAUAGAGGAGAGAAAUUAAAGCGAGAAAAGAUUCCUCUCCACGUAACAACAAACGUUGAAAUGUUUUUGCUCUUCGUUUGAUGCUUCGAGGAUUCACAGGUGCCGAUAAGUCCAACAAAAUUCCGCGGCUUGAAUUGUAUUUGUUAGGGGCACUCGUUUCUGAUCUUUUAACUUGAAUUAAAUUUUGUCGAUCUCGCUGCAAAAAUUAUCUUCCAAGAUGAAGAAAUCAAUGAAAGAGAAGUCAAAGUCAAUGAAAGCAAAGACGAUAAGACAUUGAUUAAUCAUAGUCCCAUUGGGAUUAUAGUAGAAAUUUGAUAAAUUUUGUAAAAAUUAUUUAUUUCAUAAUUUUUUCUAUUUUAUUACAGUUUUUUAAAAUAAGAUAAGGUUUAUUUUUCAUAAGCAGUUUAAAAUAAACCAAUCACAGUUUUUGAAAGUUCUUAUUAUAACAUUAAUAAUUUUACAAAAAAGAUAAUUAUGUCUUAUUUACCAUAUACUCUAAUAUAUAAGUCAUUAAAUAUCAUAUUAGCGUUACAAUUUACCGCCGCCACUAAUGUGUGUUCUCUCCAAUAUCAAAGUUUUGAUUUAGCAAGUUCAUAUUUUUUAUAUUUUAAUUUUGUUUUCUAUUAUAAAAUUAAUGAGACUUGUAUAUGAUUACUUAAAUUUUUUUUUUGAAUUAUGAACAAGUUCAUGUGAAAGUUAACCAUGACUCUUAAAAUCAAUUUCAUAACCAUGGCUUUUAACAUUCAAUCGAUUUAUAUUUUUUCUAGUCAUGGUGUUCAUGACAACAAGUUGAUUCUCUGCUUUUAAAAGUCUCGUUACAAUUUUCUUUGUAUUGAUUCUCUGUUUUGGUGAUUCCACAGUACACUCCAUAGCUAAAUUGAAGACAAAUGACAUGCAUUGCUCUUUGGUCAUAAAAUGUUUGUAUUCCCAAUGCAGCAAAUUUGCACCAACAACUUCCAUAACUGAAUUGGGUAGCAAAUCAUUAGCCUAAUGCUUUAAUGUCAUUUCUCCAUAAAAUAUUUCAUUUGUAGGUUUCUUCCCACUUAAUGUUUCCAUUAUCAUAAUCCCAAAGCUGUAAACAUCCCUCAUUUGUGGAUGCUUGUCCUUCUCUUCCAUAUUCUAUGGAUUUCAACAAUUAGAUAGUAAGAUAAAAUAAUUUACAAUAAUAUGCUCAAAUGAAGAUCAUAAGAAAUAAAUAACGUAUCAGAAAGUAUUAAAGAAAUAAAAAAAAAAAACAUUUAAUGUGGAACAGACCUGGUGCCAUAUAGUCUAUGGUGGUUAUUAACAACAUAAAAAAUAAAGUUUAGUCAUAAAAAAUCAUUAAUCACCGUUUGCCUCUCCUAUAAACUGGAGUUAUGUUUCUUUUGUGAGAGGAAAAUUGAACCCUCAAGAACACAGACAAUCCAAACCAAACCCCGUCCCAGCUAUUGCUAAUUUAACCAAAGGAUUUGUUUGACCUUGCAAUUUAAGCAUUUGGCUUUGCCUCUCCUAGUUCUCUUGCUGCUAACAGAAGCAUUUUCAUCUGCAAAAAUAGCUGAGGCUUGUUAAUAACUUGAGCUUAAUAAUAAAUUACAGCAAACUUAAUUAAAUUAAAUUGUCCUUCAUAAUAGGUGCUACAUUUUUCUGCUAAGAAUGGGUGCUGAAUUUUUUUUUUUUUAAGGGUGCAAUAGCCCCCAGCCAAUUGCGAAAUACUUGCACCUUGAUAUAUUCUUGUCAUUACUUUUUACUGUCAACAUUCCUAAUUGAUCUUAACAUUUUACGAAAAAUAUAUGUAUAUACCUGAAUCUUUCUUCGCUGCCAGCAGGAUAAGAUUAUGAAAGUUUAAGUUAAUAAAAAAUUAAACCAUUUGAUCAUUAUUCUUGAAUACCCAUAUUUUCUUAUUAAAAUCGAAUAUUCUUGCCCAAAACAUGCACUUCAAUAAGCAAAAUGGAGAUUUUGCUUCAUUUGAUUACGUUCAAAGAGUCAGACUCAAUGACUAAGGGCGGGCUACAAACCUGAAAUCUAUGUCAUUUCAAUACCUUGUAAAAUUGCUAAUGCUUCUGCAGAUACUUGCUGCAGCCACGUGCAAUCACUUCACAUUUGUUGCUCCUGAUUAAUGCUCUCAAACCAGCCCAUGAUCCUUCUGCAUCCAUGUGUGAUGAGGAAAGAUUUUGCAGGAUGUGAUUAAAAUAAAGUUCUCAAUUCUGCAGGGGUCUAACCAAUAAUAAUAAACUUCAGGAAGGAAAACGAUUACCAUAAUUUCCUUGCAUACCACAUACAAUUGAUCAACAUGUAGUAGAUAUUUCCGCUUUAUCUUUGCAUCUCAAGCAAUUGUCCUCGAUACAACCCCUCUUAAAGCACAGAAAAAAUGAGCAAAACCAAGGUGAUUAUUGAAAAAUUUCUUCGGAAAAAGAGAAAAGAAAAAAAGGAAAGAGAGAUUACCAGCUAGAUUUUUAGAUGCCUGAAUGUCCUAGAGCAUGCUGAGUUCCAUAUGACAAAAACUACACUGUCUGAGUAGAUAUAAAUUUAUGAUUCCGACUAUAUUUGACAUCAGGGAAGCAGCAAUGAUAUCAGAAAGUUCAUCAGAGCAAGAUGAUCCCAAAAAUUGGUUAUCUUCCAACACCACCAUUCAACAAUAAAUAAUUUGCAUUGCCUGCUCUUCUUUCACAAGGGACAAAUCCAUCGAACAGUGACACAGGCGUCAUCAUCUCAUCAGAUAACAACCCCAACUUCCUCCACAUUUCAUCAGGUAUCAACCCCAAAUUACACAUUUCAACUAACUGAUUUACUGCCGAAGAAGAUGAAUGAAACUUGAAUAUAAAUUUAGUUAGCCUGAUGGAUGUAUGGUAGUCCAGUUCAAUCCUUGCAUCAAUGACAUCUUGCAAUAGCCGUUUAACCAUCUUAAUAUUCCGUUCCUUACAGAAACUAAGGAGCAUUACUCUAUAUGUGUAGGCAUUGGGAGGUACAGCAAUGUGCUUCAUCUGACUAUACAAGAUAUAUGCUUCUUCAGUCCUUCCACCCUCGAGAAGUCCACGAAUAGCAACUGUGUAUGAUACAACAUCUAGUGGGUAUUUCUCUACGAUGGCUCUCCUAAACAAUUGGAUGGCCUUGUGGCAUCUGCCAGCUUCUAUAAGUCUAUCCACAAUUGCAGUAUGGACAUGAGCAUUAACAGCCGGAUUAUUCAUGACUAUCCCCUGGUACACAUUAAUUGCUUCAUCAAUCUUUCUUGCUCCACAUAGUCCACAAAGUAAUCCAACAAAGCUGUAAUUAUCUGGCGUGAAACCUUUAUCCAGCAUAGUAUUAUAUAACUUGACGGCCUGAUUCGGGAAACCAGCCUUACAAAAGUAACUUAAAAGUGCAUUAUAGACUACUAGAUCUGCUUCCACCUCAAGUCCACAAACUAACUUGGGUAAAAGAGAGAAUCUUCCAGACAAACAUACAGUGGACAGUAAAGAACAAAAUGUAUAAGAAUCGGGAACUAACUUCAGUUCUAACAAACCAUCAUAAACAUCAAGUGCAUCAUCAUAGCUUCCCAUCUUAGAUAAGCAAUCUAUUAAAACAUUAUGAAACACCAAGUCAGGAGCAUGCCCUUCAGAUUCCAACAUAUCUAAAAAACUAAAUGCAAUGCUGAACAUUUUGGCUUCCAUGAAUCCCUUAAUUAAAGAUGUAUAUGUUACAACAUUCGGAGAACAACCAUUCUGAACCAUCUUUUCCCAUAAAUAACCUGCCAUAUCAAGUCUUCUCAACCGGCGAAACCCAUCAAUGAGUACCGUCCAAGCAUUCACAGACAACGAAGUUCCCAAAGUAAUCAUUAGACCUAACAGUUGGUACGCUUCAGCGAUCCUACCCAUUUUGCAGAAACAAUUUAAAAGUAUCUCAAACAUCCUGACAUUAGGAUAAAAGCCCUUCCUAACCAUCAUCCCAAUGACAUCCUUAACAUUACUAACAUCAUUUAACUUGCAUAAAUUACACAAUGCAAUGUUAAAACUCAAGAAAUUCGGCAACUGGGUCUCUUUCAGAACCUUAAUACCAAGGUCAACACGUCCAAUCUUGAAUAAUACAUCCAUAACAAUAUUACGCGCAAAUGUGUUAGGCGUAAAACCAAACCUAACCAUUUCAUCAAAAGCCUCCAAAACCAUCCCAUACAUUUCCCCACGCCAAUAAAUCCUCAAAAAAAGCAAGAAAGUUUGUGCCUUUAUAACACACCCGACACGCGCCAAUUCACCCACAAUUCCUCUCACAGUCUCAAACCUUCCAGUCAAACGAGUAACCACACUAAUCAUAUGAUCAAAUGAUUGAACAUCAUGAAAGUAAUCACGUUGCUUUGCACACCAAAUGAAAAAACUCAAAGCAAUCAAAUCAGAAGGGCAGUUCAAUAAAGUUGAGUGCACAAUAUGAGGAGCAAGAAUGAUAGGAAAAUCCUGAUGUGUUGUUGCACAUACCUUAGGUGAUGAAAUUUGGUGAAUUGACUUAAAGGAUAUUAUCGUUUUCAAGAUUUGGCUCCUUUGUGCUGUGUAAAACAAGCUCCGUUUGCAUCUCCAUAGCAUAUUGAGCUUUGAUAAUGAAGAGGAGAACUAGCAGAAAACUUUUCAACAAUACAAGAAAGUGAAGUGGGUUUUAAUCAAAGAUGUUGAAAUUUUUUUUUUUUUUUCGUUUUGUUUCCCGGAAAAUAGAUUUUUCUUGGGGCUAAUUGAAAUACGAGUCGGUUUCAUGCUACUACUGCGAAGAUAUUGAGAGGGAAAGGGCAGAACGGUUCAGGGGUUUAUUGAACUCUGCAAAACCCUGAAUAUUUAUAUGCUGCAAUGACAUCAAGCCCUCAUAUUUUUGCGUAAAUCACAACUAAGUCAAUACAUCUUAGUUUUCUUCAUAUAGAUCCUUGUCAAAUAGUAUUAUGCUCCUCAAAAUCUUUUAAUAAAAUAAAUGGUUUAACUGUCGUUAGGCCCCAAAUAAGUUCUUGCUUUCUUGAAUAAUCUGACUUACGAGUAUAACGGUCAAAUAAUUGAUCAUCAUUAACUUUUUAGGAAUAUAAUGUUAGGGUGCUCCUAAAUUAUAGUUACGGUAACCUACGGCUCCUUUAAAAUAAUAUAAAAGUUGUCAUAGUGGUGGGACCCAUAUAUUUUUAAAGAAGAUGUCAGUUACCGCAUAUGUCACUUACCAAAUCCAUAACGUUAUAGAAGAUAACAGUCAAAUUUUUGCGCUUCCAAUUUUGAUUAGUUUCUUGUAAAAGCGAAUUUAUAUUGGCAUAUUUGAAUACGUAAUUUUAUAUAAUAAACCAAAAAAAAAAAAAGAGGAAGAAGAAGUUUUAUGUUUAAUAAGUGAAUUAAGAACACAAUAUGAUUGUCCUCUCUUGCAAUAUUGAUAAUGUCACUUAAAUAUCUUAAUUUGCUAUUUAUUCUGAUUUCUUUUGCCUUAAAGUUCUAUAAAGGACCUUCGUUAUCAUUUAAUAAUGUUGACAAAAUUUUAAAUCAAAUAGUUAUUAAUGGUAUUAACAAAAAUCAAUAAUAUUUAGAAUAGAAGUGGCUUUAAAUACAAGCGAAAAAUGCAGUUGCCUUAGCCCCAAAUUGUAGGAAUGGCUCAUUUUUUGAAUAUUUUAUUAAUAAUUCUCUAGUUACUAGAGAUUUUAAAAAAAUAUGCAUGAUGGUUAAAUCUAAUACACAUUAGUAAAAUCUAAUAGACAUCUUUCCAAUCAACAAUCAUCCUAUAAUUAAGAAUUCUUUUAAUAAAAAAAAUUCAUAUUUAGUAAUCUUAUUGUAAAGAGAUACAAUUAAUAAUAUUGUCUAACCACUUAUUCGUUCAUUUUUUUUCCAAGAUAAAUAAAUAAAAUUUUUGCCUUUUCAAUUUCUUAAAAAAACUUAAUUAUUUAACAAUAUAAUGAUUGAUUUCGGGCAUUCAUUUUAAUUUCUAUUAAGAUCCUCAUAAUCUAAAAAAUCAUAGAUGGAAAAAUUUCUUACUCUCUUCUUUAUAAAGAAAAUUAUUUCAUGCAUUAUUUCAUUCAAAAAAGUAAAAAAAUUAAUUUCUUGAAAGGGAAAAAGCUCUUUUGAUCCCUAAGGUUUAAUGUAAUAGCACGUUUCAUCCUUACUUUUCAAAUAAUAACCUAAAAUAUCCUUUCGUUAAUUCACCGUUAGUGUAAAGCCGUUAACUAGUAAUUCAUUGAGGGCAAAAUAUGAUUUUCAUUAAAGUGAUACAAACUAUAGUAAAAUAAUUUGUUUACACAAUUAUAUAACAUUACAAAGUAUGCAAAAUUCAUUAAUUUUUUCUUAAAUGAAAUCAACGAUGAUAUAAUUUGAUAUAUCCAUUGAAUAAUUGCCAUAAGGAACAAACUGUAAUUAACACAAUAUCUUUAAAUCAUUGGAAGAAAAACUCAAAAAUACCACCAAUUUUUAUGUGCUUGUAUGUGCUGAAUAUUUUCUUUAUCUUCAACUCAAUUCAAGUUAUUUUACAGUGCAAUUAGAGAGUAUACUUAUAUGAAUAAGAAAAUUGUGAUAUUUUUUGUACUUAGAUCUAGGGUUUAUAGGGCUUUCAUGCCGCUAAAAUAGAAAGAAGUAAAAAAAAUUACUUAAAAUGGAAGUUUUUCAUCAUUUUCGGUAUUUCCUAUUUAGUGAGAUUAGAUAAAAUCAUUUUUAGUUAUAUGUCAACUUUUAUUUAUUUUUCUAAUUUUCUCUUUGAUGGAAAAUCAUUUUUUACCCUAAAUGAAUUACUAACAAACGACAAUCAACUAAUGGUGAGUUAACGAAAGAAUGUUUCGGUAUAUUGUUUAAAAAGUAAGGAUGAAAUAGGUUAUUACAUGAAACCCUAAGGAUGGGAAGAACUUUUUCCCUUCUUGAAAUACAAAGCCCAUAUAUAUUAUUUGAUCAUCAAUUUAUCAUCUCAACUUUUUACUUACUAUAAUUCUAAAUAUUCUAUUUAAAAAUAGUAUUGUUCUCAUUUAUUUAUUUGUUUAUUUUUUUAAAAGUCCUAAAGGAAGUAAAUUUUAGGUUUUGUUUUUCGAAAUUUUUGUUGAUCUUCUUAAUUAUUUGUUGAAUUCAAAAACUAAAGAUGAAAUGAAUUUUGAGCUCUUUUGUUUUUAUUUUUUUAGUAUUAAAGUUGCUGAAUAAAAAGAGGUCUCGUAAAAUAAAUUUAUUUAAGGUCCCAGAUACUCUAAAGCCGGCCCUUAUUAGGGAUGUCAAUUCCUAAAAUCUAACCUUGAAUCCUAAUGUUGUGUGUCAUUCUUUUAUUAAUAGUAUAUUUCAUAAUUAUUAAAAUUAUUUAAUUACCAUCCAAUUAAUGAAUACUAUAUUAUAUCUAACUCAAAUUGAAAUUUAAAUAUUGCAGUGUCGAGCACUGCUCAACAAAAAUUACACUUCUCAACAAAACAAAAAACAAAAAUUACAUGGGAUCUUAGCGAGAGUAACCCAAGUAUGAUUGUGGGCUUGGAGGAUGGGUCUUGCCACAAAUUGGGUUGCCAUAGGCUGCUCAGUCCAUGGUCGUUAAAGCACUUCUCACGGUGGGCCCCAGGGGGGUGUUGUGGAAGGGUUCUUGCAAAAGUUGUUAGGUGUUUUAAGUUCAAUAAUUUGGUUCGUACUACUUAAAACGUUCUCUUGAAUUACAAGUAAACUCCAUUUAUGAUUAAUUUUGUUAAAAAAAAUUUCAAAAAGUUGUUAAUUUCUUAAGAUGAAAAAAUCAUGGACAUGAAUAUAUUUAGUAUAAUUUUAAAAAAAAAUAAUUAUCAUAUAAAUUCAUGUUCUUAUUCUUUUAUUACAAAAAAAUAAUAAUAAGGGGUGAGUAAAGCCAUUCAUAUUCUUGAUUUAGUAAUUAGAACUCCAUAUUAGAUCUAAAAUCUGUUAGGAUUCUAGAUACAUUAACACUUGUAAUAUAAUCUGACGUAAGUUUAUAAUCUAAUUGAAUAUGUAAGCAUGUGCCAAUCUGAAUCUCAAAUUUGUUACCGAUUGAUUCCCGAAGAAAAAAAAAUUAAAAAUAAACAAAGGACAUCUAUCUGCCCAAAGCUCACGUGUCAUGCACCCAUGUUCAAAACCACUGGAAUUCUGUACAAGGGUAUAUCUGCAUACUUUCUUAUACAAUAAGCUCUUUUAAUCAUUUGGAUACAAUUGGCAAGAACUUAUGCAAUUGGGGGGGGGGGGGGGGGGGGGUUUGAACUGCGUGCAUUUUUAAAUAUAGUAAGAAUCUAAGAAAAAUAAGUGUAUGAUGUAUAAAAACUUUAGGACAUUUUGUAGUUUAGAUCUUCAUCUAUUUUUGAAAUGUUUGUUAAAUCAUAAUUAAUAGAGGACUGAUUUGAUGCAUGUUGCCAUGUACUUUGUGUGAUUUUUUAUUGGUGGGGUAAUACAAUUCCACUAAUAACAUCAUAACACGCGUCUUAUCGUGCAUCAUAAAGUAUGUAAUUGUACGCAUUUGAUCAUAAUUCUUAAUAAAUAAUACAUAUUUUGAUUCAAGUUUAUUACACCAUUAAUGAUAGUACUAUUUCGUCCAAGGGAUUGAUAAGACCUUAAUCAAAACAUUUCACAAUUGUUUCAUACAAAAAGAAAACUCAUAAUAGUACAUAUCUAUCAAGGUGUCAAAAUGAUAUGUUUACUCUACAGAAGUAUUUUUCGGACCUCAAAUAGCAUUUUCCUUACUAGACGCUACCUUGCUACCACUAUCCAUUUUAUACACAUGCACACACACAUAUAUAUAAUUAUUAUUAAAUAAGAAAUUUUUUUAAAUUAUCAAAGUAAAGAAUAAAUUAAAAAAAUAUAAAAUACACAAUUUAAUAUAAUAUAUAUAUAUAUAUUAUAUCUUUUAACCUACCCCUUAUUUUAAUAACGGAAAGGAUUCUCUCCCUCUCUUUGUAAACAAAAUUGAAGGGGAAAGAUCGGAGUUUACACGCAAGACUUUUCCCAAAAAUAAAAAAUCAAUAUUCCAAGUCAAGCCUGCCAGCACAUUCACACUCACACUCACACAGUCACACACUCAAUUCAACCUCAACUGAGUCAAUAUAUAUCACUUCACAGUCGUGAGGAUUGCAUAAACGGACUUUGUGAAGAAGAAAUCAAGAAACAAGAAAAUGGCAGCAGCCACAGAAUCAAAGACUGUUCAUUCAGCAGCAGUCACCUAUGUUUCCAUGAUUUCACUCCUCACUCUCUGCCCUCCUUUUGUCAUUUUGCUGUAAGAUUCGUACACUUCAUCGUGCGAUAAGAAUCUGUUUCUUGAUUACUUUCUGAAUUACUUAUCAUGAUAUUAUCUUGUUAUUAUUAUUAUUUUUAAUUUUUUGUGGAAGUUAAAAAGAUUGCCUUGUGAUUAAAUGUUCAUAGAUAUAAGCAACCAUUGGUCCAUCGAUCGUGAUGUCGAUGUGUUUGUAGUAAUCAGUAUAAAUCUUAGAGCUAUUAAAAUAAUUAGGCAAUAAAACGAUGUGUUCUAAUUUUAAUAAGGAAAGUCUAAUAUAAAUUAAAUCCAAGCCUUAGAAAGACUUAAAUGGCAUGUGUCAUGAUCUUAUACAAAAUUUAGAAAAGAUUAGAUUAGGAGAAGAUCCCUAUAUUUCUCUUCUCAAAUAUUAAAAAAAAAAGAUUCAAAGUUAUUAUCAACAUUUAUUUCAAUGUUCGCAAUUGAAAUGCUCAAACACUAUUAAUUUUUUAGCAAAUAAAUAUUUUCUAAUCUUUAUAUCAACCUUCCUCUCAUUCUAGGAAUGAGCAUUAGUGGUCAAGGUGAAAUACUACGAGUAAUGAAUAAAAAAUUGACAUGAAUAUAAAGUCUAUGAUUAUGCUUACCCUGGAGUCUGUUUUGGUCAAGAUAUAACUCCUUAAGCUUGGUCAAGUUGCCAAUUGCUUUUGAUAUGGCUCCCAAGAAAUCAUUGAUUGACGAAGAUAAUUUUUGUAGAGGAAGGUUGUAGCAAAUAUUUGUUGGGAGGUCAACAAAUAACCUACUAUAUUCAAAAUAAAUGUUAGCUAGUAAAGAAGACUUGCUUAAGAUGAAGGAAGGGAAAGAAUCAGGGAGCUGGUUAUAGCUAAGAUAAAGUUUUUAGAAGUGAUAAUAGAUUCCCAAGUUGAGAAGGAAUAAUGCUUAUUAAGAAAUUAUUUGUUAGCGCUGGCAUCUUCAAUUAUAUAAAGAUAAGUAGCGAUUCCAUGCCAAAUAUUUUAUAUAGAUGUCACACAUGCAUAUUAUUAGUGAAGACUGAUGACUACCUGCUAAGUUAUUACAUCACAAAUCCAAGUUCAAUAGGGUAGAAAAAUUGAAGAUUGAUAAAGGAAUGAUUCCAGUUAAGAAAUUAUUUUGUAGCCAUAACAUCUUCAAUGUUAGAUUGAAAUUAUCCUGCCGCAACAUUCCCCAGCUCCUCUGGAAUUUCUCCUCAAAUGUUAUGAGUAACAUAUGCGUAGACAUUAUUAACUUAUUACCCAGCUCUCAAGAAUAAAAGAAAUGAAACAAAAGUAAUUAGUGCCUGAAGUGAAUAAAAAAUAGUGCUUUAGUUAUGUACAUAAAUAUUGCCAAUGUUUGUAGUGAAAUAUUUGACUAAUAUCUGUUAUUUUUUUGUAAAACGACGGCCAGUAACCAAGUGGUAGUCUAUAGCUUCUGUCAGUAANNNNNNNNNNNNNNNNNNNNNNNNNNNNNNNNNNNNNNNNNNNNNNNNNNNNNNNNNNNNNNNNNNNNNNNNNNNNNNNNNNNNNNNNNNNNNNNNNNNNNNNNNNNNNNNNNNNNNNNNNNNNNNNNNNNNNNNNNNNNNNNNNNNNNNNNNNNNNNNNNNNNNNNNNNNNNNNNNNNNNNNNNNNNNNNNNNNNNNNNNNNNNNNNNNNNNNNNNNNNNNNNNNNNNNNNNNNNNNNNNNNNNNNNNNNNNNNNNNNNNNNNNNNNNNNNNNNNNNNNNNNNNNNNNNNNNNNNNNNNNNNNNNNNNNNNNNNNNNNNNNNNNNNNNNNNNNNNNNNNNNNNNNNNNNNNNNNNNNNNNNNNNNNNNNNNNNNNNNNNNNNNNNNNNNNNNNNNNNAGAUUGUGUGUGGAAAAAGCUAAAAGAUCAAAAGUGUGCCGUGCUGGAUUAUAGGAGGAAUGCAAGAUUCACAUUUGGUAAGCUGGAUUAAACAGAAUAUAUGCUCAUUAAAUAAGAUUGUAUUAAACUGAAUUUGAUAGGAUUGAACAAAAUUAUUUAUUGAGGAUUAGAUUGGACUAAUUGAUGAUUUAUAAAUAAAAUUAGAUAGUUGAAACUACUAAUAUAAAUUUAAAUAUUUAUCUCAAAACAUUCUAUUAGUAAUUGUAAAAUAGUAUAAAUAUACAAAUUUAUAUCAUGAAAUGAACAUUCGUAAUUAAACUUAUUUAAAAUAUAUGAGUUUAAGUUUAAUUAUAAUUGGACUAAACUUUGUCAAAUAAUCUAAGGAUUUUGAUAGAGUAAGAAGUGAGAGCCACAACUCUCCCAAUAAGAGUUGAACUCAUGCCAUACCCUCUCCAUAAGAAAAGAUAUGGCCCAAAAUUAAAAUUUUCUAAAAAUUAAGACAAAAUAACUUAUUUAAUAAUUAAAAACUCUACUUAAGAUGCUGCCAAAUAAUAUGAAAGUUCCGUUCCGUUAUUUUUAACAGAGCUUUUAAAUUAAGAAAUAAAUGAUAUUUUAUAUCACUUUAUUAAAGAAAAGAAUGAACCGCAAGAUUGUAAGCCCCGUUCAGUUGCUUUAUGAAAGCACGUGAAUAACUGUGUAAUCGGCCAAAUACCAUGAGAAAUUCAGAGCUCCACACGUGUCUCAGCAGCUCGCACGAGUGCGAGAAGAAUUUCCGGGCCGCGGAUCUCUUGUUACCAAGGAUGCUUCUCAGCAUAACGAGGCCCGGGGACUUUCCUGGGCUUAAAUAUUUUUCUCAGCCCAUCCGCGUCAAUUUGCGGUGUUUGCCUGGGCGCAUAAAAUACUUUUUUUUGUUACGCUUAAGAAUUUUCAGUUUUUGCGAUGUGGGACCAAAAAAAAAAAAAUUAAAAUCAUGUGAUUCAUGUCAAACAUGAUUAGAAAACUUUACCUUUACUCAUUUUUAUCAAUCAUUUAUCAUUAGGAGCAAGAGGGGGGAAAAAAAUCGUUACCGUCGGUUGUCCUUGUGAAUGGUGUGUGUUCGUUUUUAUUAUAAUACACAUAAAAAAUUAUUUCUUUUAUAGAAACCAUAAGAAUGAACAAAAGUAAAGUUAUAUAAUCAUGUUUGAUUGCUAACUAGAAAAUAUAUUUAUAUUUUAUUAAUUUUAUUUCUUUAAUUUUUUUUAUCUCAAUGUAAAUAGUAAUAAUAAUAAUUUUUUAAAAUUUAAUGAUUUUAUUUCUUAAUCAAUUAAGGUAACUUUAGACACACAGAUUUUACACUCAGUCCCUUAGGUACUAAUACUUCUUAUUAAUCCCCGAAGUUACUUUUAUUUACUUAUUUGAACCAUAUAUGAAAUUUAAAGAAUGUCAAUCUCAUGAUAUUAAUUGUAUUACUUGUCUAAUUUCAACACAUUUUCAAACUAAUUAAUCCCACUACAAGAAAAAGUUAUUUAUGUGACUGUUAUUUUGCAGUUACAUAUGACAUUCAUGACAGCUUUGUAACGACAAAUGCUUUUUAACUGUAUUUUUGGCGUGCAGUAACAAAAGGUCGUAACGGUCACCAAAAUGAAUAACCACCUAAAUGCGGUCACAUAAAGUAAUGGGUUGGAUGCAAGUUUUGUGACAGGUGGAAGCUGUCACAAAUUUGUAAUGCUUAAUUUUUUUAUAAUUUUGUGAUAUUUGACUAUUUGUCAAUAUUUUAUCUCAUUUUCCUGAUAUUUGUCAAUUACAACACAAAUUCAACGUUGUUCAUUACAACAUUAACACACUAAAAUUAAUUAUCAUGAUACCAUCCAUAAAGUUCAAAUUAUAUACUGAAAAUGAGAGAUUAACAUCAAGCCGCAAGUCUCCAAGUCAAAAAUUAAAAGUAUACGCAAAUACAAAUACAAGCCUACGAUACAAAGUCUUACAAAAAUAAGUAAUGAAUCCAGGAGUCUCCAAUGCAUCUUAUCAAACGAUAGCCUACAAUAGAAGCAACAAUAUAUUAAAAAUGUGCAAGACAAACACACUUAAAUAUCAUAAUUAUUUAACUAAGCACUUCUUGUUAGCAAUAAUUAGAAGCGCUCUUGGUACAACUGUUAAUGUCUCUAUACUUUGUUGAAACUCUUAGUUAAUUUGCAAAUCUAAUAUUCAUUUUCCAAAAAUAAUAUCAACACUGAACAUAUGAAGAGUAAUGAAUCAUAAUUUUACAAGUAAAAGCGUUUAUCUAUAAUUUGACGUCAUAAUUUGCAGGAUAACUGCAUGACGGUGUUGAUGCGCAUUGGAAGCAUCGACUAUCUACUAAAAAAACAAACAUUUUGUUUUUCCUAAGAAACACAGAAGGAAAUGUAGUCUAUAGAUAGAUGAUGAAUAUGCAGCCAAUAUAUUUUACUAAAUUGUAAGAUGUAGGAAAUGUAGGGAAGGGCAUUAAGUUGCAAAGUUCAGUUCCAAGUUGGCAAUAAAAAUUGCUAUUAUGCUGCAACUUUUCUCAAUAUACUCCCCACUUUUCACCCUAAAUUAUACAUUUAUUCUAAAAUAAUUUUUAAAAUAUUUAAAAUAAAUAAGUCAACAAUGGUCAAAGGGUUUAGUAAUUGCGUACAAGUAUUAGUGUUUUAUACCCAUACCUAAUGCACCCAAUGAAUAGGUAUAAAAAUUUAUAUCCCGAUUUAAUUUUUUAUAAAAUAUGGAUAAAAUUAGACCUGACGCCUAAUUUUAACGUAACAGGCCCUUGUGCCUGUAGGGAUUUUUUGCCAUCCACAUAUGGGACUAGAACAAAGCCAACAUGCCUAUCUAAUGAGACUGGACCAUAAUUUUAUUUAAUAGAUCUUAGGCCUGGAUCAGUCUAGUUGCUUCCUUUUUGAUACCUUUGGCUGCUAUUUGCGUAGCAUUUACUUCUCAUAUUAGAGCAGGAAUUAUGAGAUUAAGAGUAAAAAUAGGUUGUUUACUUACAUUAAAAUAAGAGUAUGAAAUAGAAAUCAAAAUUCCAUUUAUGUGUUUAUUUGUUUUAGAUUGGGAGUCAGUUGUUUUAAAUUAUAAUUUUACCCUUAUUUAAAAAAUUAUAGAUUUUAGUUACAAGUGAAUAAAAAAAUAUAUUUGUAAAAUAAAAUAUUUAUUUUAUUAUUAAUUUUAAUUAUAUAAAUUAAUAAUAAUUAUCAAUAUUCUUAAUUAUAUAAACCGUAAUUUUUAUUUAAUUUUUAUUUAAUUAAUUAAACUAAAAUUAUUGAUAAGGGCAAUACAAAUGAAACAUCAUCAUUAAUAAUAUACUGCAAAGUUAAUAUUUUCUUAGAAUAAACUAUUUAUUAUUAUUAUCAUUAUUAUUAAUUAAUAUUAAAGAAAUAUAAUACUAUUAAAAUUAAAUAAAUAUAAUAAUAUUAUAUUUAAUAAGCCUAAUAUUAUUAUUUUUAAUAAAUGUAUUAUUAUUAAAUAAUAUAAUAAUAUUAUUUAAAUAGAUAUGAUAUUUUUACUUUUAAAUAAAUGUAACAUUAUUUUAUUUUAAUAAAUAUAAUUAUAUUAUAUUUAAUAAGAAAAGGGUGAAACAAGAAGAAGACCUCCCCAGGGUAGUGGAAUCCUCUUAAAUUUCUAGCCUUAACGACACCGUAUCAUCUCCUUGGUCACCACGGACAAAAUUUCUAUUGUGAGCGACGCCGUUUUGUUCUCCAUGCUCCCUACCCAAAAAUCCACAAGUGGUGACUUCAUUCAACUUUUCCCAGCCCACUGACAGUGACGAGCGUCACACCCACACCGUAUUAGGAAAUAAUAAUAAUUAUAAAAUUUUGAUGAUGAUGAUUGAAAUUAACUACCAAUGUUGAAUUCACCGUUAAGACCCUGAGGGAAACAAAUUUAUUGGCGCCAAAAUCUUGAUCUCAAAAUAUUGUAUAUAUAAUUUUACUGUUAUGCGUCUCGUUGGUAUAUCAUUUAUUGGAAUUAGAAAAAUGUGUAUUUGCUACUCGGCCAAAUGAUUCCAUAUUGAAAUAUGGAGAUUGAAUUCCUCCAUCAAUUAAAAAAAAAAAUUGAGUGGAGACUGUUUUCUUCAUUAUAAAAUAUAAGUGGAGUAGAUAUUCCUAAAAAAUUAGUAAGCGUAGAAAAUAUAAACAGAUCAGUAGUUAUCUGAUUGUAAUAUCAGUCUAAAAAAUAUGCAUGUAUGUUCCAAGUAAUAACUUUAUUAAGGCAAUUUGGGGUACAUAGGUUGAGAUUUUAUACUUGUGCCGUGUGAGCUUCAUGUAAUUUUACAUGGCCAAGGACAUGUCAAAGUUGAUAAACAUGCCAUUAUUAAUAAAGAAUUAUUGAUUUAACAUUCAAGAUUAUCGUGUGAUAUAAGACGUUAUUUUAGAAUUUUAGAAUUAUAUAAUUAUAGGUAUUUUGUUAUUUUCUAUUUUAAUUAGCACCAUGUUUUAGUUUUUUAUUUCUAUUAUAAUUAUUAUUUAGUUUCCUUUUUAGCUUAACUUUUACCUCAUUAUAAAUAGAGAUGUCUCUUUAUUGUUUUCAUAACUUUAGCUUUAUUUAUUCAAUAAAACCCUUCUUUUAAAAUUCUUUUUGGGAUUAUCUAUUGAAACCUCUCUUGUAGAAUCAUUUGGGUUAGAGUGUAAUCUUAUCUCAUUUAACACAUUAUUAAAUUCUUAUUUAGUUGUUUGCAUUAGAAUGAGAUUUAAUCAGUUUCAAUUAGAAUGUAAUCUACAAUUUCACUAUUAAUUCCACUUUCGCUACCUUGCUAUGUUAUCAUGAAGUAUCAAUUCUGCUCUCGCUGUCCCGCUCCAUCAUCAUGAUUAAUCCAAAAUUUUAAAAUAAAUACAUGCAACCAAAAUCAGAAAUUAUUUGAACUUUAUUACACUAUUUUUCAUUAGAUUACGAAUAGACUUUCAAAGAGAUUUAAUUUCAAACAACUUUAAUUCGACAGUUACUCUCAUUCACUUCUAAUACUGCUAAUAACUUAAAGCUAAAGUUUUUCUUCUUCAGUAAUUAGAUCUGAGCAGUGCAGGGUGCUAACACAUGAGUAUUUGUACUACAAUUUUUAAAUUGAUUAAAACAAAUCGCUUCACUGAUCAGAAUAUCAUCAAUACCCAAAAAAAAUAUAUUAAGAAUUUUUAGAAUUCACAUGACAAAAUAUAUGUAUAUAAUUGAUUUACGUGGGCUUUGUGAAUCAACCACAGAAAAGCCCACAACAUGAUCCAACGAGACCGAUUCUUCUCGGCCACUGAGCAUAAAUUUCCCAAGUUUCAUAGUGAACGACACCGUUUUGUUCUACUUGCUCGCCACGCAAAAAACUGCCAAGGAGUCACUUCACUGAAGUGCAAAUGUCAGUCAUCUGCACAGUUCACACGUUUAUGAAUAAAUUGAAAAACAAAUAGAGAAAUUAUCCUCAAAAGAUUAUUGAAAUGGCUCUCUCCAGAUCCAGCUUAUUUGUUUGUUUGAUUAAUAGUAGAUCAUGUAUGCUAAACCUUGCAUCGACUAUUAUUGUAAUGUGUUACAUAGAUAUCGAUGUAAUCUUGGAGUAAUCUUUUAUUGUUCUCACCUUACGGUGAGUAGCAGUGCUACAUGGCGAUGUCCGGUCUGCGUGUCCAGUGCUAAAUAAUCUAGAGAAAUUUUUUUAUUCUUAUUUUUGUUUUUGUUAUUUUUAUUUUUCAUUUUUGGGUGCUUGUACAGCUGCUCUGUGGGUGUUGCUUUACCAGUGUACUCAACAUUCAAGGGAAUUGAGAGGAAAGAUGAAGAUGAGCAACAAAAGUGGCUCAUGUAUUGGGCAGGUUGGAAUUUAUUUUUAUUUUUAUAAUUUAUUAUUAUUAUUUUUUGUUAGGCUUGUCACCUUGCUUGUUUUGUUACAUGAGGUUUUCAUAGACUCCUAAAUUUCCUCUGUUUCCAUUAUUUUUAGCCCAAGUGUUUUCCUGUUAGAUGCUUUGAUCAGUUGGGCAAAAAAAUUGAAUAUUACCUUUAUGGUUAUAGUGAUGCUGAGAUCUUGCAUGGGUGAAAAUAUAUAGCUCUACUAUUCAUGAUGACCAUCAAUGAUGAAAGUAACAAAUGUGCAGAAAUUCUUAUCACAUGUUGAUAAAUUUUGUAAUCAAUAAAAGAUAAGGCUGGUUUGAUCUGAGGAUAUAUAUCUGGCAUUGGUGCUUGCCCUUGAUGAACUUUUGAUAGUACUUGUCCUACUGACUAUUUGCAGCUUAUGGAACUUUUAGCAUUGCUGAGGCUUUUGCAGACAAGUUUCUUACUUGGUAAAGUUUUUGAGUACUAGUGAUUUCUUCCUUUUGCUUGUGUAGUAAGUAUUUAUCAUAUAUAUUUCGAAAAGAUAAGCAAGUGUACAUCUUUUCCCACGCAUAUACGCACGACGCUUAAUUAUCUAUGCCUAAUUGAUGUUACUGCCUUAUCUUGUUUCAUCAUUUCAGGUUUCCCAUGUAUUAUCACCUGAAAUUUGCAUUUCUUGUAUGGCUUCAGCUUCCAUCUACUGAUGUAAGUUUAAAAAUAACGCUUGUAACUUUGGAUCAUAUUGAAAAAAUGGGGAAGUGUACUUGUAUUUAUAUUUAUUUGUGAUGAAAAUUAAUGUAGCUUAAUAUGUUUAACUUUUGACUUCAAGUUAACUCAUGGUGAUAAACUUCCUUAUUUCUUGUUAGGGGGCAAGGCAGUUGUACGAGAACUACUUGAGUCCAUUCUUGUUGAGGUGUCAAGCUAAAGCUGAUCAACUCAGGGCCACUACACACGCUAAAUUUGAUCAACUCAGGGCCAUUACACAAGCUAAGGUCGAUCAACUCAGGGCCCUCACACUGCGUCCAUUCUUGUUGACGUGUCAAGCUAAAAUUGAUCAACUGAGGGCCAUUGAGACAUGGUAUGUUAUGUAGUGUUGUUAUCAUAUUAUGGGCGAUACUAGUUUGACUUAUCCGUUUGAUUGAAUGAUAGUGUGGUACUCCCCAUAUUCUCAAGAAUAUACAGAAAGUUGAAACCUCUGAGCAAAGUUCGACUUUCGCUUCCAUUGCGAAAUUGUAACUUGUGGUAAAUAAGGCACUUUAAAAUUGUUUAUAUUGGGUCAACCUCAACCCAUAGAUACCCUGUGCAAGUCUUGCUGUAUUGCACUCAACACUUCCCCUGUUGUUUCCGAUGAAGUAUAUGCUCUGCUAAAAUUUACAGGUUGGACGUAUCAGCUCAAUCAAGGCAGAAAUUAAAUGUGGGGGGGAUACAUUCUUUGCAUUUUUCUGGUCAGGUAAUGGUAGAUACCUUUCUUUUGGUGCAUGCUUGUCUUGUUAGUUCAGUGAUUUCCAUGUAGAUUCGAAGUAUUUUACUUGUUUCUGGACCAGCUCCAAAAUAUAGAUCCAAAUAAACCUGAAGGACGAAAUGCGGUUGAAGACCUGGAUGGAAUAACCUCAGACACAGACACUGAGUCUGAUCUUGAGGUUGAGGAGACUUUGAUCAUGCAUGUCAGUUUCGGCAAAUUGAGUUACUCUUGUUAUGAACCGAGACCCUAUCGUAGGAUUUCCAAAUCGUAUCUGCUCGAAUAAUCAAGGCUUCUUUGCCACCUAAAUGGGACAACAUGAACAUACGUUAUCCCUCAGUAUCAUCUCUUUACAAUCUCAAAAAUCUUUUGGUCAUUUGCAUUUGUAAGGCGUACUUGUGGUAGUUCAUUCCCAGAAUUUAUCUUUUGAUGUAGUGGUUAAUUUGUAGUAAAAAGUUUGAGAUUCAGUGGACAUGGUAUUGUAAAUUUUCAAUUACGAACUGCACCUGGUAGAAAUCAACUAUGUUUUUGUAUGGAUUCUCGAAGUUUCAGAUUUUAACAUCAGAUAACUAGGUUCUGUACAAUUUAAAUUUCGUUUUUCUAGUAGCAUCCCCAAAUACUCUAAAUAGGCAUACUUAUUAGGAAACCUAUUAUAUUAAUAAUCUUAAGUUAAUUAAGAUAGUCAUUGGUCUUUAAUUCUCAAUCUAAAACCAGUAGAAACGUUCUGUUUAUAUUUUCCCACGUGGUAUGAAAAAUAUUACUGAAAUUGGUGUGCAUGUUUUGGAUGAACUAUAUGUACUUUUUCUUCUAAGAAAAUCUUGAUAUUCAAUGAUUGUGAUAAAUUAUUUGAUUUUGUAUUAACUGAAACUUUCAUAUUCUUAUCCUGCUGACAAUGGUGGCUUUAAGUAUAGGCGAGAAAAGCGAUUGCCUAAGGUCCUAUAUUAUUUUAAGGCCUCAUUUUUUUUUUGAGUAUUUCUUAAUAGUUCUUUAAUUAAUAAAUAUCUUUUUAAAAAAAAUUAUGUAUUGUAGAAAACCCUAUUAGACAUCUUUAUAAUUAACAAUUAUACCAUAACUUAGAAUUAUUUUUUAUUUAUUUAUAGAAAAUCAAUAUUUGGUAGCCUUAAUGUUCAAAAGAUAUAAUUAAUAAAAUUGUUUAGUCAUUAAUUCAUUCAUUAUUAGUUUUUUUAAAAAAAUUUACAUUUUUUACCUUUUAACUUUCCUAAAAAAAUGAAAAAUUUUGACUUUUAAUAUUCCUUUUAAUUCCUUGUAGUAUAAAAAAUCAAUAGAUAAAUAGGUUUCUUGCUCUCUUUUUUUUUUUUUUUACAAAGAGAAUUAUUACAUUCAUUGAUUCAUUUUAAAAAGAAAAAAUUAGUUUCUUAAAAUACAAAGUGCAUAUCUAUUAUUUGAUAAUCAAUUCAUCAUCUCAAUUUUCUGCUAUUCUAAAUAAAAAAAUAUUCUAUUUGAAAAAAAUAUUGUUUUUAUUUAUUUGUUUGUUUAUUUUUGUAAUAAUUUUAAUGGAAGUAAAAAAGAUAUCUUCUUGCUUAUUUUUUUAAGUUUGGUUUUUGAAAAUUUUUAAGAUCUUUUUUAUUACUAUUAAAAUUCAAGAGUUAAAAGUCGAAUAAAUUUUGUAGUCUUUUAUAUUUCUUUGAGUAUUGAAAUUACAAAAUAAAAAAAGGCCCUACAAAAAAAUUUUGCCUAAGGCCCCAUAUACUCUAAAGCCGGCCCUGCCUGCUGAUAGUGGAUUGUAUAUAAUACAGUAGAUUUUCUUUACAGUAGGUUUGAGGAAAAUGUACAAUCAAGCUCUCAAUUAGUAGCAAUCAUGUAUUGAAGUUUCCGAAAGAUAUCAAAGUUAACUUGAGUUUAUAUCUGUUACACUAUGGAUAAUAUGCAUGAUAUUAUGAUAUCGUUCACAUCUUACAAUAUUAUUUCGGAACCGGUGCUUAACAGGUUCCGUUCCACCAGAAUUUUGUGACUCUCUCCAUCUUCAAGUAUUUUAUUUGGAAAAUAACAAGCUUACAGGUUCCAUCCCUGAGAGCUUAGGUCGUUUCAGUUGUUUGAAAAAGUUGAAUUUGGCGAGGAAUAAGUUAUCUGGCUCAAUUCCAACUAGUUUUGGGAACUUGAAAUAGCUUACAAACCCACAUAGAUUUAAGCUAUAAUGAGCUUGCUGGUGAGCUUAAUCCUUUGUUUUUGAAGCCCCACCAAGCUCAAAAUGUGUGACAAAGAACAAGUAUUAAACUCACCAUCGAACUCAUUAUAACUUAAAUCCAAGUGGGUACGAAAGCCCUUCCGACUAGUUUGCACCAAGCCAAAAAAUACGCUUACAUUUCUCUAAUUUGCUGAUCAUCAUCACCACCUCCAUCAAAGUCAUCAUCUGAUCUUGAUGAUCCUUCUCCUGCUCCUCCACUGCCUUCAUCUCCUUCCCCAACCUCAUUAUUCAUCGCCACCGCAGCGUCCGUGUCCCGGAAUAGUCCAGCCUGCUAAUGAUAAUUAAUAAUUCGUCAAGAACACAACACCCACACCAACAAAAAUGAAAUAAACUACUAAAAAAUAACAUAGCAAAGCAAAUAACGGAAAAAUAAAAUAAAAUAACACAAUAAAGUAUUUAGGAUUUUGGAGUUAUACAAGGCUUAGAGAGAGCGCAGGAGAGGCAAAAAAGUCUUUGGUGCGACGAGUGGGUGGCUUGCUACACGUGGACGCUGUUGGGAAAAUAUGCUCUUUAAAAGCAUAUGUGUUUAUUUAAUUGUAAUAAACAAUUUUUCUGAUUAAUAAAAUAAAUGAGGUAUUUUAUUCAAAUAUCUUAAUUGCAAUAAUAUUUGUAUUAAAGUCCAUUUAAUCAUAUUAUAUGUAUUUAUGUGAUCACCAUGUGGAUUCACAGAAGACAUAAAUACAAGUUAUCUUAUGAUUAAAUAAAUUUAGUUCGCAGUUGAUAAAUAAAGUUGGGCACUUUAUUUAGGUAUAGACUGUAAUAAAUUCAUUGAAUGAUUUGUCUUAAUCAUGUAUGAAUUUAUUGAUGUAGUACGACUACAUUGAACAGGAUCACAUAUGAGAUUUAAUUAACUUUGUAAUAACUGUCAGACUUAUUAAAUCUCAUAGGCGUUGAUUUUACUGUAAUCUUAAUCUUGAGUUAAUUAUGAUUUCAUGAUUGUGAUUGUUAUUUCAUUUGAGUUACCAAUGGGCACGACACAUCCUUGUGGUCAAGAUUACCCGGUAUCUUGGUGGGAGCAAUUAUGAGUAUUGGAGUUAUGGAUUAACAAUAUAGAAUUUGUACAACACAUCUCUUGAUAGGUUUUCGGUACUUGAUCAUAGAAUUCUCUGGCCAGAGUGUGUCAACAUAUUUAGUAUGUUGAAAAUGAUCAUUAGAGGAAACCAGUAAGGAUCAAGGAAUAAGAUGUUAUUAAAUUGAUUGGACAGUUGAGAUAUCAAUUUAAUUAACGAUGUGGUACAAAGGAUUGUGCAGUAAAGAAAUCAAUGUGGCUUGGGACGAAUUAUUAUUCGAGCAUACAAUUAUGGAAGUCAGUUCCAAUCUUUUAGUGGAGUAGAUUUGGAAUUAAAUAAUUGGGCUAGUUUAAUUACAGGCCUAAUUAUUGUAGCCACUAUUGUAUGUUCCCAAAUGAUCCCCGGGUUAGCUCAUUUAAUUGACUGCACCACUACUGGACUAAUAAGUAAGAUAACUAGCUAUUUGGGUCAAAAGCCUAAAUAUAUCAUUUAGUGAGAGGCUCCAUUUAAUUAGCUUUUGUAUAAGGGGCCUUAUGUUAUUUUACAAGGUGGGUCCCCUAUUGAAAAAGAAAAUAACGUGAGUUUUAUUUAGAGCAUUAUUUGGAGCCUAAGGUUUUCACUAAAGGGUGAUAUAAAAGGCUUAUUUUUUCCUAAAGAAAAAGACGGAAGCCACUUUAUACAGAUCAGAGAAAAAGAUUUUUCUCUCUAUUGUUGAGAGAAAAAUUUUCUCGUGCUAGUUGCUUUGGUAGUGAUAAAGGCGCCCACACGUCAAGUGCAGAUCGAACCUGAGUCAUAACCUGGAAGAUCAUUGGAGACUGUUCGUGAUCUAACAAGCGUGGUGGUGACGGAUCGUGAUCUAACAUGAGUGGUGGCGGCGGAUCGUGAUCUAGGAGCCUAAAACACUUCAGCAGGAAAAGCCAACUCGGAUUUUCAAGGUACGAUUUCUGGAUUACGUAUUCCUAUAUAUUAUAUGAGAGCGGUCCUUAAAAGGUUUUAUAAAAAUUUAAAAACCUAAUUUUUCCCCAACAAUUGGUAUCAGAGCCAUCUCAUAUUAAUAUAUAAGAAUUUCGUAUGAAAUUAAUCUUGAUAUUUAUGUAUUAGAGUGGCACAAUUUAUUCAGAUAUAUAUUAUUUGUUUAAUAUAUGAAUAAAGCAUGUUUUGGUUUGUCUUAAUCAUGGUUAGAUUUUCUGUUGUAUUUUUUCUUUGGAUCUGUAAUAGGAGGGGUGGUUUUUUAUCACCAUGUUUCCCUCAUGAUUUAUUUUACUGUUAUAGAAUUUUUGUAAGCCAAAAUUGGCCUAGGAAAUUUGUAAAUUAAUCUCGGAUUUUCAAGAUCGGAGCGACGGAGGCCGGGAAUUUUGACAGCGGCAACCAGCAGCAAGCAGCGCACGGCCAGCAACACAUGUUGCCAGCAAGCGCGCGCUGCAAGCCAGCAGCCAGCGCUCGCGGGAAGCGUGGCUUGUGCGCGCAGCACGCGCUGGCACAGGCUGCACGCGCAGCAAACAGCGCGCGCGGCCAGCGUGGCCAGUAGCGCGAGCUGCACGAGCAGCAAGUUGCGUGCGCGAGUUUGGAGCGUUUCCGGCAACAUGGCGGCGGGUGGUUCGGCGUCGAUGGCUGGAAACAGUGAACAGGGGAUAGGUUUUUGGAGAUGGCGGCUGGGGAAGAGAGAAAGAAAAAUAUGGAAUUAGGGUUUCAUGGUUUCUAUCAUGGAGGUCCCUAUGGUUCCAUAAGUUUUCAUUUGGGCAGAAAAGUUUUAAUUUUUUGCGUUUAAAUCCAAAAACAGUUUUGGGUUUAAUGAAUCCUAGUUUUAGGCCCAAUUUCAAUUGGGCUUAAUGGAUUAAAAAUGCAUAGACAAAAUUAAAUACAUUAAAUUUAUUUUUGGUCCAAAAGUUUUAUUUUAAUAAUAAAAAAAAUAAAACUAUUUAUUUAUUUAUUUCCUUUCAAAAUUAAAAUUGGACCAAUUAUAAAUUUAAAAGCCCAAUUUCCCCUAGUCCAUUAACAAAAACAAGCUUAUGGAAGAUGGACAUUGACAAGAAGCCCAAUGAAGAUUAGGCUUAGGGUUAAUCUAUUUUUCAUUAUUAGGAAAGCCAUGAAUUAAGAUUAUUUAAUUGUUUUUCUAUAUGUUAUGUUUUGGAUGUCAACAUGCCAUGAUAACAUGUCAUAUAGAAUAGGUGGUGCCACUCUAUGCAUAAUGAUACAUGUCAUUCAUUAAUUAUGAAUUUCAUUAUAUUGUUUGAAAUUUGCCUAUGCUUAAUAAUAUUGGAUAUCAUCUAGAUAAUAUUAUAGGAAGCAUGCAAUUAACAAUAUGUAUGUUUUAAAAAUGAAAAAUCAAUUUUAAAAUAUUGAGUGGGAGAGGGAAAAUUCAAGAUAAUUUUUCCCACGGGCUCCAUUGUUAGUUCAAUAAUAAAAUUAUAUAUAUACCUCGACUUCAUGAUACGGUGAUGCUCCCUUCGGAGGGUAUAUAUAUUAGAUAUUUUAUUUGAUGAACUUCUUCAAAGAUAAAAUUGAAAUAUUUUUCAAUCGAUUGUUCACCCCAACGGUGACUAUUGAUAUGAAAAAUACGUAGAUUGAAACAAUGGUUAUACACUCAACUAAAGUUUGUUAUUAACCUUCCCAACGAAGCUCUGUUAACAAAUUUAGGCCCAAAAGGAGAACGAUAAUUAUUUAUCAUGUCUUUACAUGAAAGUAAAUAAUCUAAUGGAUAAUUGGGUCUAGUAAGUGUAGACAUGACUUCCCCAACGGAUAGCUUGUCGAAGCGGUACUAGAUUAUCGUUACAAUAAAUUAAAAUGCAUUUAUGAUUUUUUGCAUUUUUGUCAUUUAUUGUGAAUAUUGUUUCAAAGUAUUUAUGCAUGUGUAUUUUGUUUUUUCAGAAAAUGUCUUCCAUCAACCCAUUAUUAUUUAUCCUUGUUAAAAAUGAACUCACUGGCGAAAAUUAUUUAGAUUGGAAACGCAAUCUAUUUAAUAUCCUCAUUGCUAAAGGAAGCAAAUAUGUGUUGACCCAGCCUUGCCCUCCUGAACCAUCGUUAUACGAUUAUAGAAAUCAGAGGGAGCCUUAUGAGAAAUGGUGCGAAGCUAACAAAAUGGCUAAGCGCUAUAUAUUGGCUUCGAUUUCUAUGGAACUGCAUAAGAAACAUCGGAGCAUGGAAACAGCCACUGAAAUAAUGGCUAGUCUUCAUCAGAUGUUUGAGCAAAAUACCCAUUUUGCCAGAGAAGCAGCAUUAAAACGUAUUACGGAUACUAAGAUGGAAGAGGGCACAAAAGUUCGUGAUCAUGUCCUCAAAAUGAUGGACUAUUUGAAUGAGGUAGAGAUUCAUGGUGUUCAAAUCAAUGAUAAAUCAAAGAUUAACAUGGUGAUUGAAUCUUUACCUGAUACAUUCAAAGAGUUUAAGGUCAGCUAUAUCUUAAACAAUAAAGAUAUGACCUUAAUUGAAUUAAUGCACGAACUACAUGCUAUAGAAGAAUUUUAUCAUAGCAGAAAACUUCCUGAAAAAGGAUUCUCUUCAAGGCUUAAGUCGAAAGACAAGAAUGAGCAAGCAAGAGUUGGGAUCGGCAAACUGUCCACUAAAAGAAGUGGCAAGCCAAAAGGCAAGUGUUACAAAUGUGGACAGAAGGGUCACUGGAAGAAAGAUUGUCCUAAGAUUAUUAAAAUCAGGUAUAGGAAAUCUUUAAGCUUCCUAAUUAGUUCAGAUUUCUAUUGAUUCAUUCAAUAAUAAAUUCUGAGAUAACUAAUCUUAUUUAUAAUUCAUUUAUUUGGUUUUCAGGAAACCAAGAGAUUAAGUGAAGAAAGCUUCAAACAGCAGUUGAGGACGUGCUAGUUUAUAUCAAUUGAAAGACUAGAUCAAUUUUACAAGACUUUAGUUUUGGUAUUUGUCUUUAUUUUUCCAAAUAUUAGAGGAAUUUAAUUUCGGUGGCUUGUUUUAAUAAACAGGAGUACACUGUUAUUUAUGGAUCCUCUGUUUAUUACUUAUUUUGGUUAUUUAUAAAGACAAUUUAUAUCAUAGAAGUACAUUGAUCUAUUCAAAGUAAGAUAUAAUGAUAAAAAGUAUAUGCAUUUAUCUAAGAAAAGAAAUGUUUCUUCUAACCAAAAAUCACCUCUGAUAUUUAUGCUUAAGUCAUAUAAACUAUAAUAAGAUUUUAAGAAAAUGAUUAAUGAUAGACUUGUUGGCCUAUUAAGAUUGAUCAUUGUAACUCUAUAAAUCUUAUUUAGAAAAGUAAUAUGACAAGAAUGCUCUUUUUGAGCUAAAAGCAUAACAUUGUAUUUGAUGAUUUAGCGCAUACAAAUGUAUACGGACUAAUCAGUUUACAUGUUAUAAGAGGUUAUGAGUAUUCUAUCAAUCUUGUUGAUGAAUAUUCAUUUUAUUUAUGUUUGUCUAAAUGCGUCAUGAUUCCAUUGCUUUUGAAAUUCAAAAGAGUACGUGGAUAAGACAGAAGCAAUUAGACAGGAACAUAAAAGAACUUCGAUAUGAUCGAAACAAAGAAUAUCUCUAUGGAGAAUUCAAGCACUAUUUGGUUGUCAAUGAACACUAUGAUACAAUAGUGUAAUUAAAUGGAGAAACAAGAUUCUUUUGGAUAAGACAAGAUAUAUACUAAGUGGUUUAUCAUUUACCUUUUUGAUUCCAGAUACUAGUAUUUGAAACUACAAAGUUUAUUGAACUUAGUUUUAUCUAUCUCGGUGUCUACUACUCCAAGAUAUUAUGAAAAAGUCACAAACAUAGUUUGAGACACAUUCGUAUUUGGAAUUUACUAGAAUCAGAGAUAGAGAAGAUGGAUUCGUGUUCAGAAGCUUGCAUGUUUUAGGUAUCUUAAAGGAAUAAGGGAAAGUCUGAAUUAUAGUCCUCAAGAUAGGAAUGUAUUUAUAGAAAUAUUCUUUACUUUCUUUGAGGAAUACUAUAUAAUGACUUAUAACCUAAGAGUAAGGUAAAACUAGAGAAAUAAAAGAGAUCAGGUUGAUGCUCAACUUUCAACACCUGUUAUAGAACAGGAAGAACAGCAACAACCAGCUGAUCAAUACAAGAUUAUCCUUGAACAACCAUCACUUUUAGAACCUCGUCGUAGUGGGAGGGUAACUAGGUUACCUGCGAGAUACAUGCUUUUGGGAGAAACCUAUACGGCUAUCUCAGAUGAACAUGUACAAGAUCCCACUAGUUACAACGAAACUCUAAUAGAUAGAGAUGUUGAAUUUUAGAAAAAGGCCAUGAAUCAAGAAAUGGAAUCUAUGUAUUCCAAUAAAGUCUGGGAACUUGUAGAGGCACCAAAUGGGGUAAAACCUAUAGGGUGCAAGUAGAUCUACAAGAGAAAAAGAGGAGUAGUCGGAAGGGUGGAAACAUUUAAAGCAAGAUUAGUAGCCGAAGGGUUUACUCAGAAAGAAUGAAUCGAUUAUGAGGAAACCUUUUCUCCGGUUGCUAUGCUUAAAUCCAUCAGGAUUCUGCUCUCCUUUGCUGCAGUGCUAGAUUAUGAAAUUUGGCAAAUGGAUGUCAAGACUGCCUUUCUUAACGGGCAUCUUGAAGAAAACAUCUACAUGUAGCAACCAGAUGGAUUUAUACAAAAAGGCCAAGAACACAUGGUAUGUAAGUUGCAGAGAUCCAUUUAUAGAUUGAAGCAAGCAUCUCGGUCAUGGAACAUCAGAUUUGAUCAAGCGAUAAAAUCGCUUGGAUUCAUUCAGAACAUUGAUGAACCAUGUGUGUACAAGAAAAUUCAGGAAAAAUUUGUAGCCUUCCUAGUUCUUUGUGUAGACAAUAUUCUCCUGAUUGGAAACGAUAUAGGAGUAUUGACUACAAUAAAGAUUUGGUUAGCAAAAUAAUUUGAUAUGAAAGACCUGGGAGAGAUAAGUUAUAUUCUUGGUAUCAAGUUACUACGAGACCGGAAGAAUAAAACUUUAGCCUUGUCUCAAGCGGUCUAUAUCGAUAAGAUAUUGGCUAGAUUUAGCAUGGAAAAUUCCAAGACUGAUUUAUUACCAUUCAGACAUGGAAUUACAUUCUCUAAGGAUCAAUCACCUAAAACAUCUGAAGAGAUAGAGAGAAUGAGACGAGUUCCCUAUGCAACAGCUGUGGGAAGUCUCAUGUAUGUCAUGCUUUGCACUAGGCCAGACAUCUGUUUUGCGGUAGGGAUGGUUAGUAGAUAUCAAUCUAAUCCUGGACCUGAACACUGGACUGGGGACAAGCCUAUAAUGAAGUAUCUGAAAAGAACUUAAAAUUAUAUGCUUGUGUAUUCUGGUGAUAAACUUAUUCUAGUGGGUUAUACUAAUUCUGAUUUUUUGUCAGAUAAGGAUUUUAGAAAAUCAACUUCCGGCUAUGUGUUUACAUUGGGAAGUGGAGCUAUUAGUUGGAUGAGUGUGAAACAAUCUUGUAUCACAGACUCAAUAACUAAAGCUGAAUAUGUGGCUACAUCUGAAGCUGCAAAAGAAGCUAUAUGGCUCUGUAAGUUCCUACGAAAUCUUGAGGUGGUACCUAUUGUAACUGCACCCCUUAAACUAUUUUGUGAUAAUGGUGGUGCGGUAGCUCAAUCUAAGGAACCAAGGAACCACAAGAAACAAAACAUAUUGAAAGGAAGUAUCAUCUUAUAAGGGAAUAGUGUAGAAAGGUUAUAUAAAAGUGCCCCAAAUGGCAUUAGAUGCUAAAUGGCAGAUCUUAUUACAAUGGCCAUUAGUGGGAAACCUUUAUAACCUGCACUUAGAGCCCUAGAGCAUGUGCAAUAUGCCAGAUAUGCUUUGAGAGCUAGUGGGAGAUUGUUGGGAAAAUAUGCUCUUUAAAAGCAUAUGUGUUUAUUUAAUUGUAAUAAACAAUUUUUCUGAUUAAUAAAAUAAAUGAGGUAUUUUAUUCAAAUAUCUUAAUUGUAAUAAUAUUUGUAUUAAAGUCCAUUUAAUCAUAUUAUAUGUAUUUAUGUGAUCACCAUGUGGAUUCACAGAAGACAUAAAUAUAAGUUAUCUUAUGAUUAAAUAAAUUUAGUUCGCAGUUGAUAAAUAAAGUUGGGCACUUUAUUUAGGUAUAGACUGUAAUAAAUUCAUUGAAUGAUUUGUCUUAAUCAUGUAUGAAUUUAUUGAUGUAGUAUGACUACAUUGAACAGGAUCACAUAUGAGAUUUAAUUAACUUUGUAAUAACUGUCAGACUUAUUAAAUCUCAUAGGCGUUGAUUUUACUGUAAUCUUAAUCUUGAGUUAAUUAUGAUUUCAUGAUUGUGAUUGUUAUUUCAUUUGAGUUACCAAUGGGCACGACACAUCCUUGUGGUCAAGAUUACCCGGUAUCUUGGUGGGAGCAAUUAUGAGUAUUGGAGUUAUGGAUUAACAAUAUAGAAUUUGUACAACACAUCUCUUGAUAGGUUUUCGGUACUUGAUCAUAGAAUUCUCUGGCCAGAGUGUGUCAACAUAUUUAGUAUGUUGAAAAUGAUCAUUAGAGAAAACCAGUAAGGAUCAAGGAAUAAGAUGUUAUUAAAUUGAUUGGACAGUUGAGAUAUCAAUUUAAUUAACGAUGUGGUACAAAGGAUUGUGCAGUAAAGAAAUCAAUGUGGCUUGGGACGAAUUAUUAUUCGAGCAUACAAUUAUGGAAGUCAGUUCCAAUCUUUUAGUGGAGUAGAUUUGGAAUUAAAUAAUUGGGCUAGUUUAAUUACAGGCCUAAUUAUUGUAGCCACUAUUGUAUGUUCCCAAAUGAUCCCCGGGUUAGCUCAUUUAAUUGACUGCACCACUACUGGACUAAUAAGUAAGAUAACUAGCUAUUUGGGUCAAAAGCCUAAAUAUAUCAUUUAGUGAGAGGCUCCAUUUAAUUAGCUUUUGUAUAAGGGGCCUUAUGUUAUUUUACAAGGUGGGUCCCCUAUUGAAAAAGAAAAUAACGUGAGUUUUAUUUAGAGCAUUAUUUGGAGCCUAGGGUUUUCACUAAAGGGUGAUAUAAAAGGCUUAUUUUUUCCUAAAGAAAAAGACGGAAGCCACUUUAUACAGAUCAGAGAAAAAGAUUUUUCUCUCUAUUGUUGAGAGAAAAAUUUUCUCGUGCUAGUUGCUUUGGUAGUGAUAAAGGCGCCCACACGUUAAGUGCAGAUCGAACCUGAGUCAUAACCUGGAAGAUCAUUGGAGACUGUUCGUGAUCUAACAAGCGUGGUGGUGACGGAUCGUGAUCUAACAGGAGUGGUGGUGGCGGAUCGUGAUCUAGGAGCCUAAAACACUUCAGCAGGAAAAGCCAACUCGGAUUUUCAAGGUACGAUUUCUGGAUUACGUAUUCCUAUAUAUUAUAUGAGAGCGGUCCUUAAAAGGUUUUAUAAAAAUUUAAAAACCUAAUUUUUCCCCAACAGACGCCCCCAUAGCAAUGAGAAAACCAAGAAAAAAAAAGUUGUUGUCUUGAGAGGGUUGAUGAAAUGGUUCUUGUGAGCAAAAAUGGUGGCAUGUUGAAGUGGGGUGAGCUUUGAUUUAAGGACGUCAAUUAUCAAACAAAACAGAAUGAAGUCUAAAAACACAUUAAUGUUGUGUUUACUUGCUGGAGUGGGAGUGAGGAGUGUGGAUUUCUCCCACUCCAGCGUUUACUUACUUAAAAUGGGGAGGGAUUGGGAGUCCCACUCCGUGGGCCCCACCCAUUUUUGGAGUGGGGAGUGGGAAUCCACUCCCACCUCUCCCAUUUCUAUCCUUUUUUUUAUUUUAUGUUUUAUAAUUAAUAAAAUAAAAUAAAUAAUAUUACAUUUAUUUGAAUAAUAAUAUUAUAUUUAACUAAAUAAUAAUUUACAUUGAUUCUAAGUUAAAAUUAUUUUAAAAUAAUAUUAUUAUAUUAAUAGAGAAUUAAUAAAUAUAAUAUUAUUAUAUUUAUUUUAAAAAUAAUAGUACUAUAUUUAUUUAAUAUUAAUAAUAAUAAAUACUUUAUUCUAAUAAAAUAUUAAUUUUGUACUAAAUAAUAUUAUAUUAUUAUUUUAUAUAAUAAUAAAUUUAAUAUAAUUAUAUUAAAUAAAAUAAAAUAACAUUUCAUUUUAUAUUAAAAUUAAAAUUAAUAAUUUAUUGUUCAUAAUUAAGAAUAUUAAUAAUUAUAAUAAAUUUACAAAUAUAAUAAAAUAAAUAUUAUUCAUUAAAUAUAUUUUUUAUUAGUUUUGUAAUUAAAAACUAUAAUUCUUUAAAUAAGGAUAAAAUUGUAAUUUGAAACUAUUUACUCCCAAUCCAAGACAAAGUAAAUACAUAAAUUGGAUUCUGAUCUCCAUUCCAUGCUUCCAUUCCAGUGUAAGUAAACAACCUACUCCCACUCCCACUCCACACUCCCAAUCCUAGGAUUCACAAUCCUAGGAUUCCCACUCCUCAGGAUUUCCAAUCCAAUCCAAAAAGUAAACGCUACCUAAAAGAAAAGGAAUUGUUGUGUUUGUGUGUGAGAGAGAAAAAGAGAGUGUAUGUAUUUGUUUGUUUUAUUGAGAAACGAAAUGAUGAAAAAGGGUGUUAGGAGUUGACUGUUAGAAAUUCUGUGUGAAAAUGUGAGGAUUCAAGUCCCUCAACCAACUUUUGAAGGAUAUAUUAAUUAACACUAGCUAAUUGAAAUUUGCAAUUAUUCAAAUUAGUGUCAAAAUUACAUAUCCACCAAUAUUGCAAUUUGCAAUACUCAACUGAAAAUAGUUUUAUAGGAAAAAAUAGCAUUAACAUAAAUUUUGUUCUGUAUAUAGGUAAAAAGAAAUAUAUUUCAAACUCCAGUUAAUUUUAUAUGUAGAAAUAUGAUAAAGAUUAAAUUUUCAUCCAUUUGAUAAUUAAGAAUAUAUCUAACUAAUUAAGAAUGCUUUAACAAAUCAACGGAUAGCAUAGUCAAUAAAAUCAAAAUUAUAUACUUGCUGAGUUGAUUGAUUAUUUUUUUCCGAAGUAAUUAACUCAAAAUCUUGAAAGUUUCUUUAUACCUAAUGAAGAAAUAUGGUAUCCAACAUUGCUAGGCGGUGGUUUUAGGCUUUGGAGAAGCUAAAAUUGUAGAAAUGAAAGUAUCUUUUUUGCCCAAAUUUUUACUCUCAUAAGGGACUUUUACUCUAUUCACAUUUCAUAAAGGGAAGACAAUAAAUAAUUGAAUAAGAGAUUUAACCUCAAAAUAUUAUGUAGAAACUCAAACUGUUGUUCUCAUAAUUGUUUAUGAGGCCACUCGGCCUUUUGUCCGAGUGAUUGCAUUAAUGGCAUUAAAUUGCAUAGAACGUAGGAAAUUGAUCCACCACCAUCUAAUUAUAACAUCACAAAUAAAUAAAAGUAAAGAUGAAAUGGAAAUUAAUUGGAGCUUUUACCUUGUUGCUAUACUUGGUAAUGUCCACCUGAUUUAUGAUCCCGAUUAGAAUGCCUAAAAUUACUGCUUUCUUUUUCUUGAUUGUAUCAUCAUCACUUUUGUGAAAUUUUAAAAUAAAAAAAAAAGAAAAAAAUGAGGGAUGCUGGGUCAAUCACUCUUUAAACAACUCGAUUGGACACGCGUUUACUACAUUGUUUUUUUUAUUUUAUUCAUAAGUGAUUAUCCACUAACUACUUAUUUUUUCACACAUGUUUAAACAUGUACAAACUUUUUUUUUUUCAGAAAAUUCUCCUUGAAGUUGACAUUAUUUUCACUCGUCCAUUGUGGCCUAAACUCUAUUAGAAAUUUGUUAAUGUCAUAAGGGUAAAAUUAUCAUUUAAUUUUAACAAACAAAAACGACCCCAAAUCAAAUAAAAAACUCAAUGCCACAAAUUAUCAAAAUGUAAAUCCAUUAAUUCAACUGAAAGAAAAAUGCUCAGCCUUAACCCUAACUCUAACAGCCACACACUAUCAAAAUCAAAAUGAAAUUUUAUUUAAUUUUUAAUCAAAUAAUAACAAAAAGAUGCAUCACUGGUGAACAGUAGCUAGUGCCGGUGGCGUGGUGUGGCAAGGCGCGGUGAUGUCAGGAUUGGGGUUGCCGAAUCUACUCGAUCCUGCGUUCGGUGAUGUCACGCAGUGGCAAGAUAGCUGAUCGUGAUUAAAGUUGGUAAUGAGUGAAAGACAAGAGAAGAGGCUACAAAUUUUAUUUGACUGAGAAGAGAAGGUAAUGAAUUUUUUUUUUUUCAGAAAGAAGAGGUGAGACUACAAUUUUUGUUGGAGGCUGACCAUUAAAAAAAGAAAAGAGAGAGAGAGAGACAGAGAGAAGAAGAAGCUGAAUUUGGUGCAAGUGAGUAAGAAGACUGGUUUUAUUUUGAAUGAGAUUGAAGAUAAGCUUUGUGCCUUGCUGCUGCUGAUGCUUUUUUUUUGUUUCCUUCGUUCUUCUUCUCUACUACUACUUUUUUUUUUUUUUGAGAAAGUAAGCCUUUCCAUUGAUUAAAACUGGAGAAUAACAUCCACAGCGGGAACUGGGCAGUUUCCUAUCCAAAGGAUAGGGUCUACACGAUCUAAAGCUACCUUUGCCAAGUUAUGAGCCAUGACAUUACACCUUCUUGGUACAAAAAGAAUAGAUGCCGUGUUCUGCCCUUUUAAACAUUCCUAAAUUUCUUCUAUGUUCCAUGAUAUUUCAGCUAAGCUGCUCUUCCUUUUCAGAACAAGCUCCACAACUUCUUUAGAGUCUGAUUCAAUAACAAAAUGGGCACAAUUUGCUUCUCUACUAUUACUACUUUGCCUAAAUUCUUUUAAUUUUUUUGUUUAGUGUUUGGUUUUGAUUUGGAUAUUGGAUUGAGUUUGGGAUUAGGUUUGGGUUUUAAUUCUUUUAAUUAUUUUCAUUUUUAAUUUUGGUUAUUUUGUUUCAUUUAUUAUAAUUUUGAUUAUUUUUAUUUUUUAUUUAAUAUAUAAAUUGUAAACAAUAACCAAAGUCAUCUAAUACUUUUGUCAUUUAGCUCGGUUUUGUCAUUUAGCUCGGUGAAAUAGUAAUUUUACAUUAAAGGAUCAAAACAAUCAUUAUAUUAAUAUUAUGUUAAAUUCUCUCACAGUCAUAGACAUUAGACGAUAGUAAAAUAAUGAUAUAUUUUGUAAACUUUCAAUGGAAUUCUGUAAAAAAUAAAAGAUUUAUAUAUUUUUUUAAAAAAUUUAAAAAAUGGGUGAUCGGUAGAUAUUACCCUUUUAUUUAUCAAGCACAUGUGUCAUGUCUUGUCUUUUGAAUUUAAUGCUUUCUUUUAUUUGUUUUAUUACCCAAUUUGUUCAAAACAAUUACAGUUAUGCCACUUGUUCAAUUUAUAUAAUUUUAGAAUAUUACCUUUAAGUUAACAAAAUUAUCUAAAUUUUUAUUAGGAUUCGGGAUCUCGUCCUGAACCAUAUAGAGUUCAGUUCAGUAUCAUUUUUUAAAAAAUUGAUUUAAAAUUAGUUGAGAUUUAAUAUAAAAUUUUAUCCCAAUUUAUUAUUUAGAAUAUCUGGAAAUAUCAAUCAAAAAUCUUGAUUGCCUUGACUAUUAUUUUAAUUUUUAAUUAACUAAAUUAAAAAAUCAUUUAUCUUAAAAAUAAACAAAAAUAAUUGACCCAAGCAUAAACCCAACAAAUUCACUACUUUGCAUUCACUUUUAAAGUUUGUUUAUUUAUUAUUUAUUUUUUAACGACAUUUAGUUUUAAAGUUUAAUUAAACUAAACAGAUGAAGAAGAAAAUAAAUUAGUUUGUUGAUUUACAUAUUAAAUUUUAGAUAAUGAAUGGAUAAAAUCGGGACGUUGGCAUUUAGAAUCGCAACUUGCAACAUAAAGCAAGAAGAGUGUGUGAGUAACAAGCUUUACCAUUUCUCUCUUAUAUACAUAUUUAUUAGGAUGAGUUGAGACUUGAUAUUUUUUUCCCUCUCUCUCUUAAAAUAACUUGUUUUUCAAUUUUUAAUCAGGUAUAUAUAAGAACCACGUUGGUCUUGGGAUUUGAACGAAUUAUCUUUAGUUCAAGUGAAAGAUAACAAAUUAACUUUUCAAAAAAAAAAAUCAUAACAAAUUAUUAUACAAGCCAAAAAAAAUUUAUUCACGAUCAACUCUUAUUAUUAUAUCAGCAAGUUACUAAAGGAUUAUAUUUCUUUUUUCUUUUUUUUGGUCUGAACCACGAGGUGGUCCUAAGUGGGCCCCAACUGUAAGAGGCACCUUGAAGUCCGUACCACAACUUAGACUAAUCUUCACUCGCACCAGGUCGGUUUGUAAAGGGUAAAGUACUGGCCAAAGUGGUGACUCCAUACGAGAACGGGGCUUGAAUCACUGACCUCUCUUAAGAAGUGAAAGUGUCAAACCACUUACACCAACCAACUUUGGUUUAUAACACUUGUAAUAAUUCAAAUUAUUUCAGUCACGACAAUUACGAUGAUUUUUCAUUUGCUCGAUGGCAUGGGGCAAUUGCUGGAUACGAAAAGGCCCAGCAAUCAAGCCCAACAGAAAAAGGACCAAAUGGAAGCCCAAUACUGUUUCUACUCUUGACACACAAGACACAGCAAACGGCAUCUUCUUCAAGCAAGACUUAUUAACACAUUUAUUAAUUUUAUUUCUUUUAAUUUCAAUAAAAAAUUUGAUAACAAAAUAGCUAAUUUGAGAAAUAUGGUCAAGAAGUGUGUGCAAAUUUUAAAAAAUAAUAAAAUAAUAAUAAUUUUCAUAAAUUUAUUAAUUGUAUUUUCUAAUUAAAAAAAGAUAUUUUUAUGUCUAUAUAAUAUAUAUGAGGUUAUACGUGGAACUGUAUGAAAGAUCAAACUUUUCAAUAUUAAAUUUUACAAAAAUAUAGUAUAGGAUUAGGUGAUUUUCACCUAAGAAUUUUUUUUUAAAAAAUAACCAAACAUCAUAAUUAGUUUUAAAUUUCUCAAAAUUUCUUUUGAACCUCUCAUUUGCUUCUCAAAAUAACUUCUUAUUUGUUGACAUAAAGGAAUAAUGCGAAAGUGCCUCUAUUGUAAAUUAAAUUAUUAUUAUUAUUGUAGUUGUUAUAGAACUUUAUUUCUUGUUAUACUCAUGAUACACUCAUAAAUCACAGCUUAUAAUGAUUUGAGUGGGAUACAAAAACAAAAACCUUUAGGACAGAUUUGUUUGUUUUCAUUUUUACAACAAAAUCCAUUUUUAGAUGGACAAUCCCUCACACAAUCAGAAUCUUGGGUGCAACGAAUUGGUAACCCUCCAGUGUAGGCUUCAGCACUUGGUAACUCAAAGAUUGUGAUGCCUGCAAAUUGAGGUCAAUAAUUCAUGAUUAUAGAGAAAUGAAAUAAAAAGCGAAAUGUGUUAGUAAUUAGUAAAAAAAUAUACAAAGAAAGAGAGAUAUUUGGGACAUUGACUAACCAUAUGCAACGAUCAUGAGAACGACCAAGAAAGUUAGUUUAAACGAGACUUUCUCCAUUUGCUGUAAGAAAAAGAUUAUGCAGGAUGUUUCUUUGAGUGGGAAAAAAAAUCUAAAAAAAUUGUAUGCAAGAACUUUGUUCUUCACCUAAUAUUUAUAGAGAUGUAAUAUACAAAUGGUAAAAUGGCACACCCAACUUCUAAGUUAUUUUAUAGAAAAAUCACAACAAAUCAAAUAAACUUGCAACCGAUUAAUAUUCAAAUCAUUAAACCUAGCCCAAUAGGAAACAAUAAAAAAAAGGAAAAAAAAUAAUUUUUUUCAUUUUUUUCCAGCUUCGCAUUAACAACGCAGACACAUUUUCCGUUGUUGGUAAAAUCUCCAUCCAUCUUAGCUCAUAAAUUUAAUUACAUCAUUACAAUCUCUCAAUCAACAUCUACACAGUACAUGUAAGUUGAUGAUCCCACUAUUAAUUCCAUUUCACGUUGAUUAGGGUAAAAAAAAAAAAAAGGAAGUUUUCUUGUAUUCAUGUAAUUUCUAUAAUCUCUUAAAAAUUCCAUAUGAAGUAGGUCUAUUUUGCUAUUAACUAAAUAUCCCAGAUUUUGUAUUAUUGAAUCCAUUUAUUGCCUUAAGGCUAUAUAUAUGCAUAUUUUUUAACUUUACUUUGAACUCAUCUCGUGCCAUUGAGUUUUUGACUUUCUUCUGUUUAUUGCUACCAUUUUUAAAUUAAAAAAAUUGAUUCAAUCGAUGGACUUAUUAAUAAUUGAUCAACUUAAUUUCAUUUAAUUGAUCAACCUAGUUUUCUUUCAUUAACGUUUUAUAGCAUGAUUCAUUCGUGAUAUAUAUUUACAACAUUUUUUUUAUGUGUCCUUUGCUUCAAUUCACUCAUAAUAAAUCUUAAAAUCAUUAACGACCAUCGUGAUUUAACUAUAAUAGUCUGAAAACAAUAUGAAAAAAAAUAUAACUCUAUGGAUAAUUCAAUUUUAAGGGUAUUAUCAGACAAAUCAUUGCACUAACAAUUUUGAUUGUUUGCUUACAAAAGUAAAAUAUGCAUUUGUAUAACUGGUUUUGCAAUAAGAAAAAAUGUUAAAAGGUACCCCAAUAUUUUCUUUCAAGUUUCAAGUUAAUUAUAUGGUUGCUAAGUGAAUUAAGAAAGUAACCUCAUUGGCCUCUCUUAUAAUAUGGAUGUCUUUUGAAUUAUCUUAAUUUAGAAUUUAUUGACAUACACUAAUUGAUAAUUAACUUUUUUGUUCUCAUAAGUGAUCUUCUUCUUUAUGCUUCACCAAUGGUGACAACAUUUUAAAUCAAUAAGAUAUUCAUUAUAUUAGCAGAAAUUACGAGGGAUCUCAACGAGAAUAUUAGAAUAACCCAAAAUAAUAAAAAGGAUGAUUGUGGCUUGAACACUGGUUCUCGCCACAAGUUGGGCUGGUUUAUGCUCAAUCCACGGCCAUAACAUCCUAGGAAAAGUUGAAUAAAUAAUAUUUUGUGAGUUCUUGAUGGAGCGAGAGUAGCGGAAGCAAAAUUGAUUGGGUAAGACAAAGCGGAAGUGGAAUUGAUAGAAUAGAAAACACUAAAUAUCAUUCUAAUACUUGACCAAGCCAACGCGAUUAGGUUACGUUUUAAUCGAAGCAUGAUUAGAUAUCAUUUUAAUCUUAAUGACUCAAUAAGAUUUUUAAUAACGCUUAAAGCGAAAUUAUAUGACGUUUUAAUCCAAACAACUCUACAAGAGAUAUUUUGAUAGAUAAUUCCAAAGGAAAUUAUAAAAGAGGAAACUAAAUUAUAAAAGAAGAAACCCACUUCCCUAAAUUAACUUAAAAAAAGGGAAACUAAAUCGCAAUUAUAAUGGAAAUAAAAUAUACUUUUUCUAAGUUAACUAAAUCUCAUGCCUUAAUUGACUCUAAUAAAAAUAGAAAGUUUAAAAAUAAUAAAAUACCAUAAUUGACUCUAAUUAAAAUAGAAAUCCUAAAAUAAUAAAAUUUUGGAAUUUUAAAAUUUCUAAAAUAACGUCCUACAUUAGUUCUAGUUGAUACUGUUAAUUUUGCAGAAAAUAUUUUUUAACAUAUUAAAAUCUUCAUAAAUCUUUUAUAGACCUUUCCUCAUUUAGGCCUUCUCGAAAAGCUAGAACUUACAAUCAAACUUUUGCCCCAUUAUAUGACAUAUGUUAGUAAAAUUCAUUUUUACAAAUGAUAAUUCUAUUCACCCCUUUCUUUAUAUUUUCUAAAAGAUCUAAAAUUUUACUCCCAUACUUACGGAAAAAUUCAACCCUUCUAAUGAUAGGCGAUGGUGAUGAUGAGAGAGAAAGAAAAAUAAAAUAAAAUUAAUUAAUAAUAUAAAAAAUUUUAAUUAUAGUAAUUUUAAAAAUAAACAUUUAAUACCCAUAACUAAGACAUCGUUGAGUUGGGUUGGGACCCCAGGCAUGGUCAUAGCAGGUAUGAAACUUUUUCAAUUGUCCGGUUCCUUAGUUAGCUCCUCAAACUUCAGAAAGUAUACAUUUCCGAGGAGGUGUCUUCACCUAAAACCAAAUCAACUUAUUUGAGCUCAACAAAAGUUUGUAUCUCCCUCUAAGUAACAUAUAUUUAUAUGGUCUCAACAUACACCUAAUAUUGAAAUUCUUUUCAAAAGCAUCACUUCAUUCAAUGAAAAGCACAUUGGCCAUUGUAUUUGCCGUCUUUUACUAAGCGGGUACCAUCAAGAUCAACCACUACACCACUUUUUAUGCUACUUGAAAGAAGAUUAUAAAUAUUUUAGAGUUCCACAAACUCUAUAAUAUAGAAAUUUAAAUCAGUGCACUACACAUAAAUUUCGUACAGAAAGAAGAUUCAAACAUCUCUAUAAACACAAACUCUCGAGAUGUUUUAGAGUUAAACAAAACUACCAUUUCAUGCCUAGAAAAAAUGUAACAAUUUUUCCCGCUAGAGUGGUUAAUAAUCAAUACGGAUUUGCUUCAAGUCACCGGAGAGGCUUUUAGAGCAAAUGCAACAAUUUUGGGUUCUAAAAUUUUGCUCUUUAAAGCGUUAUUUUGGCUUAGUGUUUCAAUUAUCAAGAAGAGGUACAAAGAUCAAUGGCUCCUACUAUCCUCGUUUUAGCUUAAUAUAUAUCUCUCAUUUUAAUAAAUAUGGUUGUUUCUUAAAAAUUUAAUUAAGAUCAUUGGCUUUGAGUUACUACUAUAGGAUUCCGAAAAUGAUCAGCAGCCUAUUUCUUCUUCAUCUUCAAAAUCACCCAACAAACCAAAGUUUGUUCAAAUUUAAAUGUCCCUGCUAUAUUAGUACUAACGUUUGUCUCAAAAUUUUGCUCGAUUAAUCCUUGACUUCAAAAGGAACAACGAUCUUUUCCUAUUCAUAGUUCCUUUUUUUUUUAACUCAUAUUUUAAUGAGUGGGUAAAAUUGAGUUUUAAAUUUUAAUGUUGAUAAUCAAGCCAGCUUUUUUUUUUUAUUUACGAUUAAGCCAACUUUUUUUAAUUAGAUUUGAAAAAUUAGGAGAGUUUAGGAUAGAAAAAAAAAAAUUAAGAGAGAAUCCUAAUCUGUAAUACCCCACACCCGAUUAUUUUUGACCCUUCACCUAUAUAAAUUGAGCGCGAUUAAACGCUCGGAUAGUCGGAUUUUUUUUUCGUCACGGGUCCGGUAUUAGCUUAAUUUGUAUUAAGCUUAAGUGGAAAAAAAAAAAAGAAGAAAGAAGAGGAAGAAAAAGUCGGGUUUUAUAUAUGGAAAAAGGGGGGAAACUGUUUUUGAAGAGAAAUGAGAGAGAGAAGGCACGAGAGAGAGAGAGAGAAAGAGUUUGACCCGACAUUGACCCGGAUCCGACCCGGAAACCCGCGACCUUGACACGAUUGUAUCUCCCGAUUCCGGCCACCUCACCGGCCGAGCUUGGUAUCGAUCUGAAGCUUGGAAGCCGACCGUUAUAUCCCAGCUGUCCUCGUCGCCGGAAACCGACUAGAACGCCGGCGAUUUGAGCUCGAAAACUCGCGGCCAAAACCCGUUUUCCCCGCCAUCGAUUUCGCCGGAGUUUGGGCACACUUCCAGCUAGGUUCUACUCCUCACGUCACCAGCAUCAUUUUCCGACCAACCUCGUGACCCGAAACGGCCGGAUUGCCGGCGAUCAACCACUUGGGAAGCUCGCGGUUUUGGAAGCUCGAUUUGCCGCUGUUGCCGCGCGUGGGAGGUCACCGCCGGCACCAUUGGACUCAGCGUGGCUUGAAAUUUCAGUUCUGAGCUUCCCGUUGCCGUCGGAUGAAUUCCGGUGACCGUUGACCGGCAAGGGUAUUUUGGUAAUUUCACAGUCUAAGGGCAAUUUUGUAAUUUCAGAUUUUGUGGGUAUUUUGGUAAUUGCUGUAAUUGAGGAUAAAGUUGGUAAUUUAUGAUUUUGAGGUUAAUUUGGUAAUUUUGAUAUGAGGGUAUUUUGGUAAUAUUGAAUUCAAGGGCAAUUUGGUAAAUUCAUAAACUUGAGGGUGAAUCUGUAAUUUGUGGAAUCAAUGGAUAAUUUGGUAAUUUUAAGUUAGGGCAGUGAGGUAAUUUGAGAUUUCGAGGGUAAUUCGGUAACUUAAGUUGUUAAGGACAUUUUGGUAAAUUUACGCUCCGAGGGUAAUUUCGUAAUUUUUGACAUUGUGGUUAUUUAUGUGAUCUGAAUUAAGGACAAUUUGUUAAUUGAAGAUUCUGAGGAUAAUUUGGUAAAAUAAUGAUGUUGGGGGCAUUUUGGUAAUUUUGGUAUGUAGGGGUAUUUCGGUAAUUUUGUGCAUGCGGGAAUAGUUUAUUGUUGAUAGAUAUUCGUUUCGAGAUUUAUUAUAUAAAAUUGGUUGUAUUUCAAAGUUACGGAGAAUGAUUAUGGCGUUUCCUUGAUUAGGAGGAUUCGCAAACGAGAAUUUAACCCGCGGACGUUGUCGACACCGAGUCUGGACAUUGUCACUGUGAGUGGAAUAUACAAAACCUAUUUUCAAAGUACAUGAUGAUUUUAUGAUACAGUGCAGUAUGUUUUGAUAAAUAAGUGUUUAAUGCUUCGAUUUAAUGAUUUUCUAGAAAAUUGAUUUUUAUUUAUGUGUUGAUAUUUAUUGUUAUUGAGAAUGAGUUUGAUUAAUGAUUUUACUAUCGAUUUUGAGUAAAUGCAUGAGAUUAGAAUUGAGUAGAUUUGAGAUAUGUUGAAUAGAAAGAAAAUGAGAUUUCAGAUGUGAUUAUAUGUUAAUGUACAUGUGUAUAAAUGUUGUUUUUGAAAUCAUUAGACAGUACCCUUCCCUCUAGAUACAGAGAUACAGAUAUGAGAUACAGAUCAGUUAUUGAGAUACAGUGAUACAGAUAUGGGAUACAGAUCAGUUAUUGAGAUACAGAGAUACAGUGAUACAGAUAUGAGAAACAGACAGUUGAGAUACAGGCCUUUGGGGCCCGUCUGAGUACACACAGAGGCUUUGGGCCGUGUACUUGGGCGCUUUUGUCCUUUGGGGACUAGAUUAUGCAUGCAUAGAUAUGAUGAGAUAUGAGAUAGUAUUUCCCUAUCUAUCCAUGUAGCUCCGGGGCGUGACGUUACCUAGAUAGUGCGUCAUUGCCCGUCCGUUGAGGUCCAGAUAUGAUAAGCUUUUUUCCCAUCUAUCCGUUGUAGCUCCGGAGCAUGAUGGUUCCUUGAUUGCCCGUCCGUCGAGGUCCGGAUAUGAUAAGAUUAGUCCCCUGGGUACUUGUUUGAUGAUAGUUUUUGGUAUUCAGUAUUUGAUAUGAUAAGUAUUAUAAUUUCAUCGAUUUUAUGCAGAUUUAUGUAAUAUAGUAUUUCGGUGAUUGAUUUGACUUAAAUAAGUUUAUGUAAGUUCUUAUGAUAUUUUGAUGAAAUUGAUUUGAGAAAUUGAUUUGAGAAAGAUUGAAUCAUUUUAAAUAGAUUUAUUUAUUUGUCAAAAAUUACUAUCCACUCAUUGAGCUUACUGAGUUUUAUACUCAUCCCGUUUUUAUUAUAUUUUCCCCCGCCCACAGGAGAUUUGCAGGUACAUCAGUCGACCCAGUAACGAUAGUUAGAUUUGAAAUUGUGGCCACAUGAUGGUGACAGGAUGUCGUAGAUUUAAUUAUUUUGAUAUUUGGGAUAUUGCGAAUUGUAUUUAUUUAUUAUAUUUUGUAAUUAAGGAUAAUCAUUGUAUUUUAACAUUAGAAUGAUUUUGGGUGGUAUUUGGUAUGUUGGCUUGAGAAGUCGGUUGUGGAGGAUGGAUGAAUAUUGAAUUAUUUUGGAAGUAUUGUUUUGUAAAUUGCAGGUUGAGAAUUAUAAUAUGAACCGAUAUCUAAAGGUCCGGCUUCUAAAUCAAAUAAAAGCUUAUUCAUAAUUAACCCCCGGCGAUGCCCAAAAACUCUAUGAACAAAUUAUUAUACAAGCAAGUUACUGCAUAAUUAUAUUUCUUAUUCGUGGAUAGCACUUGUAAUAAUUCAACUUGAUUUUCUUUCAAUGACGAUUAUAGCAUGAUUCAGUCAUUCUAUUCACGAUAAAUUUUUAUUUUUUUCGUGUCCUUUUGCACCUUGGCAUCAAAGCACAAAGUACAAGGGGCAAUUGUUCGAUAUGAACUUCAUCACCGGCAUGGUUAACAGUAACAUGGCCCAAUAAGCAAGCCCAAGUGAAAAAGGACCAAAGGGCAGCCCAAUAUUGUUUCCGCUCUUGACAUCCAGGAAAUCAAGCAAGACUCAAUAAAAACACAUUUAUUAAAUAUUAUUUUUUAUUUUAAUUUCUCAAAAGAAUUGAUAACAAAUAGCUAGGUUGAGGAGUAUAUGUGAAUUACAAAAAAUCAUAAUAAUAAUUAUCUUCGUAAAUUUACUGAUAACAUUUUCUAAUUGAAUAAGGGUAUUUUCUAAUUGCUAUUCGGCUUGCACAAUUAUCUUCAACACUUUGUAGGCUUGGUUGCUUGGUCGUUUUGAUUUGUAGACUUGUAAUGGAUUCAGAGAUUUUUGUUCUUUGAAUAGUGGGGUGUUCCUUUCGGGGAAAAAGGGAAAAAAAGAAAAAAAGAAAAAUAGAGCGAUGUUGGCUAAGCAAGGUUGGUGAAUGGUAUUUGAACAUUCUUUGGGCUGAAAGCUCGAUACUUUAAACACAGUUCUUUUCUUACCGCAAAGCAUGGUCAUAACCCUUUUCUUAUAUCUGUUGAAGUCUUCUAUGAGGGCAUGGCGUUCUUGAACGAGGUAUUUGGUGACAUAUUAAGUGUGGGUCACGCAACUCACAAGUGGAUGUCUAUCACGGCAAUUGGAUUCCACUGCUCAAAUAUUUUCGCGCAGUCUCUAGUGCUUCGUUUUGAUACAAAAGUGUCUCCUUGUGCCAAUGGAUAGUAAUCGUAGGAAUAAUGCUUUGUUGCGGAGUAUUUUGUGCCGAUGGAUGUUGAAUCCAUUUUUUGAAUUCAUUUGCCUAGUACUCCAACGGCUAAUGAGGUGUUACGACAUUUUGCGAAAGAUGGCAUUUCUACUGUUAAAUAAGGGUGUCUUAUGUCUUUGGCUUGGGAGAAUAUGGAUGUUGCGAAAAAUUCUAGUAGUUCUUCAAGGGAUCGGAAUAAGAUCUGGCAUUUAAAUGUUCUUUGGAAGGCCAAAUUCUUUUUGUGGCAGGGUUACAUAGUUAUGUUUCAUUUAGUUAACGGCUAUUUGAAUUGAAGAAAGGGUUUGAUGAAUACAAACAUAGGACAGUGCAGAGAUCGAAACCAAACUUUAUGUUAGUGUAAGGUGCCCAAAAUCUUUUGCAUCGCUGCACUGCUUAAUUCAAAAUGUUCUUACAAAUGCCUUUGGCGGUCGGUCACAAUUUAAUAUAUUACCCAAUGGUGUUCUGUGUCAAACUCUAUUUUGAGAUUUUUGUGUUGAACUAUUCUUCUAUGGAUGUUUGGCAAAUGGUUUUGAAGGUUUUUGACACUUUUGGAGGACUGAUCUUGAAUUCUUAUGUCAAUUAUCAUGCUUUAUAUGGGUUGAGUGGUUCUACAGGAAUAGAUAUCAAUUGUCACACACGCACACAAUUACACGCACACGCUUAUAUUUGCAAUGUUGUAAAUAUUUUACAACACUGAUUUUAUGUCAAAACAAAGUUAAGUUUAUAGUUUAAUCACUACGGCUUCCAUCAAAACAAAAUCCUGAAUCUGCCGUUGACUAAGAAUGCUCGAGACUUUUUUAUUAAAUGAGGUCCUGGGGAUAAAAUCUUAGGUGAAACAAUCCCAUAGGACCCGCACCGUCAUCAUAUAGAUGUGGUGAGAUUUUCUGAUUUUCAAAUUUAAAUUUGACAAACAUGAGAGACAAUGAUGGUGGGACUGAAAAUUUAAAUUUAAUUGGACGGUGCCAUCCCUCUCUCAUGUUUGUCAAAAUUUAAUUAAUUAAAUAGUUUAACAUAAGUUUUUUUCAACAGCAAGACAAUGUUUGUUUUAAUGUAAAGUCAGUGUAUUACGUCAAAGCGAGAAAGGAUUUGCUAUUGGUUUAAUAAUAUGGUUUGACACUAAACUGAUUUAUUAUUGUGAUAAUUGUCUUAUUUUUCUUAGUUAUUUUGCGAAUGUGAUUAAACCGAUUAAAUUGGUUCUCUUUAAUUUAGUUUAGCAUAUACAUAAAUGUAUCCCUAUAGCAAUCUCUACGGAUAAUACACUCGCAGAUUGAUCGGUCAAACUCUCGCAAAGUUUUAAAAAAACUGAAGUAACAAAAAUAAAUUAGUCCGAUCAUUGACCUGACUAGGCUGGAAUGCAAACAUUAGCAUGUGGGUUCAUUUUUUUUUUUCCAAGUAAAUUUUUUUUAAUCUCUACAGUGUGAGUAAACAGCAAUGCAAUUUAUACCACACAAGUAAAAAUAAUUGAAGAAAAUAAAUAAUAUGAAAUAUAAGAAAAUUAAUGAUAAAAUAUGGUUAUAUUGGUUUGAAUAAGAAAAAUAUUUUCGUAUAAGAAUUCCAAUCUUAUGCAAUUUAUACCACAGGAGGAAAAAUAUAUAAUUAAUUCAAUCCAACUUAUUCUAAUUAUUAUUAUUAUUUUGAAUAUAUAAUUAUUAUUAUAUAGAUGUGGAAAAAUAUAUAAUUAAUAUUGCCAGUAUCGCAUACAGUUGCAAAGCUACAGCCACUACUAAAAAAAUGACCUUUACUAACACUUAGUUUCUGACACUUUAUAAAAAGUAUCAGUAAUUAUGUACAUAUGCACCAUUUUCCGCUUUUAACAAACAAAUAUUAUAAAUUAUUGAUACUAACGUGUCAGUAAAUUAAAUAUUAAAAAUCACUGAUACUAAAGUAUCAAAAGUUUAAAAAAAAUAAUUAGAAUUUGUAAAACUUUGAACUCGAACCUAAGACUUCUAAAAUUUAAAAUACUUAUGUUUGUUCCGCAAACCAUCAGACCGAUAGAAUUAAGACCCAAAUAUUAUAUUAAAAGAUUAAAGAACAAAAAUUAAAAAACAAAAUCCCCAAUCGAUCUCUUCCCCUCAUUUCGUCUAAGUGAAUAAAACUUACAAACGAAAACUUACAAAAUCCCUAAAUCUACCACGCCGCCGACGCACCCAAAACCUCUCCUAUCACUGCCGUCACUCGACUACCCACUGCCGUCGACUCCCAUGCACCAAAGUCUGGUCUCUUUUGCUGUCAUCAUCUCCUGUGCACCAAAGUUCAAAAUCCCCUGUCGUGAAAGUUCAAAAUCCCCUGUCGUGAUUUAUGAUUUUGUGUCAUCAUCGGUAAUAAAUCCACUGUCGUCAUCACCCUAAGGUCGUAACAGCUUCCACCCAUCAUCAAUACUCAGCUAUUCAUCAUUGGUAUAAUAUAUCAGCCUUUGUGGUCGCUGUUGUACUACCUCAAUCUCCGUCGUCGCUUCCGUACUGCCUCAAUCUCUAUUCAAGGUAAGCUCAAUCUUAUGACUGCCUCAAUCUCUGCCUUUUUUAAUUUAUUUCUUUCAUUGGUCUUCUUUCUGUGCUCUCCUUAAUUUCUAAUUGACUACAAUUACAAAUUAAGAUUUAUUUUGAUAAUUUUGUUAUAAUUAUUAUUUUGACGAGAUCAAAUUUAUUUUGAAAUAUUUAUAAAGAAAUUUUAUUUUUCUGUCCAUUAUCGCCAACUUAUUACUUAUACAUGCGACGUGAUAGAAUUUACUUACCGCACACAUUAACUAUACUGAUUUUGAUGAAGUAUUGCUCUUGAACAUGUACUAGAAUUAUUGUUGCAAUGAGUCUUUGAUUAUCGACAUGUUAUUAGCAUCUCUUAAUAGAAAUAUCUAGGUUAUCCAUGAUGACUUUAAAUUGAAAAAUGGGCUUAAUUGAAAAUGGCAUGAUGGGCAAAUAAAAGUCAUGAACAAAAAAGUGAAGUGGAGGGUAAAUGCAGUAGCAUUAGGCAUCUGGCGGCAGUAGAGGCAAGUAGGUGGAGAUGGUCCUGGUGGGUAUUGUAAUGUAAUAAAGAAAAAAGGAGUGGGUUGCAGUUGUAGUUGCCUAUUGUAGAGUGAGAGGGACUCAUGAACCCUUUUGUAAUAUUAACAAAUAUGUACACACAUAAGCUAUACAUUUGUCUAUGUGUACUUAAUUCAACUAGAUUUGGAUUGCUAUGAAGUCGGGUAUGAAAAUUAUGUUUGAUUUUAGUUUUCAAUGGAAAUUUCAAAGAGAAUCCCACGCCAUUGAAAUUUCAAACAGGGAGGAGAGUUAAAUGGUUGUUUCCCUUUUUUCUAUUUGGUUCUUCCCAAGUUGAAAUGAAAACGAACAGUAGAAUAACAUGGUCUUGAUUGGGGUGAGCAUUUGACUUGGUUCAAUCCAAACUGAAUCUAAUUGAGCUGUAUUAUGGCAGUUCGGUUCAAUUCGAUCAGGCAAUAAAAAUCAAAUGAUUCAUGUGAUUUAUUUAAUCUAUAAUAAAUAUGAAUAAAAGUGUAUUUGAAAAUAAGUGUAAUAUUAUAAACUUAUGUUGUUAGGGGAAUUAUUAGAGAUUACAAAAAUGGUAGGAGAUAACAGUAACAGAAAAAUUGGCAAUCUACCUUGGGAAAAAUGAAGAGAAUAAUUCUUCUUGCUGCAUUUCUAUUGUCAGCAUUUGGUUUUGCUACGAGUAUGUAUACUUAUAUCAUGGGAAGAACCAGAACUGCAACUAGAGUACAUAGGCAGAUGCAACUAGUUAGGACUGCGGAAAUUUCUUUCUCUGUGGUUCAAUUAGUUGUUACGCUUGCUAAUUUUAUUCUGGCAGAAUUGGGUGUCAAAAACAGCUUUGAUGCAUAUGUUUUCUCACUAGUCUUUGCUAUAAUUGUUGCUGCAUUUAAUAUUAUAUAUGCUGGGGGAGUUUCCAAUUCAUCAGGCUUUGCCUCUCCUAUUGCCCCAGCUGCUGAUCACCAACUGUGAAAUUCCCAGGUAUGAUUGUGAAUAUAAUUGUAAAUAUCAAGCUGCACUGGGGGAAUUCAUGUAAGCAACUCAUCACCUCUAUUACCUCCUACAAAUUUAAAUAAACUUGUGUUAGAAUAUAUGACGGCAUGGCAAUUAUGCUCGAGUCUAGGAUUAAUUUGUUGUCCCUUGGCUAAUUCUAGCCAUAUGCUACUUGAUCCUAGGCUAUUAUAUGAAUCAAGGCAUUCAUUUAAUGUAGGGGCUCACUAACUAUAUAACCCCUCUUUUGUACAUUCUUUUAUAUGUUGAAAUACAACUUUGCAUCAAUUGUCUCUCUUUUACUUUUUAGUUUGCUUUCUUUUUGUCUUAUUACAAGUUGCAUGAGUCGACAAACUUUUGAAGUGUUGUGGAAGAAGGCAAUAUAAAAAUUGUGAGAUUCCAUUAACUUAAAUGCAUUUGUAAAUUAGUAAUUCAGUCGUUAAAUGACUAUAAAAGAUUUAUUUUAUAAUUUAUAUUUAUAAUGCUAGAGUGCCUCUGUUAGAUUUAGAAAUCUUUUAUGUAAUUAACGAUUGUUUUUGUAGUACUAUGGCUACAUCAGAGCUGAUAUCAAAUAUUUGAUUGUUUGUAUCUUUUGUAGGUUCAUAACCCAAGUAUUAUUGCUGAGGACGUGGAAGCAAACAACAGCUUGUCUAUGGCCUCAUGUACAGAUCAUCAAUUGCAGAAUAUCCAGGUAUGAUUGUGAACAUAAAUGAAUCAUCAAGCUGCACUGGGUAAAUUCACAUAAACAACUUAUCACCUCUAUGAGUUCCUACAAAUUUAAAGAAAGUUGUAUGAGACGUUAAGCUUUUGAAAUAUUGUGGAAAAAGGAAAACUAAAAGUAAAACAACAUGCCCUUGAUUGGCCUUUUGUCUUUUUUCAGGGCUCUUUAUUUUGUUUAAUGCCGAGUUACAAUUGGCAAAAUGAGUUGUUUAGAAAUAACUUGAUUGGGACCAUUGUAAUUUUAUAAUUUUUGUUAUAGUUUUUGCCUGUAAUAAGAGAAUUAGAGACUUUUUAAUGUGAAAUGGCACAUUACAAGAUUAUAGUUGAAGGUUGGCUUGUAUUUGGUAGCAUUGAUUUUAGUAGAAUAAUAGAAUUAGAUGGAACUGAAGGUAAUCUUUAUUAGUAAAACUAGUAUUUGCAGUCUCUAACUCCACUCAGGCAGCAUAGUUUACAGAUAGUACCACUAUGUUUUUAAUUAAAACUUUAGCUUUGUGUUUUUUUGCUUUUUUGUGGAUAAAUUUUAAUUCAUAAGUAGGUUGUAAAAUUGAGUGUUCUCUCUCUAUACAUAUACUUUAAACAUUAAAAAAAAUUUAUAUGAUGAUUAAACAAUAUGAAGACUUUUUAUUUUAUUUUAAGUCUUAAUUUUUAUUAGUUACUUCACUUAUGAAUUAGCUUGACUUAAUAAAAAACCAUUAGGGCCCUUCUUGCUUGUUCAUCUUCUGUUUUGCUUUCAAAGCUUCUUUUGUUUCAAUUUUAGGAUUUUGUUCAAAUUACUAUUAUAAGUGCUUAAUUAUAAACCUUCUAAAUAUCUACUUUUACCUGUCCAUCUUCUACUGCUCAUCACUCGUUUAUGUUUUAAUGGGUUUGUUGCAAAGUUGUUAUUAGUGGCAACAUGUUACAAUAUUGUUGCUUUUACUUCACUUUGAUGAAGAUAUACCUAUUGAGGUUUUAUAUCUACAUCCACAUUUGCAUUAAAGUGGUUAGUGUUGGUGUUCACAAGUUGCUUCGGCUUCAAACAUCACUAUAUAAUCAUGUAGAUCAACACUCGUUGAAAAAUUUUUCUUAUUAGCAUGGUUUUCAAGAUAUUUAGUGUUUGCCUGUAUAAUUUUGGAUAGAAGAGUAACAUUAUUGGAGUUCAUUUCAAGUGCAUAAAGUGUUUUGAAUUGUUAUCACACGAAUAUAUUUAAAUGAAUGAUAAUUAAGAAGUUUACAAUUUAACUUUUGGCGAAUAACUUCUUGUUUGGAAAUUAAAGUUCAAGGGAAUUGAUGAGUACUCGAUGAAAGAGCUCUCGCAACUUCGUGAUCAAUAGGCUACAUAAGUUGCCAAGUUAAUUAAAACCUACAAUCGCGAGGUAAUAUAUGAGUAAUUUAGGACCACUUUUGCUUCCAAAUCUCUAAGACUUAUUUUUUGUGGUGUUCUAAUUGAUUUUAUGUGCUUGUAGGUGGGGGAAAAAAAUGAAGCCACGUAUGGAUAUUCAGGAUAUUCUUGUGCUUAUUAUUGUUGGUUAAUGUUCGUUGAAAUUGAAUUUAGUACUUUGUUGCUUAAAACUUGUCGAAAACUUAAUUUGAUACUUAUGUUCUUUUUUUUUCCAAACAAUGAUGUAGUUGAAUUAUGUUAAUUUAAGUGAUGUAUUUGGGAUAUUUAUUAUGUGAAUUGUGUUGGGAGAUUUGAUAUAUUUAAUAUAUUUAUUUUUUUUAAUUGUAAAACAAACUGGAAAAAUAUAAUUAAAAUAAAAAUAUAUUACUAACCAAAAGCAGCAUAACAUCACUAAAUACUGACUCAAUUUUAAAUAUUGAUAUGUAAAUAGUAUCAUUAAAUGUUUACACUUCGUAUCAUUAUUUUAGUGAUACUAUAGUGACAUGAAUUACUGACACGUAAAUAGUAUCAUUAAGUACUAACGCCAUAGUGUCAUUAUUUUGGUGAUACUAGAGUAACACGAAUUACUGACACGAAAAACGCUGACACCAAAAAUUAGUGUCAGUGUGUUCUAGCUGGAGCAUUACUGACACAAUUAACAAGUGUCAGUAAAAGUUAUUACUGACACUAAAUUGGUGUCAGUAAAGCCCAUUUUUCUAGUAGUGAGCCUUGCAGCUUGAACAACCUUCGGAUAGUCUUGACUCUUGAAUCCAAAUACUCCGCUACACUUGAGUGUAGCCAAUGAACCGUGGUCCUUCCUUAGCUAUAAUAUGAUCCGGUGAUGAAGUAUCACAUAUGCAAUUUUUGUAACGGAUAGACAAGAUGAAUUUAGGUGAAGUGAAAGCAUAAAAAAAAACAUACCACAUAAAUGAAUCCCUUCAUGAUAUGUUUAGAACAGAGUUUUAUACAAGGAGCCGGUAUAGUGUCGAGCUCUCAAAAGUUGUCUUUGGCUACCAUUUGGCAAAAAUUAAAUAAAAUAACAUAUUAAUUUAGAAAUUAUAGAAAAAAUAUUAAUAGUAAAAAAUAAAUAGAAAAUAAAAGAAAGAUAUAAUAUUGUCAAAAUCAAGAAAAAAUUUAUAUAAUAAAUUAAAAAUGUUUGUUUCAUAUAUUAUAUGUGAUGUGUCAUAUUUAACAUCAAAAUUUUCUAGAUGUUUUGUUAUUUUUCUCAACUUUGUUAUUCUAAAUAACCCAAAAAGUUUUUUUUCCCGCCCGUUUUAUGUUUGACGUCCUUAUUGCAUGUUUGACCCCCAUUCUUACAUCUUUCACGUGACCUGCUGCAUGUUGACAUGGUUUUCAUGUUUAACCUCAUAUAUUACAUGUUUGUCCUCACUUGUUACAUGUUUCAUGUGGAUUGUUGCAUGUCUUAAAUAAAGCCAAAAAAUAAAAAUUAUCCCACCAAUUUUAUGUUUCACGUCCGCGUUGCAUGUUUGAUCUCCGUUAUUGCAUCUUUUAUGUGAACUGUUGCAUGUUGACGUGGUUCUCAUGUUUAACUUUAUGUGUUGCAUGUUUGACCUCAACUGUCGCAUGUUUUACGUGACCUUUUUACACGUAAAUUUCAUGUUGUAUGUUUGACCUCACUUCUUGCAUGUUUCACGCGGAUUGUUGCAUGUCAUGAAUAAAGCCAAAAAAUAAAAAAUUUCCCACUCGUUUCACGUUUGUAUACCUCCAUUGUUGCAUCUUUCACGUGAACUAUUGCAUGUUUCUCAUCUUUAACCUCAUCUGUUGCAUGUUUGACCUUUGGUGUUGCAAGUUUUACCUGACUUUUUUACAUGUAAAUUUCAUGUUGCAUGUUUGAUCUCACUUGUUGCAUGUUUCAUGUGGAUUUUCGCAUGUUUGAAUAAAGCCAGAAAUGAAAAUUUUCCCGGCUGUUUCAUGUUUCACGUCUGUGUUACAUGUUUGAUCUUCAUGUUGUAUCUUUCACAUUAACUGUUGCAUGUUGAUGUCGUUCUCAAGUUUAACCCCAUCUGUUGCAUGUUUGACCCCAUAUGUUCCAUGUUUUAUGUGACCCUCUUACAUGUAAAUUUCAUGUUACAUGUUUGACCUCAUUUGUUACAUGUUUCACAUGGGUUGUUGCAUAUCUUGAAUAAAGCCAAAAAAUGAAAAUUGUUCCACUUGUUUCAUGUUUCACGUUCGUGUUGCAUGUUUGACUUCCGUCGUUGCAUCUUUCAAGUGAAUUUUUAAUUUUUGCACGUUGAUGUGGUUCUCAUGUUUAACCUCAUCUGUUGCAUGUUUGACAUCAGAUGUUGCAUAUUUUACAUGACCUUUUUAAAUAUAAAUUUCAUGUUAUAUGUUUGACCUCACUUGUUGCCUGUUUCACUUGAAUUGUUCCAUGUCUUGAAUAAAGAGAAAAAUUGAAAAUGGGUGAGGAAGACAAAGUAAUAGUGCAUAUAAUCACGAAGUUGGCUAGCCAACUUAUUUAACAAUGAAUCUAGUGGUUAACCACUUCCACUCCAGAGACACCCAACAAUGAAACGACUAGCCAAUAGAUUUAACGAAGAAUUAAGCAGUUUAUCGCUUCCACUCCGGAAACACUCAACAAUUAAGUGGUUAGUCGACUAAUUUAACAAGGAAUCAAAUGGUUAACUGCUUGCGUUCAAGAAAAUAGCUAACAAUGAAACAUUUAGCCAAAUUGUUAAGCAAAGAAUUAAGCAGUUAGUUGCUUCCACUCCAAAAACAACUAAGUAUGAAACAGUUACUUAGCUUAUUUCACAACAAAUGAAGCGGUUAACUAGUACAACGAAUGUUUGACGUUGAUAUUUCAUGUAUCACAUUGUCUAACACAUGUAUAAAUAUCAUGUUGCAUUCAAAAUUUCUUGACAUUUCAAGUGAUAAUUUAUAAUCAAAAUUAUUUGUUUCAUAUUCUUUUUUAUUAUUAAUUAAGUUUAAUUAAGCCCCAUCUAUUAAGAAAAAAAAAUGAAAUGUUGCCUUAGUGUUAAAAUUAUUUGAUAAUUUAAGUGAUCAUUACUACUCCAAGUAAUAAUUUAUCAUUUUAGUUAUUAUUUGUUUCAUUAUUUUGUAAUUUGUUUAAUUUUUCACACGAAAAUAACUAUGGUGACAAUUUUAAAUUACCAAUUAAACCUUCUUCUUUUUUUUAGUGCAAUUGGUAAUUUGUAAAUUUUUUAUUUUAAAAAUCAAAUAAUACAUACACACAUUAUUAUUUUGAUAUUUCAUCAGAGCUUGUAAAAUGAAACCCAUAAACAAAGGCAUCCCAAAUUUUGUAAUUACAAAAAAAAAAAAAAAAAACGUAAAGAAGAGAGUUGGCGGGUGCACGCCAUACGCGAAUUAAUUUUCACCAUCAUCUUCCACCAUAUGUCGUGAGCAAUGGAGGCUUUCCCUCCCCACUACCAUUACAAAAAAGGUGUCGAAAAAGGUGUCGACCUGUGUCACACCCCCAUCCAAGAAGUGAGCUAAAAAUUAUGAAACUCCAAAGCACUGUCUAAGCAUAGCACACAGGCUACUUCCAGCAUCUCCAUUAACAAAAUACUUGAAAAAAGCAAGGCAUUCUAUGAAAACAUGCUCAAAGAUUCCAAAAGAAAAUUGACAUUUAAACACAUAAGAAUCAAUCUUAAGAAUCCAUCAAUUUUGCAAUCAAGCGAAAAAAAGUCAAUCUCUGAUCUAUAAGACCAAAAUUCAAAGUCUAUAAUUUCAAUGAUCAAAUAACAAAUGAUGUACAAAUAAAAUUCAUGGAAAUCUAUAGAAACCUUUGGCAUUAUUUUAGACCAUGUAAAAAGCACAGGCCUUGUUCAAUAGUCCCUUUAAAUUAUUGGGUUGGUUCAAUUACUAUACAAAUUUGCAGAUAUAAUCUAGACAUGUAAAGCACCUAGAAUAUAACAUCUUAGCUCAAAUUUAGUUACAGUUAUUACUAUUUCUAUGACCCAAUACAGAGUUACAGAAAACUGGUUUAUUGACAGGAAACGCCAAUAACCUAAGCUUCUGAUUUUCUUUAAAAAUUCAAUACUAUUCAGAAUAUUGUGAAAACUUCCAAAAUAUUAUUAGACACAACAUAUAAAAUUUUCAAGCCAUUUGGACAACUCCAUAAUUGGUUCUCACAGGAUUGAACUAAACAAAUCAAAACUGUCUUUUUAAUUCACACAAAAACAGCUGAGCUUUGGUGAUUUAUUAAAAUUAAAAUACUCAAUAUGUUGGGAUGAAAAUUCCCAGAACAUAAUUACACAUAUAACUUGAUAACGUAUUAAAAGUUCAAGACAUUCUGAUAUCAUUAAGCUAAUGUUUCAUAAGAUCAAACACAAGUGAAUAGUUCUGUCAAGGGGUUUAGGGCUAAAGUAGUGGAGUUUGAAAAAUCAUAAAAAACAAAAGAGAACCAGUUGUUCAAUUACCAAGGAACUUUUAACAUUUAAAAUACAUUUAAAAUAGACUUAUUGAAGUUUAAUAUCUCAAAAUUUUAGCUCAUGUUGACACCAAUAGAUUAUUCGUUUAUAACACCAAACAUGGUACAUACACAGUUUUUGAAAAAUUCCAACAGCAACUGACCAAUUUGACGAAUCCAUUAAAAAUCAACCAUUAGUUCAAUUCAUUACAAAAUGUCCAGAAUCGAAAUAUACAAUUUAGCUUGUAUUACUCAAAAUUUGAAGCUAAUCAAGCAUCAUUUAGUCAUAUUUUCAAACAAUCAAAGUUAUGAUAAUAGUUCAACAAUCUUUAAAUUUUCUGCAGAAUCAAUAAACUAUUUAUAAUCUUUUCAGUUCAAUAAUCAAUUUUCUGGCAAAAUUAGACAUGCAAAACCAACAACAACCUUACUUUUCAGUUUUGAGAUAACAAAACAUCAAUUGCACAAAGUUACCUACCUAAAUCACAAGCUUUAACUUCCUAGCCUCUUAAUAAAGCUUUCUGUCACCUUUGCAAGUAUUAACCUCGGCCUUGACAUUACCAAAAAGCCUACCCAAAAUAAAAUUAAAAAAAAAAAAAGAUUAUCAAUCACACUUCCAUUAAACAAAGUCAUAAGAGCUUAUUUAAAAAUUGAGGUGUCUUUUACCUCUUGACGAAUAGCUCAAGUCCAAACUUCCAAUCUAUAGCACUACAUAAUUGAAACAUACAACCACCGAUCAACAAAUAACCCAAAAAAUUGCUAACAGUUUCAAUUAAAAAUAAAAGCUGGUGAUUAUAUAGCAUCAGUAUAUAGCAUUAAAUCAUCAAGGAACAGUAUACGAUGGUGAGUCUCUAGAAACAUCAAUAAAAGUUUCUGAAAAACAGCAAAAAAACAACUUAAAAGUAAUAUAAUGAAUAUCAACACAUAUAAAAUAAGAUUGGUCAAAAAAUUAAAAAUAAAAGAAAAAGAAGCUGAAUGGAUAAAUCUUUACAAAAUUUGUGGGUACCCAUUUUUAGUAUUCCGAACAAUGAGUGUGGAGCUCAAAACGAGCAAACAACACCGAAAACCAAACAAGAAAAAAUUAGUAUAUCAAGAGAAAAAAAUUAACUUGUUUUGAGGGUUUUCGCUGGUGGCUUCAGGAAGCCCACGCGGCCACGAUUUUGGCCAAAGCUAGGAUGACGGCAGUGAAGGUUGAAGAACUGAUGGUAUAGUCAAUGGUGGGACAGAAAUAAUGGUGGGCGGUUGGAAACGCAGCAACAGACGUGAUACCAACUUUGCCUCUCCCUAGCUCUCGUAUACAAACCAAAUACUAGGGUAGAUGACUCCAAUUGGUUGAUUAGUGUGAGAGAGACAAUGGAUUUGAUUUUAGGUAAUGAGCAAAGAAAUCAGAUGAUAGAAAUUAUGGAUUUCAAAGAGGGAAGAAAUUUAGGGAUUUCCCUUUUAAGAAAGCGAAGAAAUCAGAUCGGCGAGAGUGGGGCCGGGGGGGUUAAAUGGAUGAGAAAAAUUAUGGAUUUCAAAUGAAUGAGAAAUCUGAUGGUAUAAAAUGUUUAUUAAUAUAUACUUGAGAACCAACAUCUCAAGUUCAAUCGAACGGUUUGAUUUCAAUUUUCAAUAUGGUGUCCGGGCUUAGUGCCGGGCAUUGUAGCUUUAACCCUUAUACAACUGUUAAUAUAUAAGAACUUGUAUUGGUGAAUUUACAGACAUAAUAAAUUAGGUGUAAAAUCUAUAAUGUACUUAUCGUAAACGACAACUUUAUGGAGCAAUAAUCCUAGUUUUCUUUUCUAAUUUUAUGAGCAAGUAAAACUCGUUAUAUUUUGCUUCAUUAAAAAAGAAUAGUAAAUGGCUUGCCUAGCUUUGAGCAAAGUAUUUAGAUCAUUUGAUAUGUAAUAGGUGCCAUUUCUCAAUCUACCAGCUUUGAUAUUGACAAAAUGCAGUACACGCAUAAGCUGAUUAUAGUAAACAAUUUGGCAAGAGUUCUCUAUAGAAAAUUAAUGGGGACAAAUGACCUUAGAAAUUGAAUAAGAUGCUGCAAAUUGACCAAGUGACAAAUCCGUUCCCAUCCGAACCAUAGCUAAUUUAGAAUGAAUAUUUGAAAAUAAGAGAAGGCAAGACACAUGUGGGCACAGCAACCGAGGAAAGCAGACCUAGCGUUGGCAUGAAUUAAAAGUUAGAUAAUACUCUUACACACUAUUUUUGAAGGCAUUCAUGGCAAAGAUUAUAAUUCACUACCAGUGAAAGAAAAGAAAAUCAAUUUGAUUGUCUCAUACGUCUAGCUCUUCAACAUUUUAAAGCAACGAGCAUCUAAAUUUUAAGAAACCCAUUACAAUUUCCUUUGCAUUGAUUCUCUGCUUUGGUGAGUCUACAAUACACUCUAUAGCUAAAUUGAAGACAAAUGACACACGUUACUCUUUGGUCAUAAAAUGUUUGUCUUCCCAAGCUAGUAGAUUUGCAUCAACAAUUGUCGUAACUGAAAUGAGUAGCGAAUCAUUAACCCAAUACUUUAAUCUCAUUUUCUUCUGAAAAAAUUUCAUCUGUGACUUUAGUGUAAUAUAUGUUCUUUUCUAAUUUUAAGAAUAUCAUUUUAAAAGGAAUUGUAAAUAGCUUCCCUAGUUUGAGCAAAGUAUUUAGGUCAUCUGACAUAUAAUAAGGUCCAUUUCUCAACCUGCCAGCUUUGGUUUUCAUAAAAUGCGAUAUACACAUAAAGUAAUGGGUAUAAAACUAAAUGCACUGAAAUUUUCAAUCCUUCUAAAUCCUACAAAAUAUUCAUAAUUUUCCACACAUGAAGCAAAAGAACAAUAAUUAAAUCACACUGACCUGAUUAUACCAAAUGAAAGUCCAAAUUUUCCCUAUAGAAAAAAUAUAAAUAUAAUUAAACCUAAACAAAUGGCAAAAAUCUCCAUGGAAACUUGAAGGGACUCAAAUUGCACAAUAACAAAUCACCUUAGAAAUUGAAUAAAAUGCAGCAAACUAACCAAGUGUCAAAUCCGCUCCCUUCCGAAUCAUAGCUAAUUGAGAAUGAAUAUUUGAAAGUGAGAGAAGGCAGGAUCACAUGCGGGCACAGCAACCAAGGAAAGCAGACCUAGCAUUGGCACGAAUUAAAAGUUAGACAAUACCCAUACACAAUUAUUGGAGGUAUUCAUUGCAAAGAUUACAAAUCAUUACCGGUGAAAGAAAAGAAAAUCAAUUUGAGUGUCACAUGCGUCUACCGCUUAACAUUUUUAAGCAAUGAGUCUCUAAUUUUUAAGAGUCUUGUUACAAUUUCUUUUGCAUUGAUUCUCUGCUCUGGUGAUUCUACAGUACACUUCAUAGCCAAAUUGAAGAUAAAUGACACGCAUUGCCCUUUGGUCGUAAAAUGUUCGUCCUUCUGACUUAACAGAUUUGCAUCAACAAUUUCCAUAACUGAAAUGGGUAGUAAGUCAUUAACCCAAUGCUUUAAUGUCAUAUCUCCAAAAAAGAUUUCAUCUGUGGGUUUCUUUCGGGUAAAUGUUUCCAUUAACAUAAUCCCAAAACUAUAAACAUCCCCAUUUGUGGAUACUUGUCCUUCUCUUCCAUACUCUAUGGAUUGCAACAAUUACACAGUAAGAUAAUAUAAUUUAUAAUAUUAUGCGUAAAUGAAGAUCAAAACAAAUAAAUAACAUAUCAGAAAUUAUUAAAGAAAUAAAAAAAUAUUUAUUAUGUAACAAACCUGGUGCCAUAUAGCCUAUGGUGGCAAGUGUUUGUGUUUGAGUCAAAGAUUGAUCUUCUUUGAGUAAGGGCUUUGCCAUGCCAAAAUCACUCAAAUGAGCAACCAUAUUAUCAUCUAACAAUACAUUGCUGGGCUUUAAGUCACAGUGAAUUAUUGGCACUGAAUAACCAAAGUGCAGAUAUUCCAAAGCUGAUGCAACAUCUAUCAUUAUGUUCAAUCUUUGAAAAAUAUCCAAAAUGUAGUUGCUCGAAUACAAACACUUCUCCAGACUUCCAUGAGGCAUGUAUUCUAAUACCAAUGCUUUAAAAUCAUCACUUGAACAACUGCUAAUGAUUUUUAUAAUGUUUCGAUGGCGAAUACGUUUUAUCAUGUCACAUUCAAUAUCAAAACUCUUAAAUGCUCUUCCAUAUUGUAGGUCAAAAACCUUUACUGCAACCUCCAUCCCAUCCUGAAUUCUUGCCUUGUAAACAGAGCCAAAACCUCCUCUGCCGAUUAGAUUGUUUUCACUAAAUCCGUUUGUAGCUUGAAAAAUUUCUAGGUAUGUAAACCUUCUCUGAUUUGAUAUUCGUGGCAUAUUAGCAUCAUUUGGCAGUGGUUUCCCUCUCUUUCGAUAUCUUAAUAUAAACAAAAUCACUGCCAUCAUAAAUAUAGUACUCAAUGGCAAGACAAUCCCUAUGAGAAGAUCAUUUUUCCUUGAUGUGUGAUGGAUUCUAGUUCUGCACGGUGGGACUUGUAGAUUGGGCAUACCACACAAUAAUUCAUUUCCCUCGAAUGAUUCAGUUGAGAAAUUUCUAAAAGGUCCCUUAUUAGGAAUCUCCCCUUCCAACUUAUUGAAAGAAACAUUUAUAUCUUUGAGAUCUAACAAUUUCUCUAAAGAUAUAGGAAUAGUUCCAGAGAGAUUAUUAUUGGAUAAAUUUAAGGAUUUCAAGUUUAUCAAAUCACCAAUUGAAUCGGGAAUUGAGCCUUGUAAUCUAUUAUAUUCUAAAAAGAGAUAUUGUAGAUCUUUUAGGCCUCCAAUUGUUGUUGGGAUAACAUCUGAAAAAUUAUUCAUCGACAAAUCUACUUGUACCAAAACCUUCAAAUUUCCAAUCUCUGAUGGGAGUGGACCAGUAAAAAAAUUUGAAGACAAGUCAAGGUACAAAAUGUCCUUAAGGUUCCAUAAAGUUGAAGGAAUAGAAGUUAGCUUAUUGGAGCCCAAAUAGAGAUUCCUUAGAUUAGUGAGAUUGCCAAAGCAUGCUGGUACGAAUCCAUCAAGCUUAUUGCCCCCAGAGUCCAACUCAAACAGUGCAGCUAAACGACAAAGAUCAUCUGGGAUUGAUCCUUCCAAUUGAUUAUCUUCCAAACUCAAUAAUUGAAGCUUUUGUAAUUUGCCAACAGCAAUCGGAAUUGAUCCAUUCAAGUUGUUUCCUCCUAAAUAAAUUGCUAUCAAGUUGGUCAAGUUGCCGAUCUCUUCAGGGAUGCCGCCACUAAUGUUGCAAUUGUGCAUCCGAAAGUCUUCCAUAGAUUGAGAAAGAUUGCCUAUAGCCCUUGGAAGAAUGCCACCUAGUGGAUUAUUAUAGAAGCCAAAAUACUCCAAAUACUUGCAAUUUGACAACGAGGAUAGAAACCUCAAUUUUGGAGUUGAAGAUGUCAAAUAAUUGUCAUUUAAACCAAGCCACUUAAGGUUUCUUAAAUUGCCAAAUGUGUUUGGAAUAAAACCGGAGAAUGAGUUCUCUUCCAAUGCUAGUUUGGAGAGCUUAGAAGCAUUGAAGAUGAAACUAGGAAUUGUGCCACUAAAAUUAUUACCCCACAAGUGAAGUUCUUCAAGAUUUGGAAGUCGGACGUCUCCGCUUGAUGCAAGUCUUCCCGAGAGUGAGUUACUCUGAAGAUGAAGUGAUUUGAGUGUUGACACAUUGAAGAUUGUAGUUGGGACAACACCAACUAAUUUGUUAAAACUAAACGCCAUCCAUUCUAGAUUAUGGAGAUUACCGAUUUCAUGUGGUAUCUCACCUGUAUUUUGAAACAAAAAAUAAUUCAAAUUUAUUUUUAAUAAUAAAUUACACACUUUUAAAUCAUGAAAUGAGUAUUCGUAAUUAAAAUUAUUAAAUAUGAGUUUAAGAUGAAUUAUUAUACAUAGAUAAAAUGUUAAUAAAAUUUUAAAUUUUUAUUCUUUUUAAUUAAAUAUAAAUAUUAAUAAUUCCAGUAUUCAUGUCAUUAUUAAAUUAAAAAAAUAAAGAAACCACUCAUUUUAAUAUUAAUUUGAAUUAGUAAUAUAAUAUUUGUAUGAACAUAAGAAUUUUUUUCAAAACUAAACUUUUACAUUAUUUUUCUAGGUCCUACUACAGUGAAUAUAUGAAUUGAUAUCAUGGUGGAAGAAUAUUGAUUUCAUGUUUUAAAAAACAAUUAAUCUAUUUUAGACUUUCCUUUACAAAAUAAAAACACUUUUUUUUAUGCCUAAAUAAACGUCUGAACUUAACCGCCAUUAUCAGAAACUGUUGCUUGUUUUUUACUUCUUCUUCCCUACUACUUAUUGUAUCACUAACUUUUGAACUUUUGGUAUAAACAUAAGCAAAGAAGAAACAUUGCCAAUUAAUUCUUAAUUCUUUUACAAACUUACGUCAUGGAAUUAGAUUAAAAUUGGAUGCGCUACUGUCAUGGUAUUCUGCAAUAGCAACUGACAGAUGAAGUAGACAACAUCAAUUGAACACCAUUUCUAUUUGCAAUCUCUAAAAUUAAUUUAACUUUUCACACUUAUAGAUAUUGUUCAAUCUUUCUAAUUCUCCAUUUGAUUUUGGACCCUAGAAAGACAAUUAAAAAAAUGAACAAAAAAAGAAAGUAAAGAAAAACAUAUAAUCUGCUUGAUAGAUUAUCAAAAUUUGUCGAGUGAUCACAAAAUAAAAGAAAAUGCAAUAGAAAAGAGAAAGAGAAAAACUAACACAGUGAAAGAAAUAGAAGGUUUAUGCUUGUUAGACAUUCGUUAAUCUUAGAGCCAUUAAGUCUUAGAUUUUUAAUUAGGCAAUGAAACGAUGUAUUUUAAUUUUAAUAAGGAAAGUCUAAAAUAAUUUAAAUCAUAGACUCACUAAAAUGCUUAAACAAAAUUGAUUUUCGAGCAAAUAAACACCUGCUAUUCUAGGAACAAGCGCACAGUGGUCCAGGUAAAAUACUCGAAGUGAUAACUAAAAACAUGACAUAAAUAUAAAUCACACGUACCUUGGAGUCUGUUUUGGUAAAGAGAUAAAUACUUAAGCUUGGUCAAAUUGCCGAUUUCUUUUGGUAUGUCUCCCGACAAGCCAUUGACCGACAAAUAUAAUGUUUGUAGAAGUUUGCACCUUGAUAAAGUCGAUGGGAUUUUGCCGUCAAAGCUGUUUACGCUUAGAAAGAGGAUUUCCAGAAAAGGAAGGUUGUUGCAAAUAUUUGCCGGGAGUUCACCUGGGAGUUCACCAAAUAAUAUCUUUAUAUUCAAAAUGAAUAUUUUCUAGUAAAGAAGACUUAAAUAACAUAAAGGAAGGGAUUGGACCAGAGAGCUGGUUAUAGCUAAGAUAAAGUUUUUGAAGUGAAGAUGGAUUCCCAAGUUGAGAAGGAACGAUGCCUGUUAAGAAAUCAUUUGUUAGCGAUGGCAUCACCAAUUAUAUAAAGAUAAACAGUGAUUUCAUGUCAAAUAUUUUAUGUUGAUGUCACAAAUGCAUAUUAUUAGCCAAAACUACCUGUCAAGUUAUUAACUGACAAAUCCAAAUUCGAUAGAGAAGAAAGAUUGAAGAUUGAUGAAGGAAUGGUUCCAGUUAAGAAAUUAUUUUGUAGCCAUAACUCCUCUAAUUCUGCAAGAUUCCCGAGCUCUUCUGGAAUUUCUCCUAAAAUCCAUCAGUAACAUAUGCUUUAACUAUUUUAACUUAUUAAAAACAAAAACAAAAAAAAAGUAAAGAAAAACAUCUAAUCUGCUUGAUAGAUUAUCAAAAUUUGUUGAGUGAUCACAAAAUAGAAGAAAAUGCAAUAGAAAAGAGAAAGAGAAAAACUAACAAAGUGAAAGAAAUAGAAGGUUUAUGCUUGUUAGACGUUUGUUAAUCUUAGAGCCGUUAGUCUUAGAAUUUUAAUUAGGCAAUGAAACGAUGUGUUUUAAUUUGAAUAAGGAAAGCGUAAAAUAAUUUAAAUCAUAGACUAAGAAAGGCAUAAACAACAUGUGUCAUGAUCUUAUACAAAAUUUAAGAAAGAUUAGAAUAUGAGAGGAUCCAAAUCCCCUUAUCUAUUAUAAUUCUCUGCUGAUUCAAAGUUACCGUCAACAUUUAUUAUAAGGGUUCCAAUUAAAAUGCUUAAACAAAAUUGAUUUUCAAGCAAAUAAACACCUGUUAUUCUAGGAACGAGCGCACAGUGGUCCAGGUAAAAUACUCGGAGUGAUAACUAAAAAAAUGAGAUAAAUAGAAAUCAUACAUACCUUGGAGUUUGUUUUGGUCAAGAUAUAAAUACUUAAGCUUGGUCAAAUUGCCGAUUUCUUUUGGUACGCCUCCCGAGAAGUCAUUGAUCGACAAAGAUAAUGUUUGUAGAUGUUUGCACCUUGGUAAAGUCGAUGGGAUUUUGCCGUCAAAGUUGUUUUCGUCUAGAAACAGGAUUUGCAAAAGAGGAAGGUUGCUGCAAAUAUUUGCAAGGAGUUCACCUGGGAGUUCACCAAAUAAUAUCUUUAUAUUCAAAAUGAAUAUUUUCUAGUAAAGAAGACUUAAAUAACAUAAAGGAAGGGAUUGGACCAGAGAGCUGGUUAUAGCUAAGAUAAAGUUUUUGAAGUGAAGAUGGAUUCCCAACUUGAGAAGGAAUGAUGCAUGCUAAGAAAUCAUUUGUUAGCGAUGACAUCUCCAAUUAUAUAAAGAUAAGCAGUGAUUUCAUGUCAAAUAUUUUAUGUUGAUGUCACAAAUGCAUAUUAUUAGCAAAUACUACCUGUCAAGUUAUUAACUGACAACUUCAAACUCGAUAGAGAAGAAAGAUUGAAGAUUGAUGAAGGAACCGCUCCAGUUAAGAAAUUAUUUUGUAGCCAUAACAUCUCUAAUUCAGCAAGAUUCCCGAGCUCCUCUGGAAUUUCUCCUAAAAUCCAUCAGUAACAUAUGCUUUAACUAUUUUAACUUAUUAAAAACAAAAAAAAGAAAGUAAAGAAAAACAUCUAAUCUGCUUGAUAGAUUAUCAAAAUUUGUUGAGUGAUCACAAAAUAGAAGAAAAUGCAAUAGAAAAGAGAAAGAGAAAAACUAACAAAGUGAAAGAAAUAGAAGGUUUAUGCUUGUUAGACGUUUGUUAAUCUUAGAGCCGUUAGUCUUAGAAUUUUAAUUAGGCAAUGAAACGAUGUGUUUUAAUUUGAAUAAGGAAAGCGUAAAAUAAUUUAAAUCAUAGACUAAGAAAGGCAUAAACAACACGUGUCAUGAUCUUAUACAAAAUUUAAGAAAGAUUAGAAUAUGAGAGGAUCCAAAUCCCCUUAUCUAUUAUAAUUCUCUGCUGAUUCAAAGUUACCGUCAACAUUUAUUAUAAGGGUUCCAAUUAAAAUGCUUAAACAAAAUUGAUUUUCAAGCAAAUAAACACCUGUUAUUCUAGGAACGAGCGCACAGUGGUCCAGGUAAAAUACUCGGAGUGAUAACUAAAAAAAUGAGAUAAAUAGAAAUCAUACAUACCUUGGAGUUUGUUUUGGUCAAGAUAUAAAUACUUAAGCUUGGUCAAAUUGCCGAUUUCUUUUGGUACGUCUCCCGAGAAGUCAUUGAUCGACAAAGAUAAUGUUUGUAGAUGUUUGCACCUUGGUAAAGUCGAUGGGAUUUUGCCGUCAAAGUUGUUUUCGUCUAGAAACAGGAUUUGCAAAAGAGGAAGGUUGCUGCAAAUAUUUGCAAGGAGUUCACCUGGGAGUUCACCAAAUAAUAUCUUUAUAUUCAAAGUGAAUAUUUUCUAGUAAAGAAGACUUAAAUAACAUAAAGGAAGGGAUUGGACCAGAGAGCUGGUUAUAGCUAAGAUAAAGUUUUUGAAGUGAAGAUGGAUUCCCAAGUUGAGAAGGAACGAUGCCUGUUAAGAAAUCAUUUGUUAGCGAUGGCAUCACCAAUUAUAUAAAGAUAAACAGUGAUUUCAUGUCAAAUAUUUUAUGUUGAUGUCACAAAUGCAUAUUAUUAGCCAAAACUACCUGUCAAGUUAUUAACUGACAAAUCCAAAUUCGAUAGAGAAGAAAGAUUGAAGAUUGAUGAAGGAAUGGUUCCAGUUAAGAAAUUAUUUUGUAGCCAUAACUCCUCUAAUUCUGCAAGAUUCCCGAGCUCUUCUGGAAUUUCUCCUAAAAUCCAUGGGUAACAUAUGCGUUAACUAUUUUAACUGAUUAUUAACCGACACUCAAGAAGAAAAAAAUGAAAUAAAAAAAGCUUUUGCCUGAAGAGAGAUAAAAAAAAAAUUACUCAAUAGAAUUAAAUAAUUAUAGGCUGACAGGAUUAAUAAAUGUGAGACAUUAUUAAUUUUCAUCAAUUAAUUAAACUCAUUGAUCAUACCUUGGAGUUUGUUCCCUCCAAGAUAUAACCCGAUAAGCGUUGUCACGUUGCCAACUUCUUUUGGUAUGGUCCCCGAAAAAUCAUUGAGCGAUAAAGAUAUCUUUCGCAGCCGUUUGCAGCUUGAUAAAGUGGAUGGUAUCUUGCCAUGAAACAUGUUACUUUUAAGAAAUAGGGAUUCCAAAUUGGAAAGGUGAUCGCAAAAUUUUGGUGGGAGUUCGCCAAAUAGUGUAUUGUUUCUAAAAUCAAUAGAAAGUAAAGAAGACAUGUUGAAGAUAGAGGCCGGAAUGGAACCAGAAAACCAAUUAAAACUGAGAUCAAGUGAUUGAAGAGACGAAAGAUUCCCGAGUUCAGAAGGGAUAGUGCCCGUGAGAUUUAACCCAGAUAUAUUCAAGGCUGUGACUCUAUGAGUACGGACAUCACAAGUGAGGCCCGUCCAACUACAGACAGAGCUACUUGUGUUCCAAUUUCUAGCCAAAAAAUUGGUUGGAUCAUCAGUUACAUGACCUUUCAGGGCAAGAAGGGCUUGUUGGUCUAUGGUAAUACUUGUAGUGUUGGCUGAUGCAAUCAUGAAGGAAAGAAUCAAGCAAUGGAGUAAGAGAAAUCUGAGCAUCAUCCGGGCAGAAGGAAUUCUUUCCAUGAGACUAGAAUAUUUAGAUUGUAAGUGUGUGCUUAAUUGGAUUGAUAAUGCAAGAACACUCAUAGCUGCUUCCAAGCAUAUAUAAUGAAACCGAAAUUUCGAAGAAGCAGCAAGAAAGAAAAUAGAGGAGUGAAAAGGCUAUGCUCAUAACUUGCUGAAAGGUGCAAAAUUGUAUGUGGACCCGCUGAGUCAAGGCAGUCCUUCAGGUCCACACUCAAGAUGAUUGCAGUAAGUUUUGUUUUCCUUUAUAAUCAUCCUAUUAACUUAUCGCAAAAUAGUUCUACUCAUUAAAAAAAAAUUAAAUUAUUCUCCAUAUAUAGUAACAAGACAUAUAAUGCUCCUAGAAAAAAAAAAUUAUAUUUCUAUAUGCUUUUUCUGAAUUUGAGAUAAUUUACUAGUUCUGAAAAAAAUUGUACGAACCGGUGGUGUCGUUGGGUAAAAAAGUUCUUCACGGGUCAAUGAGGAUGUCAUAAGUUGACGCAAAUUGCCGAAGUCAAUGAAAGAAGAGACAAUGAAACCGAUUAUUAUUUUUAUAUAAGUAUUCAUAUUCAUUGAAGGAAUUUAACAGUUCUCAAUGGGACAAUAGAUGUUUGAGUGUUUUUGCUAUUGGUAUGAUCAUUCAAGGAUUUACAAGUGCCAAUAAAAAUAUAGGGAAAACCUAUGGUGCAACUGUGGUACCGUGCCACAGUUGCUUCCAGCCGUUGGAUGUCAGUGGACCCCACUUAUUCAAGUGCAUCCAACGGCUGGAUGCAACUGUGGCACGGUACCAUAGUUGCACCGUAGCCGGACCCAAAAAUAUAACCAAAAAGGAAAAAUAUGUGGCUUCAAUUGUAUUUGUGAGGGACACUCAUUUCUGAUCUUUAACUUGAAUUGGUUUUUUUUUUCCUCCAAAUUAUGAAUAUCUCAUGUGGAAAUUGGAAAUUUUUAUCACCUAUGAUUGGCUAAUAUGGAAAUUCUCUUUGAGCAAUAUAUAAUUCUCUUUUAAGAAGAAGAAGUUAGUGGCCUGUUAAUUAUGUGUGCUUUAUGGGUUACAAUUAGUACUAUUUUCAUUUCACUUUUAUUAGGGAUGAUGACAGAACUAAAUUUUUAAAAUUUUCUCCGGAAAAAAUAAAUGUUUACAAAGGCGUCAUGUGCAUGCAAUCCUACAGAAUUUCGUAACUAAUAAUAAACUUGCAAGAGAUUGAGAUUGAACGAUGAUGAAGUACAGAGCAAAUGCAAGAGCAAAAGAAAGAAAACUCGUUUUCAAAAAAAAAAAACACAACAUAAUGUUUAUAUUACUUUUAUUUGCGAAAAUUUUCAAAACAUAAUAGUUAAUUCAUACAUACUGAUUAAUUUGUCAGAUGUGUAAUAUAAUUUUCGGCGAACGCGUUGCAUUAAGUCACUCCUUCAGGUCCACUCCGAAUCACUGGAUAUUUUACUCUCUUCUUAUUAUGUGGAUCCAAUCAAAACUUUCAACUUUUGGGAUUCAGCCAUCGGAUUUAAUAAAAACGUUGUUCAAUGGCAAGAGCUUUGUUUAUAUGGUUUAGUUCUUAUAUUUUAAUUUAGGAGUUUAUUUAAUUUUUAUAUAUUGAAAAAUACUUCAAAAUACUUCUCUUAUUAAAUAUAUUAGGUUCCAGCCUUUAAUAUUUUCGUUUUAAUGGUAAUACCUUACAAUAACAAUCUUGGAGAUAUUAAUGAAAAAAUUUAAUUCAUCAAAUUAGCCUAAAAAAAAUAAAAAUUAAAGAAAUUUUUAUGUUAUUAUUUUACUUUUAUGAUUAAUUUGGUAAAUUAAAUUUUUGUAUACAAUUAUUAGUAAGAUUAUUGUAAUGAUAUUAAAUAUUACUUUCAGUUAGUUGAUAUUAAUUUAUUUAAAAAUAGUUGUUUGUCAGAUUCUAGUUAAAGUACAAAAAAUACUAUUUCUUUCAUAAUGAUAUUUAUUGAUUAAUUUGGUAAUUAAUAAUUAGUUAACUUGCUAUUAAAUUUUUUUAGAUAAAUUAAUUAAUAUUAAGAAUAUUGUUGAUAGGGUAGCAUUAUAAAGGUAAAGAUAAGAAUAUAAUAUAUUUAAUACUAAUAGUAUUUUGAAGUACUUUUUAAAAUAUAAGAAUUAAAUGAGUAUUUAAAUCAAAAUACAAAAACUAAACAAGCAUUUACUUGAUAAAAAAUCACAAAAGUUGAAUGUUUCAAAAUUUUGACACCCAAGACUUAUCUAUUAAAAGAGGUCAUGAGAAUUAAAACUUAGAUGAAACAGUGCCGUAACGUUAUCACAAAGACGUGCUGAGAUUUUCCUAUUUUCAAAUUUAAAUUUGACACCCAUAAGAGAUAGCGAUGGUGAGAGUGUGACUGCUCACUUGGAAUUUAAAUUUAAUUACACGGUCGCAUUCUCUCUCUGAUAUUUUUCGUAUUCUCUUUCAAGAAGAAUAAAUUAGCGGGCCAUUGAAUAGUAUUUAUGCGUGCUUUAUGGGUUAUAACAUUUUUGUCGAUCCUUAGCUCGACUCAAAAGUCAUGAAUUGCAAAGCCAAUGUAACAGAAGACAAUCGGGUAAUGACUAAUUAAGUAUUUAUGAUGGAGUGACACUCGCAAGUGCUUCUAAGUAUUUAUGAUGAAACCUAAAUUUCUCUCCACGUGAAAGAGAAAAAUCAGAAAAUAGAGGAGAGAAAUUAAAGCGAGAAAAGAUUCCUCUCCACGUGACAACAAACGUUGAAAUGUUUUUGCUAUUCGUUUGAUGCUUCGAGGAUUCACAGGUGCCGAUAAGUCCAACAAAAUUCCGCGGCUUGAAUUGUAUUUGUUAGGGGCACUCGUUUCUGAUCUUUUAACUUGAAUUAGUUUUUGUCGAUCUCGCUGCAAAAAUUAUCUUCCAAGAUGAAGAAAUCAGUGGCCCAUCGGUUAUAACAUUUUUGUCAAUAGUCAACCCAACUCAGAAAUUACGUGUUGCGAAGUCAAUGAAAGAGAAGACAAAAGUCAAUGAAAGCGAAGACAGCAAGACAUAUGGUGGGACACUUAAGUAUCAUUUGGGAUUAAAGUAGAAAUUUAAUAAAUUUCUUAUUUCAUAAUUCUUUAUAAAAAUAAUAUUUAAUAAAUUUUAUAAAAAUUAUUUAUUUUAUAAUUUUUUAUUUUACUGCAGUUUUUAAAAACAAGUUGAGAUUUACUCUUCAUAAGUAGCUUAAAAUAAGCCACCACAAUUUCUCAAAGUUUCUAUUAUAAUAUUAAUAAUUUAACAAAAAAAUAAUUAUUUCUUAUUUUUUUCAUACACUGUAAUACAUAAGCUAUUAGUAUCGUAUUACCACCACAAUUUACUGUCACAACUAGUUUGAGUUCUCUCAGUAUCAAAAUUUUGAUUUAGCAAGUUCAUAUUUUUUUUAUAUUUUAAUAUUAUUUUCUAUUAUAAAAUUAAUGAGACUUAUACAUGAUUACACAAAUUUUUUUAAACAAUGAACAAGUUCAUGUGAAAUUUAAACAUAAGUCUUAAAAUCAAAUUCGUGACUAUAAUUUUUAUCGUUCAAUCUAUUUAUAUUUUUUCUAUAGUCACGGUAUUCAUUGCAACAAGUUGAUUAUCUGCUUUUAAGAGUCUUGUUACAAUUUCCUUUGCAUUGAUUCUCUGCUUUGGUGAUUCCACAGUAAUGCUCUAUAGCGAAAUUGAAGACAAAUGACAUGAACUUAGCAGUUUUGCACCAACAACUUCCAUAAUUGAAUUGGGUAGCAUAUCAUUAACCCAACGCUUUAAUGUCAUUUUUCCAUGAAAAUUUUCAUCUGUGGGUUUCUUCCCAUUGAAUGUUUCCAUUAUCAUUAUCCCAAAGCUGUAAACAUCCCCAUUUGUGGUUGCCUAUCCUUCUCUUCCAUACUCUAUGGAUUUCAACAAUUACAUGGUAAGAUAAAAUAAUUAACAAUAGCAUGCUCAAAUGAAGAUCGUAAAAAUAAAUAACAUAUCAUAAAGUAUUAAAGAAAUAAAAAAAUUAAUGUAGAACAAACUCGGUGGUGGCAAGUGUUUGUGUUUGAGUCAAUGAUUAAUCUUCUCUGAGUAAGAGUUUUGCCAUGCCAAAAUCACUCAAAUGAGCAACCGUAUUAUUGUCUAGCAAAACAUUACUCGACUUUAAAUCACAAUGAAUUAUAGGUGUUGAAUGACCAAAGUGUAGAUAUACCACAGCUGAUGCAACAUCUGUCAUUAUGUUUAAUCUUUGAAAAAUAUCCAAAAUGUAGUUGCUUGUAUACAAACACUUACCCAGAUUUCCAUGAGGCAUGUAUUCUAAUACCAAUGCCUUAAAAUCAUCAUUUGAACAACUACUAAUGAUUUUGAUAAGGUUUUGAUGGUGAAUACUUUUCAUCAUAUUGCAUUCAACAUUAAGGUUCUUAAAUGCUCCUCCAUAUUGCAAGUUAAAAACCUUUACUACAACCUCCAUCCCAUCUUGAAUUCGUGUCUUGUAAAUAGAGCCAAAACCUCCUUUGCCGAUUAGAUUGUUUUAAUUAAAUCCGUUGUAGCUAGAAAAAGUUCUAGGUACGAAAACUUUCUCCAAGUUGCUACUAGUGGCAUAUUAGUAUCAUUUGGACUUUGGUAUUCGUUUUCCUCUCUUUCCAUAUCUCUAGAUCAACACAAUGAGUACUAUCAUAAAUACAGUACUCAAUGGCAAGACAAUCCCUAGGAGAGGAUCAUUUUCCCUUGAUGUGUGGUGGAUUCUAGUCUUUUAAAUUUUUGAAAAAGCAUAAAAUACAGGUGGCUAGUGAAUAUUGCCCUUUUAUUUAUCAAGCUCAUGUGUCAUGUCUUGUCUUUUGAAUUUAAUGCCUUCUUUUAUUUGUUUUAUUACCCAAUUCGUUCAAAAUAAUCACAAUUAUGCCACUUUUUAAUUUAUAGAAUUUAGAAUAUUACCUUUAAGUUAGUAGAAUUAUCCAAAUUUUUAUUGGGAUUGGGAAUCUCGUCCUGAAUCAUAUAGAGUUCAAUUCAAUAUAAAUUUUUUUAAAAUUAAUUUAAAAUUAGUUGAGAUUUAAUAUAAAAUUUUUCCUAAUUUAUUAUUUAGAAUAUCUGAAAAUCUCAAUCAAAAUAUUGAUUGCCUUGACUAUUGUUUUAAUUUUUAAUUAACUAAAUUUAAAAAAAUCAUUUAUCUUAAAAUAAACAAAAAUGAUUGACCCAAGCACGAAUCCAACAAAUUCACUACUUUGCAUUCACUUUUAGAGUUUAUUUAUUUAUUAUUUAUUUUUUUAGCGACAUUCAGUUUUAAAGUUUAGUUAAACUAAACAGAUGAAGAAGAAAAUAAAUUAGGUUGUUGAUUUACAUAUUAAAUUUAGAUAAUGAAUGGAUAAAAUGGGGACGUUGGUCUUUAGAAUCGCAACUUGCAAUAUAAAGCAAGAAAAAUGUGAGAGUCACAAGUUUUACCAUUUCUCUCUUAUAUACAUAUCUAUUAGGAUGAGUUGAGCAGCCAUAUAACUCUUUAGUUCCAAUAAAAGAUAACAAAUUAACUUUUCAAACAAUAUAUAUAUAAUUACGAUGAUUUUUCAUUUGUUCGUUGGCUUUUGCACCUUGGUGCCGAAGCAACGAAGGACGUGGGGCAAUUGCUGGAUACGAAAAUCACCCGCAUGAUUAACUAUGAGAAGGCCCAAUGACCAAGCCCAACAGAAAAAGGACCAAAUGGAAGCCCAAUAUUCUUUCUACUCUUGACACACCAGACACAGCAAAUGGAAUCUUCCUCAAGCAAGACUUAUUAAAAUCACAUUUAUUAAUUUUAUUUCUUUUACUUUCAAAAAAAAAUUGAUAACAAAAUAGCUAGGUUGAGAAAUGUGGUCAAGAAGUGUGUGCAAAUUUUAAAAAAAAAUUAUUAUUAUUUUCAUAAAUUUAUUGAUUGUAUUUUCUAAUUAAAAAAGGAUACUUUUUUGUCUGUAUAAUAUAUAUGAGGUUAUAUGUGGAACUGCAUGAAAGAUCAAACUUUUCAAUAUUAAAUUUUACUAAAAAUAUAGUGUAGGAUUAGGUGAUUUUCACCUAAGAAAAUUUUAAAAAAAAAUCACCAAAUACCAUAAUUAGUUUUAAACUUUUCAAAAUUAUUUUUGAGCGUCCCAUUUGCUUCUUGAAAUAACUUCUUAUUUGUUGACAUGAAGGGAUAAUGUGAAAGUGCCUCUAUUGUAAAUUAAAUUAUUAUUAUUAUUAUAGUUGUUAUAGAACUUUAUUUCUUGUUAUACUCAAGAUACACUCAUAAAUCACAGCUUAUAAUGAUUUGGGUGGGGUACAAAAACAAAAACCUUUAGGACAGAUUUGUAUAUUUUCAUUUUUACAACAAAAUCCAUUUUUAGAUGGACAGUCCCUCACACAAUCAGAAUCUUGGGUGCAACGAAUUGGUAACCCUCCAGUGUAGGCUUCAGCACUUGGCAACUCAAAGAUUGUGGUGCCUGCCAAUUGACAUCAAUAAUUCAUGAUUAUAUAGAAAUGAAAUAAAAAGCGAAAUGUGUUAGCAAUUAUCAAAACAAUAUACAGAGAGAGAGAGAUAUUUGGGACAUUGACUAACCAUGUGCAACGAUCAUGAGUACGACCAAGAAAGUUAGUUUAAACGAGACUUUCUCCAUUUGCUGUAAGAAAAAGAUUAUGCAGGAUGUUUCUUUGAGUGGGAAAAAAAAAUCUAAAAAAAUUGUAUGCAAGAACUUUGUUCUUCACCUCAUAUUUAUAGAGAUGUAAUAUACAAAUGGUAAAAUGGCACACCCAACUUCUACGUUAUUUUAUAGAAAAAUCGCAAUAAAUCAAAUAAACUUGCAACAAAUUAAUAUUCAAAUCAUUAAACCUAGCCUAAUAGGAAACAAUAAAAAAAGGAAAAAAAUUUUUUUUUUCAUUUUUUUCCAGCUUCGCAUUAACAACGCAGACACAUUUUCCGUUGUUAGUAAAAUCUCCAUCCAUCUUAGUUCAUAAAAUUAAUUGCAUCAUUACAAUGUCAAUCAGCAUCUAGACAGUAAAUGUAAGUUGAUGAUCCCACUAUUAAUUCCAUUUCACGUUGAUUAGGGUAAAAAAUAAAAAUAAAAAAUUUCUUAUAUUCAUGUAAUUUCUAUAAUCUCUUAAAAAUACCAUAUGAAGUAGGUCUAUUUUGCUAUUAACUAAAUAUCCCAGAUUUUGUAUUAUUGAAUCCAUUUAUUGCCUUAAGGCUGUAUAUAUGUAUAUUUUUUAACUUUGCUUUGAACUCAUCUCGUGCCAUUGAGAUUUUGACUUUCUUCUGUUUAUUGCUACCAUUUUGAAAUUAAACAAUUGAUCAACUUAUUAAUAAUCGAUCAACUUAAUUUUAUUUAAUUGAUCAACCUAGUUUUCUUUCAUUAACGUUUUAUAGCAUGAUUCAUUCGUGAUAUAUAUUUACAACAUUUUUUUUAUGUGUCCUUUGCUUCAAUUCACUCAUAAUAAAUCUUAAAAUCAUUAUCAACCAUCGUGAUUUAACUAUAAUAGUCUGAAAACAAUUUGAAAAAAAAUAUAACUCUAUGGAUAAUUCAAUUUUAAGGGUAUUAUCAGACAAAUCAUUGCACUAACAAUUUUGAUUGUUUGCUUGCAAAAGUAAAAUAUGCAUUUGUAUAACUGGUUUUGCAAUAAGAAAAAAUGUUAAAAGGUACCCCAAUUUUUUCUUUCAAGUUUCAAGUUAAUUAUAUGGUUGCUAAGUGAAUUAAGAAAGUAACCUCAUUGGCCUCUCUUAUAAUAUGGAUGUCUUUUGAAUUAUCUUAAUUUAGAAUUUAUUGACAUACACUAAUUGAUAAUUAACUUUUUUGUUCUCAUAAGUGAUCUUCUUCUUUAUGCUUCACCAAUGGUGACAACAUUUUAAAUCAAUGAGAUAUUCAUUAUAUUAGCAGAAAUUACGAGGGAUCUCAACGAGAAUAUUAGAAUAACCCCAAAAUAAUAAAAAGGAUGAUUGUGGCUUGAAGACUGGUUCUCGCCACAAGUUGGGCUGGUUUAUGCUCAAUCCACGGCCAUAACAUCCUAGAAAAAGUUGAAUAAAUAAUAUUUUGUGAGUUCUUGAUGGAGCGAGAGUAGCGGAAGCAAAACUGAUUGGGUAAGACAAAGCGGAAGUGGAAUUGAUAGGAUUGAAAACACUAAAUAUCAUUCUAAUACUUGACCAAGCCAACACGAUUAGGUUACGCUUUAAUCGAAGCAUGAUUAGAUAUCAUUUUAAUCCAAACGACUCAAUAAGAUUUUUAAUAACGUUUAAAGUGAGAUUAUAUAACGUUUUAAUCCAAACAACUCUACAAAAGAUAUUUUGAUAGAUAAUUCCAGAGGAAAUUAUAAAAGAGGAAAUUUUAUUAAAUAAUUGAAUCUGAAGUUGUGAAAAUAAUAACAAGACCUCUAUAUUUAUAAUAGAGUAAACUCAUUUCCCUAAGUUAACUUAAAAAAAGGAAAACUAAAUCGUAAUUAUAAUGGAAAUAAAAUAUACUUUCUCUAAGUUAACUAAAUCUCAUGCCUUAAUUGACUCUAAUAAAAAUAGAAAGUUCUAAAAUAAUAAAAUACCAUAAUUGACUCUAAUUAAAAUAGAAAUCUUAGAAUAAUAAAAUUCUAGAAUCUUAAAAUUUCUAAAAUAACGUCCUACAUUAGUUCUAGUUGAUAUUGUUAAUUUUGCAGAAAAUAUUUUUUAAGAUAUUAAAAUCUUCAUAAAUCUUUUAUAGACCUUUCCUCAUUUAGGCCUUCUCGAAAAGCUAGAACUUACAAUCAAACUUUUGCCCCAUUAUAUAACAUAUGUUAGUAAAAUUCAUUUUUACAAAUGAUAAUUCUAUUCACCCCUUUCUUUAUAUUUUCUAAAAGAUCUAAAAUUUUACUCCCAUACUUACGGAAAAAUUCAAACCUUCCAAUGAUAGGCGAUGGUGAUGAUGAGAGAGAAAGAAAAAUAAAAUAAAAAUAAUUAAUAAUAUAAAAUUUUUUAAUUAUAGUAAUUUUAAAAAUAAACAUUUAAUACCCAUAGCUAAGACAUCCUUGAGUUGGGUUGGGACCCCAGGCAUGGUCAUAGCAGGUAUGAAACCUUUUCAAUUGUUCGGUUCCUUAGUUAGCUCCUCAAACUUCAGAAAGUAUACAUUUCCGAGGAGGUGUCUUCACCUAAAACCAAAUCAACUUAUUUGAGCUCAACAAAAGUUUGUAUCUCCCUCUAAGUAACAUAUAUUUAUCUGGUCUCAACAUACACCUAAUAUUGAAAUUCUUUUCAAAAGCAUCACUUCAUUCAAUGAAAAGCACAUUGGCCAAUGUAUUUGCAGUCUUUUACUAAGCGGGUACCAUCAAGAUCAACCGCUACACCACUUUUUAUGCUAUUUCAAAGAAGAUUAUAAAUAUUUUAGAGUUCCACAAACUCUAUAAUAUAGAAACUUAAAUCAGUGCACUACGCAUAAAUUUCGUACAGAAAGAAUAUUCAAACAUCUCUAUAAACACAAACUCUCAAGAUGUUUUAGAGUUAAACAAAGCUACCAUUUCAUGCCUAGAAAAAAUGUAACAAUUUUUCCCACCAGAGUGGUUAUUACUCAAUACGGAUUUGCCUCAAGUCACCGGAGAGGCUUUUAGAGCAAAUUCAACAAUUUUGGGUUCUAAAAUUUUGCUCUUUAAAGCGUUAUUUUGGCUUAGUGUUUCAAUUAUCAAGAAGAGGUAUAAAGAUCAAUGGCUCCUACUAUCCUAGUUUUAGCUUAAUAUGUAUCUCUCAUUUUAAUUAAUAUGGUUGUUUCUUAAAAAGUUAAUUAAGAUCAUUGGCUUUGAAUUACUACUAUAGGAUUUCGAAAAUGAUAAGCACCCUAUUUCUUCUUCAUCUUUAAAAUCACCCAACAAACCAAAGUUUGUUCAAAUUUAAAUGUCCCUACUAUAUCAGUGCUAACAUUUGUCUCAAAAUUUUGCUCCAUUAAUCCGUGAAUUCAAAAGGAACAACGAUCUUUUCCUAUCCCUAGUCCUUUUUUAUUUUUAUUUUUAUUUUUAUUUUUUACUCUCAUAGUUUAGUGAGUGGCUAAGAUUGAAUUUUAAAUUUUAAUAUUGAUAAUCAAGUCAGCUUUUUUUUUAAUUUUAUUUACAAUUAAGCCAACUUUAAAAAAAAAAAAGAUUUGAAUAACUAGCAGAGUUUAGGAGAGAAAAAAAAAAUUAAGAGAGAAUCCUAAUCCAACUUGGAGACUCAUGUUGAUACUUGUAGAGACUGUUCUGCUGCCUUCCACGUAGAAAAAUAUUUACUUGGAUUGAGACUAGAGAUUUUUUUUCCUUAAAAUAUCUUUUUUUUAAUCAUAAGUUUGUGAGCAACAUAUAUGAAUCACAUUGGUGUUGAGGUUUGAUUUUGAACAAGUCAUCUUUAGUUUAAAAUUAUAAUACGAACCGAUAUCUAAAGGUCUGGCUUCUAAAUCAGAUAAAAGUUUGUCCAUAAUUAACUCCUGGCGAUGCCCAAAAACUCUAUGAACAAAUUAUUAUACAAGCAAGCUGCUGCAUGAUUAUAUUUCUUAUUCGUGGAUAGCACUUGUAAUAAUUCAACUUGAUUUUCUUUCAAUGACGAUUAUAGCAUGAUUCAGUCAUUAUGUUUAUCACAAAUUUUUAUUUGUUCGUGUCGUUUUGCACAUUGGCACCAAAGCACAAAGUACAAGGGGCAAUUGUUCGAUAUGAAGAUCACCGGCAUGGUUAACAGUAAAAUGGCCCAAUAAGCAAGCCCAAGUGCAGAAGGAACAAAUGGAAGCCCAAUAUUGUUUUCACUCUUGACACCCAGGAAAUCAAGCAAGACUCAAUAAAAGCACAUUUAUUAAAUAUUUUUUUAAUUUUAAUUUCUCAAACGAAUUGAUAACAAAUAGCUAGGUUGAGGAGUAUAUGUGAAUAUUGUUGAUAGGGUAGUACUAUAAAGGUAAAGAAAAAGUAAAGAUGAUAGUAUAAUAUAUUUAAUAAUAAAUGUAUAUUAAAGUACUUUUUAAAAUAUAAGAAUUAAAUAAGUAUUUAAAUCAAAAUAUAAAAACCAAACAAGUAUUUACUUGAUAAAACAUCAUAGAAGUUAUUUUGACACCCAAGACUUUUAAGUAUUUAUUAUAAAUAAUUGCAAAGCCAAUUAUUUAUUAUUUAUAAUGAAACUGAAAUUUAUCUCCGCGUGAAAAUAAAGGACUGAAGGCGAGAAAAGAUUCCUCUCCACGUGAAAACAGAUGUUGAAAUGUUUUUGCUAUUCGUUUGAUGAUUCGAGGAUUCACAAUUGCCGAUAAGUCCAAGAAAAAUUCCAAAAAUUAUCUUCCAAAAAUAAAGGAGUUAAUUGUGUGUGCUUUAUGGUAUAACAUUUUUGUCGAUACUCAACCCAACUCAGAAAUCACGAGUUGCACAGUCAAUGAAAAAGAAGACAAAAGUCAAUAAAAGCAAAGACAUUAAGACAUUGACUGAUGAUAGCAUGGUGGGACAUUAAGUAUCCCUAGGGAUUAAAGUAGAAAUUUAAUAAAUUUCUUAUCUCAUAAUUUUUUAUGAAAAUAAUAUUUAAUAAAUUUGUAAAAAUUAUUUUUUUAUAAUUUUUUUAUUUUACUGCAUUUUUUUUAAAAAAGGUUGAAAUUUACUUUUCAUAAGCAAUUUAAAAUAAGCCAUCACAAAUUUUCAAAGUUUAUAUUAUAACAUUAAUAAUUUAACAAAAAAGAUAAUCAUAGCUUAUGUUUCCAUACACUCUAGUUUAUAAGCCAUUAGAUAUCAUAUUAGCAUAAUAAUUUACCAAUGCAACUGAUGUGCAUUCUCUCCAAUAUCAAAGUUUUGAUUUAGUAAUUUCAUAUUUUUUAUAUUUUAUUUUUAUUAUAAAAUUAAUGAGACUUAUAUAUGAUUACAUUUUUUUUAAUUACGAACAAGUCCAUGUGAAAGUUAAUCAUGACUUUUAAAAUUAAUUUCAUAACCAUAGAUUUUAACGUUCAAUCUAUUUUCUAUAGUCAUGAUGCAUGAUGCUCAUGAUGCUCAUUGCAACAAGUUGAUUCUCUUAUUUUAAGAAUCUUGUUACGGUUUCCUUUGCAUUGAUUCUCUGCUUUGGUGAUUCCACAGUACACUCCAUAGCCAAAUUGAAGACAAAUGACAUACAUUGCUCUUUGGUCAUAAAAUGUUUGUCCUCCCGACUUAGCAAAUUUGCACCAACAACUUCCAUAACUGAAUUGGGUAGCAAAUCAUUAACCCAAUGCUUUAAUGUCAUUUCUCCAUGAAAAAAAUUAAUUGUGGGUUUCUUCCCGCUGAAUGUUUCCAUUAUCAUAAUCCUAAAGUUAUAAACAUCCCCAUUGCGGAUACUUUUCCUUCUCUUUAAUACUCAAUGGAUUUCAACAAUUAUAUACUACGAUAAAAUAAUUUACAAUAAUAUGCUCAAAUGAAGAUCGUAAGAAAUAAAUAACAUAUCAAAAAAUAUUAAAGAAAUGAAAAAAUAUUUAAUGUGGAACAAACCUGGUGCCAUAUAGCCUAUGCCAAAAAAUGAGCAACCAUAUUAUCGUCUAGCAAUACAUUACUUGACUUUAAAUCACAAUGAAUAAUUACAUGUGUUGAAUGACCAAAGUGUAGAUAUUCCACAGCUGAUGCAACAUCUAUCAUUAUGUGUAAUCUUUGAAAAAAAUCCAAAAUGUAGUUGCUUGUAGACAAGCACUUACCUAGACUUCCAUGAGGCAUGUAUUCUAAUAUCAAUGCUUUAAAAUCAUCCUUUGAACAACUGCUAAUGAUUUUGAUAAGGUUUUGAUGGCGAAUAAUUUUCAUCAUAUUACAUUCAACAUCAAGGUUCUUAAAUGCUCCUCCAUAUUGCAGGUUAAAACCCUUUACCACAACUUCCAUCCCAUCUUGAAUUCUUGCCUUAUAAAUAGAGCCAAAACCUCCUCUGCUAAUUAGAUUGAAAACCUCCUCUGCUAAUUAGAUUGCUUUCACUAAAUCUGUUUUAGCUUGAAAAAGUUCUAUGUAUAAAAACUUUCUCCAAAUUGUUGCUGGUGGCAUAUUAGUAUCAUCUGGUAUGUGUUUUCCUCUCUUUCGAUAUCUCAAGAUCAACACAAUGAGUACUAUUAUAAAUAUAGUACUCAAUGACAAGACAAUCCCUAGGAGAGGAUCCUUUUCCCUUGAUGUGUGGUGGAUUCUAGUUCUGCAUGGUGGAACUUGCAGAUUGGGUGUGCCACACAAUAAUUCAUUUCCUUCAAUGAUUCAACUAAGAAAUUUCUAAAAGGUCUAGGAAUCUUUCCUUCGAGCGUAUUGAAAGAAAGAUUUAAAUCUUUGAGAUCUAAAAGUUUUUCUAAUGGUAUAGGAAUAGCCCCAGAGAAAUUAUUAUUGGACAAAUCCAAGGAUUUCAAGCUUGUCAAAUCACCAAUGGAAUUACGAAGUGAGUCUUGCAAUCUAUUAUAUUCUAAAAAGAGAUAUUAUAGAUCAUUUACGUCACCAAUUGUAGUUGGAAAAACACAUGAGAAAUUAUUCGUCGACAAAUCUAUUCUUAACAAAACCUUCAAAUUAGACAUCUAAUUAAAUUAGAAAACAGAUAUUCCUAAUAAAUUAGAAUCUCACUAAAUUAGGGAAUUAAUAAAUUAAUCUCUAUUACAAGAUAUGCAAUAAAUAAACUUCAAAUUUAACUAGACUUGCCAUAAGAUGCUAACUCUAUAAUAAUUGACUUAACACAAAUCUUUGCUAAGCUUUUGAAUAAAAUCAUGACAUGUCAUUUAAGUUUUUUAGGCUUCGUUUGGUAUAUAUUUUCAAGCAAAGUCUAUUUAAGUAGAGCUUCUAUUAGUAGAAUUUUAAUAAGCAAAGCUUUUAUAAAAAAAGAUUGUGUUAUUUGGUCGUCAAUUAAAUGAUAUUUAAUAAUUAAAAACUCUACUCAAGAUGUAACCAAAUAAUAUUAAAAUUUCAUUAUUUAUAAUUUUUUAUUAAUAGAGCUAUUAAUUAAUGAAUAAAUGAUAUUUUAUAUCAUUUUAUUAAAAAAAGAAUGAACAGCAAGAUUGUAAGCACCGUGAAUAACUGUGUAAUCGGCCAAAUACCAUUGAAGAAAUUCGGAGCUCCACACGUGUCUCAGCCGCUCGCACGAGUGCGAGAAGAAUUUUCGGGCCGUGGAUCUCUCUUGUUACCAAGGAUGCUUCUCAGCAUAUCGUAGCCUGGGGACUCUCCUGGGCUUAAUUAAUGUAAUCAGCCCAUCCAGGUCACCUUACGAGGUUUGCGUUAGUGCAUAAAAUACUUUCGUUUUUAUCAAUCAUUUAUCAUUAGGAGCAAGAGGGGAAAAAGAAAAUUGGUUACCUUCUGUUGUCCUUGUGAAUGGUGUGCGUUCGUUUUUAUUAUAAUACACAUAAAAAUUUAUUUCUUCUAUAGGAACAAUGAGCAAAGGUAAAGUUAUCUAAUCAUGAUUGAUUGCUAACUAAAAAAUAUAUCUAUAUUUUACUAAUUUUAUUUCUUUAAUUUUUUAUCUCAAUAUAAAUAGUAAUAAUUAUUAUUUUUUAAAAUUUAAUAAUUUUAUUUCUUAAUUAAGUAAGGAUAAUUUUAGACACAAAUAUUUUUCACUCAAUCCCUUAGGUACUAAUACUUCUUAUUGAUCUCUGAAGUUGCUUUUACUUACUUAUUUAAACCAUAUAUGAAAUUUGAAGAAUGUCAAUCUCAUGAUAUUACAGAUUCUCCGUAGAUAUUCUUUGACAUCUAAUUUGAUUCGAUGGACAAAUUAUUAUUAACAAAUUAGUAGCUUCUCCUCAACAAAAUGAGUAUUGAUGAGCACUUCUCUUUCAGAGUCACUUAUGGAGAUUGAUCUUGAUGUGAAUUUCCUGUUAGGGAACCAUAAUCUCUAGAAGUGGUUCCGAAUAUAGAAUUUUCUUCUCUAGUACGAAGAGAUUCUGCAAUUCCGGGUCACUUGAGGACAUCGUUGUCGCCUUGCAAGCGGAAGAUUCUUCACUCAGUCCUAAGAACAGAAGCUGAAUCAACUCAGUCGGCUGAGUUAGGAUAGAAUAACAUUACUAGAAGAAAAUUGACCUAUAUUUUACCUUUUUAGUUCUUAAUCUCUUUCUUAACAUGGCAAUUAGGUCAAGAGGAAAAUGAUUUGAACAAUUUGAAGCUUCUUAUCUGAGGUUACCUAGGAAUAUUCCAUACUCAUGGGAAUUUGGCUCUUUUCAUUUCUCAGCACUAAGGAGUUUAAGCACAGUCAAUAAUGAAACCCAAUUGAGAAAUAUUAUCAUCUGUUGCCUAUGAUUUCAACUGGACCAAAAUGUUUGUUUUUCUUUUUAUCUUUUAAAAAAAAAAUGAUUUAGCGAUCAUGUCACUGGUUUUUUCAACAAGAUGAAUGAUUUCAUCUUCUCAUUUAUGAACAAUUCUUUCCAGCACUCUUUAGGAGACUCACGCUCAUUCACUAACCACUCACCAUGCUCAGAAUGCAAAAUGCGAAAUAGGAGUAAUAUAAUAAUUUACUUGUCUAAUUUCAACACAUUUUCAAACUAAUUAAUCCCACUACAAGAAAAAGUUAUUUAUGUGACCACUAUUUUGCAGUUACGUAUGGCCUAUAUGACAGCUAUGUAACGGCAGAGAGGGGUUACAUACGCGGCCAUUGCAAAAGCUUUGUAACCGUUGCAAAUGCUUUUUAACUGUACUUUUGGCGUGCAGUAACAAAAGGUAGUAACGGUCACCAAAAAAAAAACCACCUAAAUGCGGCCACAUUAAGUAAUGGGUUGGAUGCAAGUUUUGUGACAGGUGGAAGCUGUCACAAAUUUGUAAUGCUUAAUUAUUCAUAAUUUUGUGAUAUUUGACUAUUUGUCAAUAUUUUAUCUCAUUUUCCUGAUAUUUGUCAAUGACAACAAAAAUUCAACAUUGUUCAUUACAACAGUACAACACUAAAAUUAAUUAUCAUGAUACCAUCCAUAAAGUUCAAAUUAUAUACUGAAAAUGAGAGAUUAACAUCAAGCCGCAAGUCUCCAAGUCAAAAAUUAAAAGUAUACACAGAUGCAAAUACAAGCCUACGAUACAAAGUCUUACAAAAAAAAGAAAAAGUGUGAAUCCAGGGGUCUCCAAUGCAUCUUAUCAAACGAUAGCCUACAAUAGAAGCAACAAUAUAUUAAAAAUGUGCGAGACAAACACACUUAAAUAUCAUAAUUAUAUAACUAAGCACUUCUUGCUAGCAAUAAUUAGAAGCGCUCUGGUACAACUGUUAAUGUCUCUAUCCUUUGUUGAAACUCUUAGUUAAUUUGCAAAUCUAAUAUUCAUUUUCCAAAAAUAAUAUCAACAUUGAACAUAUGAAAAAUAAUGAAUCAUAAUUUUACAAGUAAAAGUAUUUAUCUAUAAAUAGACGUCAUAAUUUGCAGCAUAACUGCAUGACGGUGUUGAUGCGCAUUGGAAGCAUCGACUAUCUACUAAAAAAACAAACAUUUUGUUUUUCCUAAGAAACACAGAAGGAAAUGUAGUCUAUAGAUUGAUGAUGAAUAUGCAGCCAAUAUAUUUUACUAAAUUGUAAGAUGUAGGAAAUGUAGGGAAGGGCAUUAAGUUGCAAGGUUCAGUUCCAAGUUGGCAAUAAAAAUUGCUAUUAUGCUGCAACUUUUCUCAAUAUACUCCACACUUUUCACCCUAAAUUAUACAUUUAUUCUAAAAAAAAUUUUAAAAAUCAUUUUGAAUUUUAAGUAAAUAUUCACUAUAAUCUGAUGAUUGUUAAGUUCAACUUUAAUUAAUAUUUUACUAGAUAUUUGGAUCGAAAAUAAAAGCCUUCAUGUUGGCAUUGCCUUGUCCAGCCUUCACUCCUUUGACUAACCUUGAUUUAAACAUUAUUCAAUUCUCAUUUGAUUCUGAUUAGGUUAAGAUUAUAGAUCGUCUAGCAAAUGAGUAGUACAUUAAACAACUAAAAUCUUCAAAUAAAUGUCUAGGAUGGUCAAUCCAAAUACUAAGCUAUUAACUGCUAAUGUUUACAUUUUAGAGUUUUAAUUUUUUUUACUUUAGAAUUUAUUUGAUUUAGCUGUUACUUUUAAUUUUUAAAAUAUUUAAAAUAAAUAAGUAGACAAUGGUCAAAGGGUUUAGUAAUUGCGUACACGUAUUAGUGUUUUAUAUCCAUACCUAAUGCACCCAAUGAAUAGGUAUAAAAAUUUAUAUCCCUAUUCAAUUUUUUAUAAAAUAUAGAUAAAAUUAGACCUGACGCCUAAUUUUAACGUAACAGUCCCUUGUGCUUGUAGGGAUUUUUUGCCAUCCCUAUAUGGGACUAGAACAAAGCUAACACGCCUAUCUAAUGAGACUGGACCAUAAUUUUAUUUAAUAGAUCUUAGGCCUGGAUCAGUCUAGUUGCUUCCUUUUUGAUACCUUUGGCUGCUAUUUAGGUAGCAUUUACUUCUCAUAUUAGAGCAGGAAUUGUGAGAUUGAGAGUAAAAAUAGGUUGUUUACUUACAUUAAAAUGAGAGUAUAGAAUAGGAAUCAAAAUUCCAUUUAUGUGUUUAUUUGUUUUAGAUUAAGAGUCAAUUGUUUUAAAUUAUAAUUUUACCCUUAUUUAAAAAAUUGUAGAUUUUAGUUACAAGUGAAUG
rnacentral:lncRNA from 1 species